rnacentral:lncRNA from 1 species
CAUCUGCUGAGGUCACUCGAAUAUGUAAGAUUUUCAAGGAUAUAGGUUUUCCAUUAUCCAAAGUUUCUGUUCUUUGGUGUCACAAUGUGUCUGCAAUUUCCCUUGCAUCCAAUCCAGUAUUUCAUGCUCGCAUUAAACAUGUGGAAAUUGACUAGCACUAUAUCAGGGAACUUGUCUUAGCCUAUCUUCUUAGAGUUCAGUUUGUUCCCAAUCACUAUCAAAUUGCAAAUAUUCACACAAAGUCUUUGUCAAAAGCUCGAUUUCAGUUUCUCAGGUCAAAGCUUUCACUUGGCUCUCCUCCAUUCAGCUUGAGGGGGUGUAAAGACACACAUUAUCCUCAGUCAAGUCAACAGUGCCAACUAGACUCCAAGUCACCAACACAGUCAUCAAUUACUUAGUGAAUAAGUUUGUUUGCUGUAACUAUUUUGUAACUAAUCAUAGAUUAUGAUUAAUUAGUUACAUUAGUUGGUAACUAAUCUUUAUUAACUUUUGUGUAUAAAUACCCCAAUGUAAUCAGUUUUUAAUCAAUGAGAAAUACUUUUCUAUUAAGGCCCACUUUCCUUCUAUUUUCCAUGUUUCAUAUUCCAUGGAAAUGUUUGAUCAUGCUCCUUUAUUCUAACUCUUCACUCCCUCAAAUUAAGAAGUGACUCAUUACUUGGGCCAUAAAUUUUUGCAACCACCACAUUGAUUUAUAAUAUAAUCUUUUGGUUAAUUAACUCUGAAACUGUACUUAAUUAGUCUCUUCUGUCUGAUCUCUCUCUUCCCUUAAACACAAAAAAAGGGCUAAAAAAGCUUCUUCUUUCGGUUGAGUUUAGACAACGGUUGUGGUAUCCUCUCUCGAACACACAAAAAUGGUUUUGUAAGCCUGCUGCUUGGUGCUCAGUCUAUAGACAACAGUUGUACUACCCUCUACUUCUGAUUCUACACUUUAUUCGUCGGUAGCUAUGGAUUUUGAUGUCGGUAAGCUUUGCUUCGGCCGAUGCUUGCUCAAACUGUCUUGUGACUUUUGCAGGUUUAGCAAUGUGUAAACAGACUGGUUUGAAAGUGCUUUUAAAAUGACUGAAAGCACAAAAUUUGUGAAAACUAAUCUUUAGUAAAAAUGCAAGAGAAUCGUGGAAAAACACUUGAAGUGCUACGUGAUUCUUGCAGGAAGCACAUAACUUCCUUACAAAUGCACAUAAAACCCGGAUCCAAAUUAAGCAAACAUAAGGUAGUCCCUUAGCAGUAUCACACAAGACUUGAGCAAUGAUUUGUUCUUCUCAGUUAUUAGAAUCAAAUACUUGUUUUCUCAAAUAUUAAUCAAAAAUACACAUACGGGUAAUUUCUUUGUUUUUUGCAAUUGUCAAACAAAAAAGAACGGUUUCACAAAAGGGACGCUAAACAGACAAUAAAAAGGCAUUAAGACAUCACCAAAAAUUUGAUUUUAGACUACAGUAAAUAGACAUCGGGGAAAUAAAAAUACGAUGUUCCUUGAUGAAUUAGGCAUCGAUUUGUAUAUAUCGAAGUCUCCGUACUUAAAGGCAUCAAAUAUUGAAGGUUUCUGAAACUCUGAAAUGUGAAGUUUUAUUCAUUUAUUGCAUACAUAGUUGCAUUUUCUAGGGGACCAUUUUUUUAAAAAUGGGUACCUACGGAAGUCAGGCACAGACACGACGCCGUUUCAGGUUCAAGGGGGGUGUUGCGGACGCUGCGGUCUGAGACUUGUUCUCCAUGGCGAGCAUCUUGAGAGAAAUUUUCCGUAGAUAAUCCGACUGGAAAAAGCAAUCCAUACACAACUUAAGUUACAACGCUAUCCAGUAUCCGCAUUACAAAUAAAGUUGAAAAAUAAGCAUCUAUGUAAGUAAUAACAUUUGCAGUGCAAGGCAACACAAAUAGGUUUGGAUUCCAAGAGUUCUGGAAGUACCUGGCCGAGGGCAACAGUAUAGAUUUUUUCCUCAAACCUUACAGCAAUCCUCUCGAGUUCACGUAGUCCCUCCUCACCAUUAAAGGGAAGGAACCUCUUCAACACUUCCGUUCUUCAUAUGCAAUACAUUCAAUACGUCAUUGAUCAUGAUCAAGGAAUGGAGGUAGAGUUCAACAAACAAAAGUUUAAUCACUGUGAAUAAAGGACUAAACCUAAUUAAGGAAUGGAACUCGUCACAAAUUUCUAAUAAAUACAGAACUGGGGUACUCUAAACAGACAAGAAGCAGUAUACAUAACAAGUUUUAGUACCAGUUUUAUUUUAUUUUAGUUCCAGUACGUGUCUCUCGAAGUUUUAGAUUUAUUAAAAAGUUUAUAACCAGUUCUGUUUCUACAUGAUUUCUAGACUUUCUUUUUCUCACUUACAUCUUGGCAAUAAUUCUGUGUCGUGAAUCUGGCUGUAAUUGGCUCCUCCAAUUGCUUGUGACCAUUGAAGUUUCUCCACCUUGAGGCUUGUUUUCCAUGGUGAGCAUCUUCAUAGAAAUUUUCUGAAGAUAAUCCGACUGAUAAAAAAGAUCCACACAACUUAGAUUAGAAUCCAUCCCCGUACGUAUAUAUCCACAAUACAAAAAACUUGGAAAAUUAACAUUUAUGUAAGAAAAACUACAUAGGCGAUAUGUAAUGCACCAUGAAAAAUCAUAUUUAACCCCAAGAGUUAGGGAAUAACCUGGCUUGAGGCAGCAACAUAUAUCUUUUCCUCAAACCUUGCAGCAAUCUUCUCGAGUUCACGUAAUCCCUCCUCCCCACUGAAAGGAAGGUGCCUCUUUAAUGUUUCCAUUCUGUACACGCAAAUGAGCAAUAUAUUCAAUAAGUUACUGACCAUGAUGAACAAACAAAGUUACAUCACGCUGAACAAAGAACUCGACCAAAUUGUUCCAAACGAAAAUAUUGGAAAAUAACUAGUUACAUAUUUGCAGUAAAAAAUAACUGGGGAAGAUGAUGUAUCUGACAAUAAGCAGUAUAUAUAACACGAUUUGGUACCUCUUGUAUUGUACUUUCAUUGCCCAAACAAAAGACUAUUGUAUUUUCAGUAUCUCUCCAAGGAGUACAAAGAAAUAAUAUUCGAAGAUUUCCAGAUUCUCUUUCUUCUUCUAACGAUACUUACAUCUUGGCAACAAUUCUGCGUCGUGAAUCUAGCUGCAAUUGGCUUCUCCAAUCACCUGUCUCCAUUGAAGGCUCUCCACCUUCAAGGGGUCUCUGAUAAUUGCCAUCCAUCAAAACUGACCAACCAAACACAUUAAUUGGACUUGAAAAAAAAAAUUGAAUUGGAGAAACCAAAUCUAAGAAAGGAGUGAACUAUAAAUUAACCUUAGAAUUGGAUUAACCAAGUAUUCAGAAAAAAAAUCUAAUGCAUAUAAACUUGAAACAAAAGUCGGUGUUCAUACCUGGAUCAAGACUUACGUGGGAGACUGCAACCUGAGAUUUGGUCUCUAUGGUGAACAUCUUGAUAGAAAUUUUCCGUAAAUAAUCUGUCUGGAAAAAGAGAUCCCCACAUAAUCUAGAUCACAACUCUAUCGAGUAUCCACAAUACAAAUAAACUUGAAAAUAAGACAUCUAUGUCAGUAAUGACAACAUAAAAAGAUUUUGAACCCCAAGACUUCUUGAAGUACCUGACUUGAGGCAGAAACAUAUAUCUCUUCCUCAAAUGUUACAGCAAUCCUCUCGAGUUCACGUAAUCCCUCCGGACCAUCAAAGGGAAUGUGCCUCACCAUCGUUUCAAUUCUUUGUAUGCAAUAGAUUCAAUACGUCACAAACUAAAAGUAUAGGAAUUUACACACAAAUGGAACUCGUUACAAAUUUCUAACAAAAAACAGAAUUGGGUACUCGAUACGGUAAGCAGUAUAUAUAACACGCUUUAGUACCACUUUUUUUUUUCUUUCUAUUUCCAAAUUUCCUGUACGAGGGUUAAACAUUUCAGCUAAAAACAGUAACAAGGAUAUUCUGUGAUUAAAUUUAUCUCCCCUUAACAAAGUCCAUAAUUUCUAGAUGAUUUAUUGUUAACAUACUGCGUCCCAGGUUCUAACCUUGGUAGAUAUAUAGCUUGGAUUAGUAAUAUCGCUUGUAAUAAAAACAUACAUCUUGGCGACAAUUCUGUGUCGUGACUCUGACUGUAAUUGGCUCCUCCAAUCAACACCUGCCUCCAUUGGAGGUUCUCCACCUUGAGGAGGUCUGGUCUGAAUAUUGGUAUCCAUCAAAACUGACGAACCAGACACAUUCAUCAGACUUAUAUAAAUAUAAAAAAAAAAUUGAAUUGGUGAAACCAAAUCUAAGAAAAGAAGUGAACUAUAAAUUAACCAUAGAUUUGAAUUAACUGAUUAUUUAGAAAAGAAUGUAAUGCACAUAAACUUGAAACAAAAGUUGGCGUUCAUACCUGGAUCAAGAGAUGCGUGGGAGACUGCGGUCUGAGAUUUGGUCUCCAUGGUGAGCAUCUUGAGAGAAAUUUUCCGUAAAUAAUCCGACUGGAAAAAGAGAUCCCCACAUAAUCUAGAUUACAACUCUAUCAAGCAUCCACAAUACAAAUAAACUUGAAAAUAAAACAUCUAUGUCAGUAAUGACAACAUAAAAAGAUUUGAACUCCAAGGGUUCUUGAAGUACCUGACUUGAGGCACCAACAUACAUAUUUUCCUCAAACGUUACAGCAAUCCUCUCGAUUUCACGUAAUCCCUCCGGACCAUCAAAGGGAAUGUGCCUUUUCAUCGUUUCAAUUCUUUGUAUGCAAAACAUUCAAUAAGUCACAAACUAAAAGUAUAGGUAAAUACGCACAAAUGGAACUCGUUACAAAUUUCCAAUACAAAACAGAAUUGGGGUACUCUAGAACAACAAGCAGUAUACACAAAACGGUUUAGUACCACUUUUUAUUCUCUUUCCAGACUUCCUGAACGAGAGUUAAAUAUAUUUCAGCUAAAAAGGAGUAAUAAGGAUAGUCCGUCCGUAAUUUCUAGACGCUUUAUAUCGAACAUAUUACGUCCCAGCUUCAAACCUUAGUAUAUAGUUUGGAUUAGUAAUAUCGCUUGUAAUAAAAACAUACAUCUUUGCGACAAUUCUGUGUCGUGACUCUGACUGUAAUUGGGUCCUCCAAUCAUCACCUGCCUCCAUUGGAGGUUGUCCACCUUGAGGAGGUCUGGUCUGAAUAUUGGUAUUCAUCAAAACUGAACAACCAGACACAACCAUUAGAAUUAAAAAAAAAAAACAAAAUUGAAUUGGAACAAACAUGUCUAAGAAGAUAAAAAAAUGGGAAAUUAUCACGAUUGUUAAGAAAAGAAGAAGUCAACUAUAAAUCUACUUGAGAACUGGACUAGUUGGGAAUUAAGGAAAAAGCCAAAUAUAAACAUGUUCUUACCUUGAUCCAGAUGAUCGAGAGCGAUUACUUUGAGGCUAAGAGUUGCAGGCAGACCAGAUGGAAAGAAAGUUGCGAAUUACAAAAUUAAGCCAAAGGGGACAAAAAUUGCUGACUCAACUUUCCAAGUGUGCUCAACCAUUUUUUGUGAUUACUUAAUUUACAUUUAUGUCCUUUACUUUCUUGACUCUACUUGAUUACCAAUUAUUAUUUUUAUGUCAUUUACUUCAGGGUGAUUUGCUACGGAAAAUUUAGAAAAAUAAUUAAAAUUUGCAAUCAACAUAAAAUUAUAGCUACUAUUUUAAUUUAUAAUAAUUAUAACAAAAAAAUUGUAUGAAAUGACUAAUAUAUCCUUAAAAUGAGGCUUUCAAUUAAAAUGAAAAUGAGGAUAGUCUCCCCUACACCUCCAAGCCCGUCUCCUUCUCCAAAAGUAGAGAUUAAUUAUGCUACUCUUCUUCGACAUUAUCAUCUUUCUCCUCUUCUUGAUCGGUCAUGUCUACAUCACCACGCUCUAGCACUUGACCCUCGUGGUCUCUAUGUUCGAGCUCGUCUACGGGUUUGCCAUCAUGAAGAAGAGCUAUGUGUUGCUCAAGGAGAGUGUUGGGGAUCAGUGGCGGAUCUAGGAAAUAAUAUUAAGGAGAUCAGUAAGAAUAGCGCACGUAGCGCACAAUUUCUUUUUUACCAGAAAUAACAUGCAUUUCGUUAUUUCAUCAAGCCUUAGUAAGCCUGAAAUAAUUUGGAAAGGCAUACUGCACACUUGUUAAUGCCUCAUCUGCGAGGGUAACUGACACGCCCCGACCCUGAUAUUCCCCGAAUACCAGGAUAGACAUGUGCUGGCUGACACCCGAGGGUGACGAAAGCCAUUAAUUGAUACAAAAACUAAGAAUAAGAAAUAAAUAAGAGUUAGAAAUUUAAAAUACAAUGAAUUAAAAAUUUAGGAACGUGCUUAAAGCAUACAACUAAACCUAAUCACUUAAGAUAAAAUUGAAUGAAUAAAGAAGUGGGUCCUACAUAGAAAGGAUUCAAAAAUGCUGCUGCGGAAGUGUCUUGACGCCGGGAUUAGGUGCCUUGAUCUGACACACCCCGACCUUGAUAUUCCCCGAAUACCAGAAUCGACGCGUGUUGGCCGACACCCGAGGGUGACGAAAGCCAUUAAUUGAUACAAAAGCUAAGAAUAAGAAAUAAAUAAGGGUUAGAAAUUUAAAAACAAUGAGUUAAUAAUUUAGGAAUGUGUUCAGAACAUACAACUAAACCUAAUCACUAAAAAGAAUUGAGAUAAAAUUGAAUGAAUAAAGAAGUGGGUCCUACAUCGAGAGGACUCAAAUAUGCUGCUGCGGAAGUGUCUUGCCGUCGGGAUUAGGUGCCUUGAUUCUAAGUCCUGAAUGGGGGCGCAAAACAAAGGUGAGUGGACCAAGUUCAUAUAUAUAAUAAUAAUAAAACAGUUAUCAAGAUACUAACCCCUACAGUUUAAUAAUGAAAACUACUAGCAUAAUAAGUGAUGGAUUUAAUAAAAUCCUAGCAUGCCAAAUAUCUCAAAAGCCAUAUCGCGGAAACGCAUCGCGGAAAUCAAAACAGUAAACGUAUCAUAAAUCGUCUCGUAAACGCGGUGUGCUGCUAGAAAGAUCACUGAAUAAAUAAACUCCCGGCCCAAUGCCUGCUCCGUGGUCUCUGCACCCGUAGCCAGAGAUUACCAACUCCCGGCCCAAUACCUGCUCCAUGUCCCUCAGCCCGUAACUAGGGAUUAUUUCUCCCGGCCUAAACGCCAACACCAGUUCCUCGCCCCAGGCGGCAUAGUGUCUACUAGGUACGUACAAAUAUUUACGCCUCUCAUAAAUAACCACUUCAUAGUAUAAAGUCAUCCAUCGUCUAUACUAUAAAGAGGGGUUUCUAAAACAUAUCUUAGCAUCUUAUCAUCAUCCAUCGGAUAGUCUACCAGAUCAUGAUUUUUAUAGAAAAUACGAUAUAUUAAAAUAUAGCUCAAACUAGGCUAACAAUGAAUUCCUCACCAAAAACACGAGACGAAAAUCAAUAUAUUAAAUCAACAGGCUUCACAUAAAUCAAAUCAUAAACUCGUAGGUAUGCUAAUCAUUUAUGCAAUUAAAUUAUCAAAUCAUGUAAUUUUAGAAGGGGUCCACUCACAGUACUUAGUUGCCAAAAGCUGCGCCACUAGCGAAGAAGGAAACGUCACAAUAAUUGCCCCUAAGCACAUAAAAAGUACAUUUAGUCAAACUCUACUUAAACGAUUAAAUUUGGAAAAACGGAAUUUGGAAACGGAUUCAGAACGUCGAAUUACCCUAAGAAGGGUCCCGGGCGAAAACCCGAAAAGUCAACCCUAAAGUCAACGUUGACCGGGGGUCAACGGUCAAAUUAGGUUUAACGGAUUUUAAGCUUGAAUCCGGAUUAGGGUUUAGGUUAAAUAAGAUUAGGAUUUAUUGGGUUUUAGAAACCUAGGGUUUUUGGGUUAAAAUGGUUUUAGGGUGAAAAGGCUUUACGUGAAGAAAUGGGAUUUGGGCUUAAGCCCACACACACACACACACACACACACACACACACACACACAUAGGAUUAGGAUUUAUUGGGUUUUAGAAACCUAGGGUUUUUGGGUUAAAAUGGUUUUAGGGUGAAAAGGCUUUAGGGUGAAGAAAUGGGAUUUGGGCUUAAGCCCAAACACACCCACACACACACACACACACACACACACACACACACACACACACACACACACACACACACACACACACACACACACACACACACACACACACACACACACACACACACACACACACACACACACACACACACACACACACACACACACACACACACACACAGAGGCUGCACAAAGGCAGGCCCUCACAAUACACACACACCCACACAAAGGCCCUAAGGCCUUAUUAAAAGGGCUGGGCUUAGAGCCCUUUAACCAAAAACCGGCCCAAGGCCAUUCUAAAUAAGGCCCGAGGCCUUUGGGUUUUAAAAAAACAUAACUAAAAAUAAAAAUCAAACGGGCUGGGGUUUUGGGCUGAGGCAAAACGGGCUUAAGGCCCGAGGGGGUUCUAAUGGCCUGAAAGGCCUGGUUUUGCCUAAGAAGAAGGCCGGAAAUUCGGCCGGAAAACCACUUAACUUUAAACGGCCAUAACUUUGUCAAAACUCAACGAAAUCAAGCGAGACAAAGUGAAAGUUGUAGCCCUGGAAGAGACGAAGAGAAUGAUACCUCACACGAUGUCUAACUCGUCGUGGUUUGGCCGGAAAAUGCCUCGAAAGCCUCGGAGGUCGCCAGAAACUGGGUAAGAUUCAAAUGAUUAUAACUUCUUCGAUACUCAAUAAAAUUGAGUGAAACAAAAAGGAAAGUUGUAGUACUCAACGAGACGAAGAGAUUGAUACCUUGCACGGCGGCCAACUCACCGUUGUUUGGCCGGCAAUUGCCUCGAAAGAGGCGAUCUGCGUCGGAGUUGUCCGGGUUUUGUUGUCCUCGCAGCAACUGAGAGAGAGAACGAACUGAUGAUGAUGAUGAUGACGCCAUUGACGUCGAAGAGGUGGUGUGGUGAUGGGUAUGCUCAUGGGAGGACGAGAAGGAGAGAGACGAAGGAGAUGGAGCUCGGGUGAGAGGAAGAGAGAGAGUUGGGAAAACAUAAAAAAAUAAAACAAGGUGGGCCCCACGGGCUCACCAAUUAAGAACUAAAACUAUUUUUAAAAUAUAAAAGGGGGGUUGGGGUGUUUCAUGAUCCUAAGUCCUGAAUGGGGGCGCAAAACAAAGGUGAGUGGACCAAGUUCAUAUAUAUAUAUAUAAUAAAACAGUUAUCAAUGUACUAACUCCCACAGUUUAUAUAUAAUGAAAACUAUUAGCAUAAAAAGUGAUGGAUUUAAUAAAAAUCCUAGCAUGCCAAAAAUAUCUCAAAAGUCAUAUCACGGAAUAUCAUCGCGGAAAUCAAAACAAUAAGCGUAUCAUAAAUCGUCUCGUAAGCGCGGUGUGCUGCUAGAAAGAUCACUGAAUAAAUAUAACUCCGGCCCAAUGCCUGCCCCGUGUCCCUCAGCCCGUAACUAGGGAUUAUUUCUCCCGGCCUAAAUGCCAACACCAGAUCCUCGCCCUAUGCGGCAUCUCCACUAGGUACGCAUAAAUAGUUACGCCUCUGAAAAAAAACCACUUCAUAGUAUAAAGUCAUCCAUCGUCUAUACUAUAAAGAGGGGUUUCGAAAACAUGUUCUAGCAUCCUAUCGUCAUCCAUCAGAUAGUCUACCAGUUCAUAGUUUUUAUAGAAAAUACGAUAUAUCAAAAUAUAGCUCAAUAUAGGCCAACAAUUGAUACCUCACCAAAAACACGACACGAAAAUCAAUAUAUUUAAUAAACAGGCUUCACAUAAAUCAAAUCAUAAACUCGUAGGCAUGCUAAUCAUUUAUGCAAUUAAACUAUAAAAUCAUGUAAUUUUAGAAGGGGUCAACUCAUAAAUAUUCCUUAGCAGAAGAGUUGCGCGGAUAAGGAUGUAGAAUUUUUCCACUAGCAACUUUACCUAAGCACAAAAAUGUAAUAAAUAAAUAAAAGGAUUUUCUAAAAGAUUGGGUUUGAACUAAAUAAAAAUAAAGGAUUUGGGUUGGAUGGGUUAGGGUCUAAUGCGUUUUAGAAUUCUAAGGUUUUUGGGUUAAAAGGGUUUAGGGUGAAGAAAUGUGGUUUAGGCUUAAGCCCAAACACACACACACACAUGCACGGCAUGCACAUGCAUAUACACACACGCACACACACAUGCUAAACACACACACACACACACGCUAAACACACACACACACACACACGGGCUGCACAACACACACACCACACAACACAAGCACAGCCCAAAGGCCUCACACCUCAGGCGGGGCUUCAAACCCUCAAUUAAAUAAUAAAGGCCCAAGACUCUAAGGCCUUUAAAACAAUUAAAAGAAAUGGACUGGGUUUUGUCUACGGGCCCAAAGCCCGUGGGUGUCCUAAACGACCUGAAAGGCCUGGGUGCUAACCGGAGAAGGACACCAGAGCUUCUACAGCUCCAGCCAACUACAAACAUACACCCUAAGCUCCGAUUUAUGCAUCAAAUUAAAGAGAAAAGAGAGGGGAGUGAGAUUAUACCCUUGGUUUACCGUGGAACGGCCGAUGGUGUUCGAAAUUCAGGUUUGGGUGCCUGCGGGUUUGCUGGGUUUUCCUGGGCUCCGUCCAGCCUCACAUGCCGAGAUAGAAAGGGAUGACGAGAUGAUGAUGAUGUCCUCGAGCAGCUGUGGGUGUGUGUGAUCACAGUGCAAUAGAAAGAGGGAGGGAUGAGAAGGUUUUCAAGUGACAGAGGGAUAGAGAGUACAUAGAUAGAGAGAGAAGUCCCGAGGCUUACCUAUCGUCGAAGCAACGAGGAACUCGUCGGAGGUCAUUUUCUCUGCUUUCACCAAUCUCGCUGCGACGGAAGAGAGACCAGAACAAUGCUUGAUGAUGAUGAUGUUUUCGAGUAGAGUAGUUGCAAGUGUGGGUGCUCUCGGGUGUGGGUCGAAAGGUGAGAGAUCGGGGAGUGAGGAAGAUAAGAUUUCGAGAGAGAGGGAAAUGGGAGAACACAGGGAAGGGCAAAGAGGAGAGAGACCGAGGGACCAAAAAAAAGGGGUGGGCCCCUUGGCUCACCAAUUUAGGUCCAAACAAUUAUUCUAAAAUAAAUGGGGUUUGGGUGUUUCAGUAACUAACAUGUUCCAAGGCUACUCUCAUCUAAAUGCUUAACAAAGAAACAUACUUAUCUUGAACACACUAACAAUGUUUGAUAUCAUUGCAUCCCAUUAAUAUGUUUGUCAAAGAAUGAUGAUGCUUUGUUAUUCACUGAGAUCACCGUUUUAUUUACUAUUCUUUCAGACACUUUAUCAAAUAGUUGGAGGGCAUGUAUGAAGCCAACUAUAAUCUUCAAAAAGGUAGCACUCAAGGUAUUCAUAGACAUUCACCGAAGUUCAGAGUCCCUCAAUGCAUCUACCACUGUUGGGGAUGGUCUUCGUGCUUGUUUUCGGGUACUUGACUAUGUGUGGGGUUAUUGCCGAUGACACGAUAACCCUCUCAUCAUGACACGCCAAAACAUUGUUUUUAGCCACAACAUGCCAAGCAUUGCGAAUUGUCGGCAUAAUGCAUGUCAUGACAUGCCAUGCAUUUUGUCGACAAUUCGCGAGGCAUGUUAUGGCAUGCCACGAUGCGAGGGUUAGCUUGUUAAGACAAGUCAUUACAUGCCAUGCAUUUUUCUAACACUUUGUCUACUAUUUUGGAAUAAUUUAAAAUAAAAUCUAGGAAAUAUAUGUUCUUAAUGGUAAUAUCCUUCGUAAAUAUUCAGCUAAGAUAAAUACACGUGUUGUUACCGGUAAGAAGCUAUGUAAAUAUUCUUCUCAAAUAAUGCGCAUGUUCUUACCGGUAAGAAGAUGUGUAAAUAUUCAACUCAGAUAUUGAACGUGCUCUUGCUGGUAAGAACAUGUGCAAAAGUAAUGUAACUGGAAGAAAAUGACGAAAACAGACUAACCCGAGUGCCAAAGGACCAUUGGAGCUGAAAACCAAGGACUGCGGAUGUAAGAAUGGCGGUUGAGUUAUUGAAAUCCCACUUCAAAAGUAGGACUCCUGGUGGAUCCAACCAUGGCAUGAGAGCCAGCAAGAAGAGUAUCGUGACGGGGGUUGCCUUCCACAUCAGCCUACACUUCCACAUCAGAAAUUGUAACUUUCAUAGGGUGUAUUAUUUGACUAAUUCUCUUCGUUGAUCAUGUUAACAAUUUAGUAUAGAUGUGCCAAGAGAUUAACAAAUAUAAGUGAAUAUAUGAAGUAUUGAUUCCAAUGUGUGCAUAAAUUAUCAAGAUUGAAACCAUAAAGUUCGCUAACAUCAGUGUCACAUUUCCACCUAUUGGUUCGCACUUCAUGCUUCAAAUUUCCGUUGUUCGUAGAUUUAAUUGUGUGUGUGUGUGUGUUUUUUUUUUUUUUUUUAAACUGGGCAACCAAACGGAGAACUGGAAGUUACAAUUAGGGAAACAACCCCUUGAUUGUUCUUGAUUUUUUUUUUUUUUCGAAUUCGUAGAAGGUGACGUGGGAGGCUGUAAUCAGAACCUCUUUGAUGAAGGAUCAUUUCUCUGCAGCACUGUGAGAUUGACCAUUUUAGUGCUCUGUUUUAUCUAGAGAUAAAGGCAACGAUUCCGUUUUUGUAUGGAAAAGUAAGACCUAUAGAGAGAAACUGGAGGAGUGCAGGGAACGGGAGAAGUUGGAGUGCAAGGGAGAAGUGAAAUUGGAAUGAGAGACUGCUACAACACCUGCUUCAAAUACAGUUUCCUUCUUUAAGCACGUUCUAGUUUUUUACUCCACUUUCUCUCCUUGCCUGAUUUUACCAUCAUGUCCUUACUUUUUUUUACUUUUAUAUAACCUCUAAUAAAAGGAGCAAUUUUGAAAUAUUAAAUGUUUAGGAAAAAAAAAAUAUUAAAUGUUUCACCUGUUUUUCCUUUUGACUUUAUAUAUGUAGAAGAUGCAGAUAACAAAAGUUCUUUCCAAAAGCAAUAUUAAUAAUGCGAUCCACUUUAGGAUUUGUUAUUAGCAAUGUAAAGUCAUCGUGCACUCAAUUCAUUCCUGAUAAAUUCGUUAAAAGAAUGCAUAAUGAUUUUUUUAGAGUAUCAAUAAUAAUUUUUCUGUAAUAUUACAAAUCUCUUCUUGCCUUUGUUUUAUUUAUGUAUUUGUACAAUAAUAGUGAGAAUUGGCUAUUUUAGCUAAACCACAAAUUAAAUCAGCUAUAUAUUAGUAUUGGGGGAGGAGGUUAUAUUAUCUAGGCUCAAUAAUCUCGUGCUAGAUUUUGUGGAGUAUAUAUGUUUUCGAGACCUUUGCUUCCAUAAACGUUUGUACUUAUUCUUUUCCUUUGUUUUUGUUACAGAUUUGCAUUUAAACAUAUCACAUCUAUUUAUUUAUGAAGUGGGUUUUUUAACAAAUGAUAAGAUAAUUUAUAUAAAACUCAUAUAAAUUACAGAGAUAAGAAUGAAGUGUAAAAUAGAGUAAUAUUAUAUUUUGCGGAAGUGAUUUUCGUCUAUUGAUACCAAGACAUUUAUACAAAGAAGAACUCUUGACAGAGAAGUAAACUAGCAUACAUUCUAGGUAUCCAAAAUAUCAUGAAUGAUAUUGUUGACUUCUCUACAUGAAGGUUCAAAUUUAAUUGUAAAAGAGGGAGUGCACUGUUAAUUUAAAUAAAGGAGCGAUAAACGUAUACUUUUGUAUAAUUAUGCGGCAUCAAAUUCGAUAAUUUGACAAUAUAGGUAUGCAGCUCGAGUAUGUUCUUAUUUAGUUUUGUGCAAAAACAUGUAUUAACCUUGACUCAAAAUUGGCUAACGCAAGAAAAUAUAGGCAAAGCAAGAAUAUCCCAUGAAUGUUGAAUAUAUAGGCAAACCAAAUCCUAAACACGAAUGGUCCCAUAAAUGUUGAAAAUAUAGGCAAAGCAAGAAAAAGUAAGAAACUUUUCAAUUUUUUUUUCCAUAGCACGUGGUAAAGAGUGUUGUAGAAAAUAAGUGGUUGUGAUUAAAAAUAUAAAAUGUAAAUAAUAAUUGUAGAAAUUGAAUCCAACUCCUGCCCGAAACUUUUACUUUAUUUUCACAUCCUACAGGAUCCUCUAAUUUUUUUGAUGAGAAUUCUGAAAGAUUUAUAAAUCGUGUCUGUUUAUUGUGUUUGUACGAUUAAUUUUUAUUAAAUAUUAUUUAUAUUUAAUUUUAAAUAAAAAUAUUAAAAAUAAUUUUUAAUUACAUAAUAUACGAUAAACAUAUAAAAUUCACAAACCUUUAAAAUUCUCACAAAAAAAAUUCGACCAAGAUUCGAAUUCCGCUCACACGAAACACUUUUGGAAUUAUUGACAAAAAAAAAAGAAACUGUAUUGGAAUUACAGUAAAAAUAAUGACACGAGGUUGGUGGAGACUGGUGACAAGACGACGCUGGUGGAGACUGGUGACAAGACGACGCCAUGUGACAAGAGGAUGGUGGGGGCCAUGUGAUCAUAUCAUAUGGAAAAAUGGUUAGAUCCAAAUAUAUUGCAUGAUUUUUUCCACUGUAUUUUCCAAACUCCACCAAUUACUACUUUAUGUUUGCCGUGUGUGGUCCACUGCAUUAUUGAUCAAAAAAUUAUCUAGUCGUUUCACCGGUCAUGAAGUAUUCUUAACAGCCUUUGCCAAGAACAAUUUUCAGUUUCCCAACUUCAGAUACUUGAUCAAAAUUAGUCCUUUGGCCGCGAAGAGAGAAAAUGGCUAUGGUUGGAGAGGCUUUGCUCUCCGGUUCGAUCCAGGUGCUGUACGACAAGAUUGCCUCUGGAGAGUUCAUGGACUUCUUCCGGGCAAGAAGACUCAACGAUUCACUCGUCGAGAGACUGAAGGUGACGUUGAUGUCCAUCCAAGCUGUCCUCAACGAUGCAGAGGAGAAGCAGAUCGUCAACCCUGCUGUGGAGAACUGGCUUGACGAGCUCAAACAUGCUGUGUUCGAUGCCGAGGACUUGGUGGAUGAGAUCGAUACUGAAGCUUCGCGUCGCAAGGCGAAAGAUCAGACUAAGAAAACCCAGGUGUUGAACUUCCUUUCUACCUCUUGUAAACCUUUUAAUUAUAAAGGCAUGAAUGGUAGGAUAGAAGAUUUAUUCAACAAGUUGGAACACCUUGCAAAACAAAAAGAUAACCUCGGUCUUAGAGGAGGUGUUGGGGGCAAUGUUUCACAAAGAACUCCAACAACCUCUGUUGUUGAGGACGGAUUUUGUACCUAUGGAAGGGAUGGAGAUAAAGAAAAGUUAAAAGCUCUACUACUGCUAUUUGACAAUGAAAGUAUCAGUAAUUUUUCUGCUGUCCCUAUAGUCGGUAUGGGCGGAGUUGGUAAGACAACUCUUGCUCAACUCCUUUACAACGAUGAACAAGUUAAAGAGCAUUUUGAUACUAAUGCUUGGGUUUGUGUUUCCGAACAGUAUGAGGGUUUGAGGGUUAUUAAAACCCUUAUUGAGGAAAUCACCAAAAAACCUUGUGACAAUUUGGAGAUGAAUUCCCUUGAAGUUCAACUAAGGGAACAACUGAGGGGAAAGAGAUUUUUACUUGUCUUGGAUGACCUUUGGAAUGAAAACUAUGAUGACUGGGAGCGUCUACGAAUUCUUUUCACGUAUGGGGCAAAGGGAAGUAAGGUCAUUGUAACAACAAGGAGUAGACGUGUUGCAUCCAUCGUGCACAAUACUAUUUCUAUUCAUGACUUAGAAAAAUUGUCGGAUGAAGAUUGUUGGUUGUUACUAGCAAAACAUGCAUUUAGAAAUGAGAACCCCGAUGCACAUCCAGACUCGGUUGAAAUUGGUAAGCAAAUUGCACGUAAGUGCAACGGUUUGCCUCUAGCUGCAAAAACGCUAGGGGGUCUCUUAAGUUGCAACCUAGACUACAAGGAAUGGAAUCACAUAUUGAAUAGCAAUCUUUGGGAUCUACAUGCUAAUAGUGUUCUUCCUUCUCUAAGAUUGAGCUACCACUAUCUUCCAACUUACUUGAAACGAUGUUUUGCUUAUUGCUCAAUUUUCCCAAAAGACUAUGAAUUUGAAAAGGAAAAUGUAAUACUACUAUGGAUGGCAGAAGGUUUAAUUCCACAUGCAAAGAACGAGAAAGCAAUCGAGGAGGUUGGUGAAAGAUACUUUGAUGAACUGUUAUCACGAUCACUAUUUCAAAGACCAAGACUGGAUCGACCAAGUUUCACAAUGCAUGAUCUUAUCAAUGACUUGGCUAUGUUUGUGUCUAGAAAGUUUUGUUUUAGGUUGGAUCAGAAAAAUUCGCAUGAAGUUCCUGAAAGAGUUCGCCACUUGUCGUAUAUGAGUGAAGAAUUUGAUAUAUCUUCAAAAUUUGAGCCGUUAAAAGGAGUUAAGUGUUUGCGUAUCUUCUUUCCAGUGUCUUUAGCACCAUUUGGUAGCGAGUAUCCUGGAUAUGUAAGCAAUAAGGUUUUAGAUGAUUUACUACCAGCACAAAAAUAUUUACGGGCAUUUUCAUUGUCAAGAUACAAAAACAUCACUCACUUACCUGAUUCCAUUGGUAACCACAUACAUUUGCGCUACAUUGAUCUCUCUUAUACGACAAUUAAAAGGUUACCAGAUACAAUGUGUACCCUCUACAAUUUACAAACUCUGUUGUUGAAAGGUUGUUCUUCUCUUGUUGAAUUGCCUGCAGACAUGAGGAAAUUGAUUCAUUUGCGUCAUCUUGAUAUUGGUGGGACUUGCAUAAAAAAGAUGCCUGUGCAUAUGGGUAGAUUAAAAAGUUUGAGAACACUGACAGCUUUUGUGUUGGGGAAAUCUACUGGGUCAAGCAUUGCAGAACUGAGGGAGUUGUCGCACCUUGGAGGAAAAAUUUCUAUCUUGAAUCUGCAAAAUGUAGUCGGUGCUAUUGAUGCCUCGCUGAAGGAUAAGAAAGAUCUCAGUGAGGUAGUGUUGUCAUGGGGUCCUGAAGUUUCCGAUGAAUCCGUAAAAGAGAGACAUGUACUCGAAAGACUACAACCCUCGGUAAAUUUGGUGAAGCUAACCAUCAGGUGUUAUGGCGGAAUCAGUUUCCCGAAUUGGGUGGGAGACUCGUCCUUCUCCAACUUACAAGUGCUAUCUCUCAGUGAUUGUAGUAAUUGUAGUUCAUUGCCACCAGUUGGUCAGCUACCUGCUCUGAAAGAGCUCUGCGUAGAAAGGAUGAAAGUUGUUACGAGUGUUGGUGUUGAGUUGUAUGGAGGAAAUCAACCAUUUCAAUGUUUAGAGAAGCUAGAGUUUAGCGAGAUGCCAGAGUGGGAGGAAUGGCAGCCUAGUCCAAGUGGAGGUGAAAGUCCAGACUUUCCUCGUCUUAAGGAGCUGAGGUUAAGUUGGUGUCCGAAGCUGAGAGGAAACUUGCCCACUCAUCUUCCUUCCUUGAAAACACUUGAUGUGUCCAAGUGUGAGGUUCUAUAUGAAAACAGGGACAGCAAUACCCUGAACGCGGAAUCCUUACGAGGAUCUCUUGAAAAACUGGCAAUAAAUGAAUGCCCGGGUCUCUCAUUGUUACUAGAGUCGACGGAGAUGCUGCCGUCGCUUCUGAAGCUUGGUAUUGAUAGUGUUGGUGAGAAAGAGUGGUUGCCGCAAAUGGUGCACAACAGCAAUCGUCUUCAACAUUUGAGUCUUUCUAAAUGUUCCUCACUCUUGUCGUUCCCUACAAAUGGUCUGCCCACCACGCUGACGUCACUCCGCAUAUUCGGUUGCAAGAAAUUAGAAUUCCUAUCACGAGAGAUGAUGGCCAAAUUGACUUCCCUUCAGUCUUUGGAUCUAAUAAUGAGCUGUGAUUCUCUGAGGUCGUUCCCUUUGGGCAUUUUCCCCAACCUUUCAUCUCUUUUUCUAUUUAAUUGUGAGAAUCUGGAAUCCCUUUCCGUUGAAGGAGGAGCAGAUGAAAAUCUCAGCCAUCUCAACUCCCUGUAUAUUUUCCAAUGUCCAAAUCUUGUCUCUUUUCCCGACGGGGGAUUGCCCACUCCCAACCUCACUUCCUUUGAAGUCAGAUACUGCAAGAAUUUGAAGUUGUUGCCGGAUCGCAUGCACACCCUCACCGCCCUUCAAGAAUUGUCGAUAUAUCGUCUUCCAAAUGUGGUGUCAUUUGCACAAGGGGGUUUGCCUCCCAACCUGCAAUCAUUAUCUAUCGAUAACUGUGAGAGACUGAGGCCUUCAGUGGAGUGGAGAUUGCAAGGACUUGCCUCUCUUCAACGAUUUUUGAUCAUCGAAGGAAGCAAGGAUCUGGUGGAGGCGUUGCUUAAUGAACAGCUGCUCCCUGCCACUCUCCACACUCUCUGGAUCUCUGGUGUAUCGAAUCUGAAAUCUUUGGACGGAAAGGGACUUGAGCACCUCACUUCUCUUCAACACCUACACAUUGAAAGGUGCGAGAGUCUCAAAAUCCUGCCAAAAGAGGGUUUGCCGGCAUCUCUUUCUUCUCUGACGAUCACGGAUUGCCCUUCUCUGAAGAAGAGGUAUCGGAACAAGAAGGGAAAAGAUUGGAGAAACAUAGCUCGCAUUCCUUGCAUACACAUAGAUAGAGAAGUUAACAUCUUGUGAGCUUUUAUUUCACUCUCUCCAACUCUCAACUCUAAAGACAAAAGCCAGGUACUUUUUGUAUUCAUUAUUAAAUUGAUUGUCCUCAGCAAUAUUCCAGCUUAAAUUAGAGUUUCAGAGUCUAAUUCUGAUGAAAUUACAGGAGAGUGUGGGGGGGGGGGGGGGUGAAUUGUUUGUAGUCUGAUACUGUGGAACUACUUGGGGUCGACAAAAGGUAAAACCCUGGAUGAUGCUUGUCUCAUACUUGUCUCGUUUGCGACAUAACAGAUAUAUCGGUUUCAUUGAUGCAGCGAGCAAGCAAACCUGUAAAGAUAGGAUUAUCAAAUGGUUCUCUGAUUUUCUAGACUGUCAAUUUUGAAAUAUUUUGGGUGGAAAUGGACUUUCAACGCCCCCACACUCGCAAUUCCUUCCAGGACAGGGACCUCUAGACCUCAGCUCUCUUGAAUAGCUAUAUAAAGAUUGAAUGUAUGUGGGACUUCGUCGGUCCAGAAAGAAAACUAUUGAACUGUAAAGAUAGGAUUAUCAGAGGGAAAACGAUGUUAGCUUACUUCAACCACUCAGGUACUUGUGUAUGUAAUGUAUAUACUUCUGUGGUUUCCAUACGGAAGAAUGCUUACUCAUCUUUCAAUGCCUCUGUCAUCUUGUGGUAGGUGCAUAUACAUAUGUUUCUCUACAAACACAAUGGUUGGAGAGAGCUUGGCUUAUUGGCACUGCUUGCUAGAUGUCCUUGCGACUAGACUUGGUGGCUAGGCGCUGCUGCGCCUACAGAUUUCAGUGUAAGGAGUUGAACACUUAGUGUAAUUUGUUCUUCCUUUAUGUAUCAAUGUAAUUCAACCAUGCAAUCAGUCAGGACAACACGGUGGGACUAACGUAUUUGUCGGCUUUAUUGAUGCAGAUGGCAACUCUGGAAUUGUAAAGAUAGGAUCAUCUACAGCCAAUGAUUUAAACAUGCAUCGAUUGGUUGUCCUUGAAUGGUGCUAGCUGCAGUUAUCUGGCAUGUAUAUAAUUCUCCUUUAAUCGGUGCAGAUAUGCUGUUUAUAGUUUGAGUAUAAGAGACAUGCCCUUUCAUCUUCUCUUGAUGUCACUCUCAUCUUCGAAUGGGUGCAGUAUGCUUUUGUACAAACAAAGUGGAUGAACAGCGCGCUUGUUCCUUGUAGGAGUGUCUUCAUGCUUGCGUUUGUUGGUAUUCCAGCAAAUGAUAUUACUUGAAUAAGUGGUUGGCUGGUGUGCUACGGAUUUCACUGGAAUAAUAAUUCUUAUGUUGAGCACUGCGGAUGAGUGGUAAUUGAGUGUUCCACCACUCUCUUUUGUUUUUUAAGUUCCAUUUGCUUGUUUUCUAAGAUAAAUGUAUCAAUAAUAAUUUCUUCAUCUUUGAAUUUAGGAGUAUCUUGUUAAGCUGAGGUAUGAAAAAGGAAAGCAGUUGAGUUGGCAUCCGAUUGAAAUGGAUUUGAGAGAAAACAUGCUUUUCACAUUUCGAUUUAUAACGAAACAGUAGAAAGCGUGUGAAGGUAAAGCUCUGCGUUCUUUUCCUACAUUUUCAUCAAAACUCUUCAUCCAUUUACUCUCCUUAAAGAAGAAUGUAUAUAACAUACUUUAAAUGAAAUUGUGCCUAUUGUUGCGGCCAAUGAACAUCUUAUCUCCUGGAAGUGAUCCAAAGGAACUGAGAGGUUAAAGCAUAUUCUUCUCACCAUUGUGGAUUUCAUCAGCAAUCAAGAGAAUAUUCAAAGUUGCAUCUGGACUCGGAGUUGCUAUAGUUUGAAGAUUCCCCUGGACAUUAUUUUGGAUGUUUUAAUUAAUACAAGCUAGAUAGUCAUAACUUGUAAUUUGUUGGUGUGUGGUACUCUUUUUUCUUCAACUGGGUUGAAAUCUCCGACAAAAUUUUGACGAGGCGAAUCUUUGACACCCUAAAAAACUUAAUCUUAGUAACAGUCAUAACUUGUAAUGAUUACUUUUAAGUUUGCUCAUGAACCAUAGUGUGCUUUGUUUUGUAAUGACUACUUUUAAGUUUAUUUUACGUUGGGUGGUUAAUACGAAAUCUUCCUACAGGAGCCAAUUAAUUUUGGAUCGAAGGAAACAAGGAUCUGCUGGAGACGUUGCUCAAUGAACAUCUGUUCCCUGCCACUCUUCACACUCUCUGGAUCUCUUAUGGAAUCUGAAAUCUUUGGACGGAAAGGGACUUAAGCACCUCAUUUCCUCAACAGCUAGAAAUUGUAGGGUGCAAGAGUCUUGAAUUCCUGCCAAAAGAGGGUUUUCUGGCCUCUCUAUCAUAUAUGAGCAUUGAGAAUUGUCCUUCUUUGAAGAAGAGGUGUGAGCAGGGAAAAGAUAGGAGAAAUAUAGCUCGAAUUCCUUGCAUAAAGAUGGAUGGAGAAGUCAUCAUCAUAUGAGCCUUCAUUUCACUCUCUCUCUCCAACUCUCUACUCUCUACUCUCAACUCUCAAGACAAAAGCCAGGUACUUUUUUAUUUAUUAUUAAACUGAUUGUCCUGAGCAACAAAUUCCUAUUAAAUUCAAGUUUCAGAGUCUAAUUCCGAUGAAAUUACAGGAGAAUGUGAGGGGAGUGACUUCUUUGUAGUCUGAUAUAUAUAUGAUUCUCCUGCAUGUGACCCUUUCUCAUACUUUUCUCGUUUGAGGCAUAACUUUCUCAUCUUUCACUGUAACUGUAAUCUUCAGGUAGGUAUGUUUCUAUCUAAUAACAGUUGAAGAGUGCCUCAUGGCUGUGCUUGCAUGAAUGCCAGUACAUACGUUGCGUUACUAGAUUGUAUUUAUAUUAAGGAGGAUUUCACUGGUGGAACAUUGCAGAUCAGCUCUAAAUUGUAAUUUACUCUCUCUCGCUUUUUCUAUCUUCAGUUUGCCUUAUCUACAUUGCAUUUUAUAUCAGUCUUCCUUCUUUGACAGUUCAAUUCAACCAUAUCCUAGGUCAGGACAAUUUGAUGGUACUAGCAGGUAUAUCGGUUUCAUUGAUGCAGCGAGCAAACAGAGUAAAGCUGUAAAGAUAGGAUUAUCAAAUGGUGCUCUGGUUUUCUGGACUGUCAAGUUUGAAGUCUUUGGACAGAAAUGGACUUUGACCGGGGACCUGCAGACCUCAUCUCUUGUCAACAACUAUAUAAAGAUUGAAUGUAUGUGGGACUUCAUCGGCCCAGAGAGAAAACUAUUGAACUGUACAGAUAGGAUUAUCAGAGGGCAAACGAUGUUAGCUUACAUCAACCACUCAGGUACUUAUGUAUACAUAUGACACCACUUGCCUUUGAUUUUGUUAAAUUACUUUUUAGCAGUAUAAUUUAACCGUGCUACCCCUUCUUCUUUCUCUUAUUUUUAAUUUCUCCCCUAACAUUUACUUGUUUCUUUAAGUUUCAGGACAGUAUCAUCAUAUAUAAUAACAACCGGUUUUCGCUUACAUAUCAAUUACUAGUUGUUGAUUGGUGCGACGGCGAUCUCUCGCAUAUAGGAUUCCCCCUGCAUGGGAUGAAAGUAGCUCCUUGAUGAUGUUUUUUUUCCCUCAUAUGCACUGCUGUGGUUUCCAUAUGGCGGAAUGCUUACUCAUCUUUCAAUGCCUCUAUUAUCUUGAGGUAGGUGUAUACACAUGUUUCUCUACAAACACAAUGGUUGAAGAGAUCAUGGCCUUUUGGCACCGCUUUUUAGAAUGCCAGUGUUACUCGACUCAGUGGCUGGCUGCUGCCGCGCCUACAGAUUUCAGUGUAAGCAGUUGAACAUUUGAGUGUAACUUAUUCUUCCUUUCUGUAAAAGUGUUACUCGAUCCACUUUAGGAAUUUGUUAUUGGCAAAAGAAAGUCAUCAUGCACUCAAUCCAUCAUUAAUAACUUCGUUACAAGAAUGCACAAUAAUUGUUUUAGACUGCCAAUAACAGUUCUUCUGCGUUAUCAAAUCUCUUCAUGUCUUUGUUAUAUUUAUUUAUUUGUACAAUGAUAGUGAGGAUUGGUGAUUUUAGUUAAACCUCACAAUAAAUCAACUAUAAAUUAGUAUUGAACUCAUGAUUUAAAGGAGAAAAACCUAAAACCUCCUAAUUUCUAGUUGAAAUGAAUACGCCACCAAACUGCGUAACAUUGAUAAGGGUGGGUACUUGGGACCGAAAACCAAAACCACAAUACAGACUAAACCGGGUUGCACUGAAUAGUUUGGUUUUUGUGGUUUUGAAACUAAGCUGAAAGCUAAAAUAAUAGAUUGGUUUCAGUUCCUAAUAUUGAACCAAAAUUGAACCGAACCACAUAAUUCAUUAGUGCUAACCAUGUUCUAAUUUAAAGAUUUCAUCGUGACAUUUGAUGUGUACUUAAACUAACCUAAAUAAUAGAUUAAUUUAAAUCAAAUUAAACUUGCAAGAGCACAAAUCAAUUAUAGUAAUAUAUGCAAAUACGAGGUCGAUCCCACAGGGAUUGCUUUAACACCAAUUUAACCGAUUGAUCACUCUAGACUUAAUUAAACAAACAAAUGAUAUAUUUAAUUGAAUAAUUGAGCAAUUGAUUAAGACUAAAAUCAGCAAGAAAAAAAAAAGACAAUUAAUUAAAAUAAACACAUGACACAAGAAAACCUAAGGUUAUGAAUCCACCAAUAACAAUCCUAAUUACUUUUCCUAGAGCCAACUACUAUCCAAUUAACAUGCCAAUGUUAAAGGUUGUUCUUUCUAAGGUAUGAAUUAAUUUGUGUCAGACAUCAACUCUUGUAUCUCUAUAUGAUAAUUAUAUCCUAAUUGGUUUGGCAUACAAUUAAACACAUAAAAACCCAUUAAGUGUAGAAGAAUCAUGCCAACCAAGUAGGACUAGCUUGAUAUUAUUGGCCAUCCUUACUAGUCUAGCUUGAUAUUAUUGGUCAUCCUUACUAGUUUAUCUACUCUUCUUAAUCUUAGUUCCAAUAAACCUAAUUGGUACUGUUCACUUUAACGAAAAACCACAUUUUUACACUAAAAAGUCAAUCCUGGUACUAUUCAUUUUACCCUUUAUUUUGUCCUUAUCGUUAAAACUCAAAGUUUUCAAGCCCUUUUUCAUUAGUUUUUCUAACUAUCUAGAUGCAAAAGUCUUAAAGGUGAUCAGUCAUUAGAAACCUAAAUCUAGAAUAAAAUACCCACAAAGAUUAAGAAUAUAACAUGACAUAAUCGGAUAAUAAUUAACAAAGUACUUCGCAAAUAUUCAUGUCAUGGCUUCAUGACACGCACCGAUCCCGAUGUCCGAGGGACAUCGGGAUGGCCACGUGCUGGCCGACACCUGAAUGUGACGGAAACCAUUUAAUGAAUGCAUAUGCUGAAAACAUGUAAAACAUGCAUAUAAAUUUCACGCAUCACUACGCAAUGUAAUAUUCAACAGAAGUCUUACAAAAUACAAUAACAAUAUUCAACUGCCAUAAGAUUAUGUUUAUGGCACUUGGAACUAUCCAUGCAAUUGCAAUCAAAGCACCAAAUAAAUUGAACUCUAAAUCUGUUAUACUAGCUACUGCCACACCUGCUGAGACUACAGCUAGAGCUAAUACCUGCUCAACACAACCAUUGAAAUAGGAAAUCGAAAACGACCUAUUGGCGAAUCUUGUUAAAUGGGUACUAAACCGUGGUUAAUAUACGGCCUAUUGUCUAUUUAGCGUUACUCUAUAAGUUCAAUUUUUUACAGGCAUCCAUGAAAUGCUGAAGGGAUAUCAGGAUUGAGUACAAAUAUUUCAAUGCUUCCUCUUGAUAAAUUAAUACAAUCAAGUAAUUUUACAGUGUGUAAAUUCAAAACUGAAAACCAAAAACACAAAUAAUGUACAUCGAUGGCCUUAAUAAUCAUUUUCCCUCCUGAUGGCAUCAAGAUCGGCUUGUAGUUUGUCUACAUUUAAGCUUCGCGAGGCCAUGGCCACUAGCUUCUUUUUAUGUUCACCUACUUCUCGUCGGAUUCUAUCAGUUGCCAUAAUUUUCUCACGAAUCUGUUCGAAGCUCUCGUGGAUGCUAGUGAGAAGCCUAUAAGCCUGCUUCCCAACUGCAUCCUUCUUUGCUUCCCUGCAAAUAAGUACCAUGAUGGACUUGUCGUAACCCAAGUAUUUUAAGUCACGGACAGUUUAUGGUAAAUGAAUUUCGUACCUGAACACCAUUUCAUCUACAACAGCAUAUGUCCGAUGAAGACGUUCUUGAAUAGAAUUACUCUCUAACUGAAGCUCCCUGGUGUCUUUUAAGAUCUGCUGUAUGUCAGCUUCUUGCUUCCGACUGUUCUUUGUGAUCUCCUUGACCCCUUCAAUGUAGGACUUUCUAGAUGCCACCUUGGGCUGCUUCUCUAGAUCCGUUGACAGUUUAGAAAGUUCCUCCUCCUACAGAAUCAUAAAUGCGUCACCAAUAAGCACGCAAGCGAAGUUGUGAAAUUGAAUAUUAGUAAGAUAAUGAAACAGACAAUGGGCAAUCUUUGAUCACAAUUUAUACAAGAAAGUUUUCUAUAUCCCCUCCAUCGUGUACCUUUAAUAAAAAAUUAUGUUACUUUCUAAAAACUAAAGAUUCCCAAACUUUACCACGAACCACAGAAGUUUUGAAGACAGCAGGAGCAUAGACAAUAUGACCUAGAAGUUGCAUUUAUUUAAUUUCGAGAAACGUACCUUUUUCGAAUUUCAAAUAAGAUGGAUUCUUUUUCCAGUUCAUAAUCUUUCAGCUUAUGGAGCUUUUCCUGAGCAUUUGGGUUGUUUGCAUAUACAGACACCUGAAGACUUUCCUUUUUUGCUUCCAAAGGCUUUCUGACUGCUUCCCUGUGAAAAAUCAUUGGUAACAGAUGAAACAAUACAUACAUAUGCUGGCAAAGGUAGUACCAUUUGCAAUAUUUAUAUCUAGCGUGUUAAGACAUGAAUCGUUACAGUUUAGUUUUUAUAAUGGUAUAUAUUAGUCUGAUAUACAACGAACUUAGUCGUCAUGAACAAUUAAAUAAAGACUAAACUUUAAUUGUCAAUUCCCCAAGGUGAUGGCGUGAUGUCAAUUCCCCAAGGUGGUGCCUUCGAACAUCUACUUGCUCAUUAAGUUUCUCAAGGUGAAAUUCAACAGAAUGAUGGACGUCAAAUGCCAUAUCUGCUGCUUCUUUUACCAAUUCCAACUCUUCUUCAAGUUCUGAAGUUUUUGCUUUAACCUCCUCCAUGAGCAGUUGUUCCUGAUUUUGCACUUUUUCAGUCGAAUGAUUCUCGCUAAAUACAUUAUUUUGUCUGUCCUUGUUGAAUCCUCCUGUGCUAGAGGUGCACACAUCAACGCUUAUUUCAGGCACUUCACUCUUCAAUGUGAGUUUGUCCAAUUUGACUCAAACUUUGUCACAACUAAGAUCUGGUUCCUCAUCACCAGUUGUUUGGUCCUCCAAAUUGCUUCCAGAGCUACCUUCUUUCUCUUUCCUUUCAUCAUUGACACCCUCUGGACCAGCUUUUCCGCCAACUUCAGAAGAAUCUGAAAGCAUCUCCACCAAGAACCUUAUCAACUUGUACGAGCCCUCUUCAGAAACAUAUAUCUCUUCCUCAAAUGUUACAGCAAUCCUCUCGAGUUCACGUAAUCCCUCCGGACCAUCAAAGGGAAUGUGCCUCACCAUCGUUUCAAUUCUUUGUAUGCAAUAGAUUCAAUACGUCACAAACUAAAAGUAUUGGAAUUUAUGCACAAAUGGAACUCGUUACAAUUUCUAAUAAAAAACAGAAUUGGGUACUCGAUAACGAUAAGCAGUAUACAUAACAUGCUUUAGUACCACUUUUUUUUCUUUCUAUUUCCAGACUUCCUGUACGAGGGUUAAACAUUUCAGCUAAAAAAAGUAACAAGGAUAUUCUGCCAUUAAAUUUAUCUCCCCUUAACAAAGUCCAUAAUUUCUAGACGAUUUAUUGUUAACAUACUGCGUCCCAGGUACUAACCUUGGUAGAUAUAUAGCUUGGAUUCGUAAUAUCACUUGUAAUAAAAACAUACAUCUUGGCGACAAUUCUGUGUCUUGACUCUGACUGUAAUUGGCUCCUCCAAUCAACACCUGCCUCCAUUGGAGGUUCUCCACCUUGAGGAGGUCUGGUCUGAAUAUUGGUAUCCAUCAAAACUGACCAACCAGACACAUUCAUCAGACUUGUAUACAACAACAACAACAACAACAACAAAGCCUUUUCCCACUAAGUGGGGUCGGCUAUAUGAAUCCUAGAACGCCAUUGCGCUCGGUUUUGUGUCAUGUCCUCCGUUAGAUCCAAGUACUCUAAGUCUUUUCUUAGAGUCUCUUCCAAAGUUUUCCUAGGUCUUCCUCUACCCCUUCGGCCCUGAACCUCUGUCCCGUAGUCACAUCUUCGAACCGGAGCGUCAUUCGGCCUUCUUUGCACAUGUCCAAAUCACCGGAACCGAUUUUCUCUCAUCUUUCCUACAAUUUCGGCUACUCCUACUUUACCUCGGAUAUCCUCAUUCCCAAUCUUAUCCUUUCUCGUGUGCCCACACAUCCCACGAAGCAUCCUCAUCUCCGCUACACCCAUUUUGUGUACGUGUUGAUGCUUCACCGCCCAACAUUCUGUGCCAUACAACAUCGCUGGCCUUAUUGCCGUCCUAUAAAAUUUUCCCUUGAGCUUCAGUCGCCUACGGCGGUCACACAACACGCCGGAUGCAUUCUUACACUUCAUCCAUCCAGCUCGUAUUCUAUGGUUGAGAUCUCCAUCUAAUUCUCCGUUCUCUUGCAAGAUAGAUCCUAGGUAGCGAAAACGGUCGCUUUUUGUGAUCUUCGCUAGAUUGCUCCAGUCAUUAGUGUGGAUAAGUAUAUAAAUGGAUAGAGAUAGGAAAGCAAACACAAGAUGUACGUGGUUCACCCAGAUUGGCUACGUCCACGGAAUAGAAGAGUUCUCAUUAAUUGUGAAGGGUUUACACAAGUACAUAGGUUUCAAGCUCUCCUUUAGUGAGUACAAGUGAAUGAUUUAGUACAAAUGACAUUAGGAAAUAUUGUGGGAGAAUGAUCUCGUAAUCACGAAACUUCUAAGUAUCGGAGUGUGGUGUCGUCUUGACUUGCCUUAUCUGUCUCAUAGGUAGAUGUGGCAUCUUCUCUGGAAGUACUCUUCCUCCAUCCAGGGGUGGUAUCUUUAACUGGUGGAGAUGCACAAGGUAAUGUAUCAAUUUCACUUGAAGCUUACUUGUAGUUUCAGGCUUGGUCAAGCGCGAUACAAACCAUGUAGUAGGAGUCCCCCAAGUCGCCGAGCUAGGGGAUCUGCUGAAAGAGGUGACAGACAAGGUAAGCAAUCAGAGCUCCGACUGAUUGUUCACCUUCUCCCCAUCUUGCAGCAGCAUGAAGGAUAAAUAGAAGAAAAAUGAGAAGAGAUGAUAUGAGAUACUUUUGCUUUUGAAGAAGUAACUUUCCACAGGCUUAUUCUGAACUGAGCUGGAGGGUUUUCUGGUUUCCUCCAGAGUAUAAGGCCGACUGAAGAAUUUGAGGGUCAAAACAAGUCCAUCAAAUCUAGAGUACGUUCCACCCUGCUAAUAUGGGAUACUUUUGCUUUUGACAGAGUAAUGGAUGUAUCGGCACGUGUGCUGUUACGCUUGUCUCCACAUGCUUCCUUGUAUCCUUCGCACUUGCCCUAUCUGUUCCUCAAGCAGAUGCGGAAUCUUCCCUGGAAACAUAAGAUGUUGAAGAUGAGUACUCGAGAGCAAUGCCAGGUAAGUAAUCAGGUAAGGGGUUCCAGGCAGUCAGUUCCUGGCUGGAAGCUUGAUUUCAAGUGCUGACUGAUUGCUCUCUUUCUCCUUGUCUUGCAGGUAAAAACAAGGCCAAAGGAAAAGACAGGGAAAAAGCAUGAUAUGGGAUACUCUUGCUUUUAACCCUGAUGAUAUGAGAUAUUCUUGCUCUAGUAUAGCUUGUUUGCAGAGGUAUUAUCGGGGGGAAAGAAAACUGAAUAUUUCGAAAGGCUUCGUUGGGAGUGCCCUCUCAGAUAUGAUGAAGGGUUGAGCAUUUUUGCAGGUCUGCCUGUCCGUUGGGGAUGGAGGUCGACAUAUAUAGGAGUCUCCCUAACAAGUAGUACUGCUAUUCCUUUACCCUGCUUGGUCAUAGCACGGUAGUGGGAGCUGCCAGUUUCACAUGUUUUAACUCUGUCAGAGCACUUUGAAAAAGUGGUCUGUGGUAUCUGGCUCUCGAGAUUCGGAGAACGAUGCCUCUUCGAUUUUUGAGAAAGCAAUCAUGCUGGGGGUCUGGCUCUCGAGAUUCGGAGAGCAGUGUCUCUUCGAUUUUUGAGAAAGUAAUCAUGUUGGAAGUCUGGCUCUCGAGAUUCGGAGGGCGGUGCCUCUUCGAUUUUGGAGCAAGCAAUCUUGUUGGGAGUGUUGUCUCGAAUGUGAGUAAAGGUUGGGCAUGUUUGCUAGUCUACCUUGCCACGAAGCACAAAGGUUGACACACAGGGACUUUCCAAUUAUCCAGCAAUGGUACUGUUCCUUUACCCUCUCUUCGAUUUUGAGAAAGUAGUCAUGUUGGGAGUCUGGCUCUCGAGAUUCGGAGGAUGGUGCCUCUUCGAUUUUGGAGCAAGCAAUCUUGUUGGGAGUGUUUUCUCGAAUGUGAGUAAAGGUUGGGCAUGUUUGCUAGUCUACCUUGCCACGAAGCACAGAGGUUGACAAACAGGGACUUUCCAAUUAUCCAACAGUGGUACUGUUCCUUUACCCUUGCGGGUAAUAAUAUGGUAGCUAGACCUUCAAAAUUUAUGUGUCUAAACUUUGUUAGUGCUGUUUCUUUGCUAUUCUUUUACCUUUCUUGGUCAGAGCGAUGUAGUGGGAGCUGCAAACUUCACGUGCUCAACUUUGGCAGAGAACUUUGGCAAAGUUAUCUGUGGUACCCAUGAACUAUUGUUGUGUGUGGGAAGUGGGUGAUUGAACAGUAAGAUUCAUGUGCUUUCUACUUCACCAGAAGUCUUCGACAGAAUGCCCAUAAUUUCUGCAAAGCUGAGUGUGCGUGUGACAGGUGCUGACAAGGCUAGAAAAGUAGGUGCCUCUUCGAUUUCUGAGAUCGGCCCUCGUGGUCUCUGAGCAGCCCAGCUUUUGAGAAAGCGAGCGCCUCCUCGAUUGAUUCGGAGAACGAUGCCUCAUCGAUUUUUGAGAAAGCAAUCAUGUUGGGGGUCUAGCUCUCGAAGAUUCGGGGAGCAGUGUCUCUUCGAUUUUUGAGAAAGUAAUCAUGUUGAGAGUCUGGCUCUCGAGAUUCGGAGGGCGGUGCCUCUUCGAUUUUGGAGCAAGCAAUCUUGUUGGGAGUGUUUUCUCGAAUGUGAGUAAAGGUUGGGCAUGUUUGCUAGUCUACCUUGCCACGAAGCACAGAGGUUGACAAACAGGGACUUUCCAAUUAUCCAGCAAUGGUACUGUUCCUUUACCCUCUCUUCGAUUUUUAAGAAAGUAGUCAUGUUGGGAGUCUGGCUCUCGAGAUUCGGAGGACGGUGCCUCUUCGAUUUUGGAGCAAGCAAUCUUAUUGGGAGUGUUUUCUCGAAUGUGAGUAAAGGUUGGGCAUGUUUGCUAGUCUACCUUGCCACGAAGCACAGAGGUUGACACACAGGGACUUUCCAAUUAUCCAGCAGUGGUACUGUUCCUUUACCCUUGUGGGUAAUAAUAUGGUAGCUAGACCUUCAAAAUUUAUGGGUCUAAACUUUGUUAGUGCUGUUUCUUUGCUAUUCUUUUACCCUUCUUGGUCAGAGCGAUGUAGUGGGAGCUGCAAGCUUCACGUGCUCAACUUUGGCAGAGAACUUUGGCAAAGUUUUCUGUGGUACCCAUGAGCUAUUGUUGCGUGUGGGAAGUGGGUGAUUGAACAGUAAGAUUCAUGUGUUUUCUACUUCCCCAGAAGUCUUCGACAGAAUGCCCAUAAUUUCCGCAAAGCUGAGUGUGCAUGUGACAGGUGCUGACAAGGCUGGAAAAGUAGGUGCCUCUUCGAUUUCUGAGAUCGGCCCUCGUGGUCUCUGGGGAGCCCAGCUUUUGAGAAAGCGGGCGCCUCUUCGAUUUCUGAGAUCAGCCUUCGAGGUCUUUGAGCAGCCCAACUUUUGAGAAAGCAAAUGCCUCUUCGAUUUCUGAGAUCAACCCUCGUGAUCUCUAAGCAGCCCAGCUUUUGAGAAAGCAAACGCCUCUUCGAUUUCUGAGCAGGCGCCUCUUCGAUUUCUGAAGCUCCGUCGAGUGCAGAUUUUUAUAGGGGCUGGCAUUAAGUUCCAAAGCACACUUGAAUCUCCACCAGUAGAAACUUCAUUCUUGCACUUCUAAGAUCUUGAUUUGUCCGACCUCUUCUCUCUUCAACACCUUUGAAAAUGUCUGGCCCCUCCGACCGUCGUUUUGACUUGAACCUUGUUGAAGAGGCAGCCCCGCCUUCUCCAGACAACAUAUGGCGCCCAUCCUUCGUCUCCCCUACUGGUCCUCUUACCGUUGGGGAUUCCGUGAUGAAGAAUGAUAUGACCGCUGCGGUGGUGGCCAGGAACCUUCUCACUCCCAAAGAUAACAGACUACUUUCCAAACGGUCUGAUGAGUUAGCUGUUAAGGAUUCGCUGGCUCUCAGUGUUCAGUGUGCAGGUUCUGUGUCUAAUAUGGCCCAACGCUUAUUUGCUCGAACCCGCCAAGUUGAAUCAUUGGCGGCUGAAGUGAUGAGUCUCAAACAGGAGAUUAGAGGGCUCAAGCAUGAGAAUAAACAGUUGCACCGGCUCGCACAUGACUAUGCUACAAACAUGAAGAGGAAGCUUGACCAGAUGAAGGAAACUGAUGGUCAGGUUUUACUUGAUCAUCAGAGAUUUUUGGGUUUGUUCCAAAGGCAUUUAUUGCCUUCGUCUUCUGGGGCUGUACCGCGUAAUGAAGCUCCAAAUGAUCAACCUCUAAUGCCUCCUCCUUCUAGGGUUCUGUCCAGUACUGAGGCUCCAAAUGAUCCCCCUCCGGUGCCUUCUCUUUCUGGGGCUCUACCGACUGCUGAGACUUCUCCUAAGCAACCUUUGUGAAGGCUCCCCUCUUGUUUGUUUUAUUUUGACUCAUGUAUAUGUACAUAUUUGUAGCUUAUCGGGGAUAUCAAUAAAUAAGCUUUCCUUCAUUUCAACGUAUUGUGUUAGAUACACCAAAGCCUUCUUCGCUAAGUUCUUUGAAUUUUCUUUUGUUGAAGCUUGUAUGUUGAAGCUUUCUGAGUGGAGCAUGUAGGUUGGGGUAGUGUUCCCUUAAUUUUCCGAGUGAGGAAAACUUCUCGGUUGGAGACUUGGAAAAUCCAAGUCACUGAGUGGGAUCGGCUAUAUGAAUCUUAGAACGCCAUUGUGCUCGAUCAUGUGUCAUGUCCUUCGUUAGAUCCAAGUACUCUAAGUCUUUUCUUAGAGUCUCUUCCAAAGUUGGCUAAGAAGAGAUCAUAUGCCAUUGCAAAAUCCAAGAUAGCUUCCCCAUCCUCGUUUCUCUCCCCAAAACCAUGGCCACCAUGAAAACCUCCAUAGUUGCCUGUCUCCCUGCCCACGUGUCCAUUUAAAUCUCCUCCUAUAAAUAACUUCUCCGUCUGAGCAAUUCCUUGCACCAAGUCUCCAAGAUCUUCCCAAAAUUUCUCCUUCGAACUCGUAUCCAACCCUACUUGAGGUGCGUACGCACUAAUCACAUUGAUAAGUGAACUAUAAAUUAACCAUAGAUUUGAAUUAACUGAUUAUUAGAAAAGAAUGUAAUGCACAUAAACUUGAAACAAAAGUUGGCGUUCAUACCUGGAUCAAGAGAUGCGUGGGAGACUGCGGUCUGAGAUUUGGUCUCCAUGGUGAGCAUCUUGAGAGAAAUUUUCCGUAAAUAAUCCGACUGGAAAAAGAGAUCCCCACAUAAUCUAGAUUACAACUCUAUCAAGCAUCCACAAUACAAAUAAACUUGAAAAUAAAACAUCUAUGUCAGUAAUGACAACAUAAAAAGAUUUGAACUCCAAGGGUUCUUGAAGUACCUGACUUGAGGCACCAACAUACAUAUUUUCCUCAAACGUUACAGCAAUCCUCUCGAUUUUACGUAAUCCCUCCGGACCAUCAAAGGGAAUGUGCCUUUUCAUCGUUUCAAUUCUUUGUAUGCAAAACAUUCAAUAAGUCACAUACUAAAAGUAUAGGUAAAUACGCACGAAUGGAACUCGUUACAAAUUUCCAAUACAAAACAGAAUUGGGGUACUCUAGAACAACAAGCAGUAUACACAACACGGUUUAGUGCCACUUUUUAUUCUCUUUCCAGACUUCCUGAACGAGAGUUAAAUAUAUUUCAGCUAAAAAGGAGUAAUAAGGAUAGUCCGUCCAUAAUUUCUAGACGCUUUAUAUCUAACGUACUGCGUCCCGGCUUCAAACCUUAGUAUAUAGUUUGGAUUAGUAAUAUCGCUUGUAAUAAAAACAUACAUCUUUGCGACAAUUCUGUGUCGUGACUCUGACUGUAAUUGGGUCCUCCAAUCAUCACACCUGCCUCCAUUGGAGGUUGUCCACCUUGAGGAGGUCUGGUCUGAAUAUUGAUAUUCACCAAAACUGAACAACCAGACACAACCAUUAGACAACAACAACAACAACAACAACAACAACAACAACAACAACAACAAACAACAACAACAAAGCCUUUUCCCACUAAGUGGGGUCGGCUAUAUGAAUCCUAGAACGCCAUUGCGCUCGGUUUUGUGUCAUGUCCUCCGUUAGAUCCAAGUACUCUAAGUCUUUUCUUAGAGUCUCUUCCAAAGUUUUCCUAGAUCUUCCUCUACCCCUUCGGCCCUCUGUCCCGUAGUCACAUCUUCGAACCGGAUCGUCAGUAAGCCUUCUUUGCACAUGUCCAAAUCACCAAAAAACCGAUUUUCUCUCAUCUUUCCUUCAAUUUCGGUUACUUCUACUUUACCUCGGAUAUCUUCAUUCCCAAUCUUAUCAUUUCUCGUGUGCCCACACAGCUCACGAAGCAUCCUCAUCUUCGCUACACCCAUUUUGUGUACGUGUUGAUACUUCACCGCCCAACAUUCUGUGCCAUACAACAUCGCUGGCCUUAUUGCCGUCCUAUAAAAAAAUUUUCCCUUGAGCUUCAGUGGCCUACGACGGUCACACAACAUGCCGGAUGCACUCUUACACUUCAUCCAUCCAGCUUGUAUUCUAUGGUUGAGAUCUCCAUCUAAUUCUCCGUUCUCUCUUGCAAGAUAGAUCCUAGGUAGCGAAAACGGUCGCUUUUUGUGAUCUUCGCUAGAUUGCUCCGGUCAUUAGUGUGGAUAAGUAUAUAAAUGGAUAGAGAUAGGAAAGCAAACACAAGAUGUACGUGGUUCACCCAGAUUGGUUACGUCCACGGAAUAGAGGAGUUCUCAUUAAUUGUGAAGGGUUUACACAAGUACAUAGGUUCAAGCUCUCCUUUAGUGAGUACAAGUGAAUGAUUUAGUACAAAUGACAUUAGGAAAUAUUGUGGGAGAAUGAUCUCGUAAUCACGAAACUUCUAAGUAUCGGAGUGUGGUAUCGUCUUGACUUGCCUUAUCUGUCUCAUAGGUAGAUGUGGCAUCUUCUCUGGAAGUACUCUUCCUCCAUCCAGGGGUGGUAUCUUUAACUGGUGGAGAUGAACAAGGUAAUGUAUCAAUUUCACUUGAAGCUUACUUGUAGUUUCAAGAUUAGUCAAGCGCGAUACAAACCAUGUAGUAGGAGUCCCCCAAGUCGCCGAGCUAGGGGAUCUGCUGAAAUAGGUGACAGACAAGGUAAGCAAUCAGAGCUCCGGCUGAUUGUUCACAUUCUCCCUAUCUUGCAGGCAGCAUGAAGGAUAAAGAGAAGAAAAAUGAGAAGAGAUGAUAUGAGAUACUUUUGCUUUUGAAGAAGUAACUUUCCACAGGCUUAUUCUUGAACUGAGCUGGAGGGUUUUCUGGUUUCCUCCAGAGUAUAAGGCCGACUGAAGAAUUUGAGGGUCAAAACAAGUCCAUCAAAUCUAGAGUACGUUCGACCCUGCUGAUAUGGGAUACUUUUUCUUUUGACAGAGUAGUGGAUGUAUCGGCACGUGUGCUGUUACGCUUGUCUCCACAUGCUUCCUUGUAUCCUCUCACUUGCCCUAUCUGUUCCUUAGGCAGAUGCGGUAUCUUCCCUGGAAGCAUAAGAUGUUGAAGAUGAGUACUCGAGAGUAAUGCCAGGUAAGUAAUCAGGUAAGGGGUUCCAUGCAGUCAGUUCCUGGCUGGAAGCUUGAUUCCAAGUGCUGACUGAUUGCUCUCUUUCUCCUUGUCUUGCAGGUAAGAACAAGGCCAAAGGAAAAGACAGGGAAAAAGCAUGAUAUAGAGAUACUCUUGCUUUUAACCCUGAUGAUAUGAGAUAUUCUUGCUAUAGUAUAGCUUGUUUGCAGAGGUAUUAUCGGGGGGAAAGAAAGCUGAAUAUUUCGAAAGGCUUCGUUGGGAGUGCCCUCUCAGAUAUGAGGAAGGGUUGAGCAUUUUUGCAGGUCUGCCUGUCCGUUGAGGAUGGAGGUCGACAUAUAUAGGAGUCUCCCUAACAACAAGUAGUAAUGCUAUUCCUUUACCCUGCUUGGUCAUAGCACAGUAGUGGGAGCUGCCAGCUUCACAUGUUUUAACUCUGUCAGAGCACUUUGAAAAAGUGGUCUAUGGUAUCUGGAAAGCUGAUGUUAUGUGUGAAGAUUACAGACAAGCUUUAUCCAAGGAGAUCCGGCUCUUGAAGUUGGGAAAGUGGUGCCUCUUCGGUUUUCGAACAAGCAAUCCUAUCGGGGAUCUGGCUUUCGAGAUUUGGAGAACGAUGCCUCUUCGAUUUUUGAGAAACCAAUCAUGCUGGGGGUCUGGCUCUCGAGAUUCGAAGAGCGGUGUCUCUUCGAUUUUUGAGAAAGUAAUCAUGUUGGGAGUCUGGCUAUCGAGAUUCGGAGGGCGGUGCUUCUUCGAUUUUGGAGCAAGCAAUCUUGUUGGGAGUGUUUUCUCGAAUGUGAGUAAAGGUUGGGCAUGUUUGCUAGUCUACCUUGCCACGAAGCAUAGAGGUUGACACACAGGAACUUUCCAAUUAUCCAGCAAUGGUACUAUUCCUUUACCCUCUCUUCGAUUUUUGAGAAAGUAGUCAUGUUGGGAGUCUGGCUCUCGAGAUUCGGAGGACGGUGCCUCCUCGAUUUUGGAGCAAGCAAUCUUAUUGGGAGUGUUUUUCUCGAAUGUGAGUAAAGGUUGGGCAUGUUUGCUAUUCUACCUUGCCACGAAGCACAAAGGUUGACACACAGGGACUUUCCAAUUAUCUAGCAGUGGUACUGUUCCUUUACCCUUGUGGGUAAUAAUAUGGUAGCUAGACCUUCAAAAUUUAUGUGUCUAAACUUUGUUAGUGCUGUUUCUUUGCUAUUCUUUUACCCUUCUUGGUCCGAGCGAUGUAGUGGGAGCUGCAAGCUUCACGUGUCUCAACUUUGGCAAAGUUAUCUGUGGUACCCAUGAGCUACUGUUGCGUGUGGGAAGUGGGUGAUUGAACAGUAAGAUUCAUGUGCUUUCUACUUCACCAGAAGUCUUCGACAGAAUGCCCAUAAUUUCCGCAAAGCUGAGUAUGCGUGUGACAGGUGCUGAUAAAGCUGGAAAAGUAGGUGCCUCUUCGAUUUUCGAGAUCGGCUCUCUUGGUCUCUGAGCAGCCUAGCUUUUGAGAAAGCAAAUGCCUCUUCGAUUUCUGAGAUCGGCCUUCGUGGUCUUUGAGCAGCCCAGCUUUUGAGAAAGCAAAAGCCUCUUCUAUUUCUGAGAUCGACCCUCGUGGUCUCUGAGCAGCCCAUCUUUUGAGAAAGCAAACGCCUCUUCGAUUUCUGAGCAGGCGCCUCUUCGAUUUCUGAAACUCCGUCGAGUGCAGAUUUUUCAUAGGGGCUGGCAUUAAGUUCCAAAGCACACUUGAAUCUCCACCAGUAGAAGCUUCAUUCUUGCACUUCUAAGAUCUUGAUUUGUCCGACCUUUUCUCUCUUCAACACCUUUGAAAAUGUCUGGCCCCUGACCGUCGUUUUGGCUUGAACNNNNNNNNNNNNNNNNNNNNNNNNNNNNNNNNNNNNNNNNNNNNNNNNNNNNNNNNNNNNNNNNNNNNNNNNNNNNNNNNNNNNNNNNNNNNNNNNNNNNNNNNNNNNNNNNNNNNNNNNNNNNNNNNNNNNNNNNNNNNNNNNNNNNNNNNNNNNNNNNNNNNNNNNNNNNNNNNNNNNNNNNNNNNNNNNNNNNNNNNNNNNNNNNNNNNNNNNNNNNNNNNNNNNNNNNNNNNNNNNNNNNNNNNNNNNNNNNNNNNNNNNNNNNNNNNNNNNNNNNNNNNNNNNNNNNNNNNNNNNNNNNNNNNNNNNNNNNNNNNNNNNNNNNNNNNNNNNNNNNNNNNNNNNNNNNNNNNNNNNNNNNNNNNNNNNNNNNNNNNNNNNNNNNNNNNNNNNNNNNNNNNNNNNNNNNNNNNNNNNNNNNNNNNNNNNNNNNNNNNNNNNNNNNNNNNNNNNNNNNNNNNNNNNNNNNNNNNNNNNNNNNNNNNNNNNNNNNNNNNUUCUGUGUCUAAUAUGGCCCAACGCUUAUUUGCUCGAACCCGCCAAGUUGAAUCAUUGGCGGCUGAAGUGAUGAGUCUCAAACAGGAGAUUAGAGGGCUCAAGCAUGAGAAUAAACAGUUGCACCGGCUCGCACAUGACUAUGCUACAAACAUGAAGAGGAAGCUUGACCAGAUGAAGGAAACUGAUGGUCAGGUUUUACUUGAUCAUCAGAGAUUUUUGGGUUUGUUCCAAAGGCAUUUAUUGCCUUCGUCUUCUGGGGCUGUACCGCGUAAUGAAGCUCCAAAUGAUCAACCUCUAAUGCCUCCUCCUUCUAGGGUUCUGUCCAGUACUGAGGCUCCAAAUGAUCCCCCUCCGGUGCCUUCUCUUUCUGGGGCUCUACCGACUGCUGAGACUUCUCCUAAGCAACCUUUGUGAAGGCUCCCUCUUGUUUGUUUAUUUUGACUCAUGUAUAUGUACAUAUUUGUAGCUUAUCGGGGAUAUCAAUAAAUAAGCUUUCCUUCAUUUCAACGUAUUGUGUUAGAUACACCAAAGCCUUCUUCGCUAAGUUCUUUGAAUUUUCUUUUGUUGAAGCUUGUAUGUUGAAGCUUUCUGAGUGGAGCAUGUAGGUUGGGGUAGUGUUCCCUUAAUUUUCCGAGUGAGGAAAACUUCUCGGUUGGAGACUUGGAAAAUCCAAGUCACUGAGUGGGAUCGGCUAUAUGAAUCUUAGAACGCCAUUGUGCUCGAUCAUGUGUCAUGUCCUUCGUUAGAUCCAAGUACUCUCUAAGUCUUUUCUUAGAGUCUCUUCCAAAGUUGGCUAAGAAGAGAUCAUAUGCCAUUGCAAAAUCCAAGAUAGCUUCCCCAUCCUCGUUUCUCUCCCCAAAACCAUGGCCACCAUGAAAACCUCCAUAGUUGCCUGUCUCCCUGCCCACGUGUCCAUUUAAAUCUCCUCCUAUAAAUAACUUCUCCGUCUGAGCAAUUCCUUGCACCAAGUCUCCAAGAUCUUCCCAAAAUUUCUCCUUCGAACUCGUAUCCAACCCUACUUGAGGUGCGUACGCACUAAUCACAUUGAUAAGUGAACUAUAAAUUAACCAUAGAGAUUUGAAUUAACUGAUUAUUAGAAAAGAAUGUAAUGCACAUAAACUUGAAACAAAAAGUUGGCGUUCAUACCUGGAUCAUCAAGAGAUGCGUGGGAGACUGCGGUCUGAGAUUUGGUCUCCAUGGUGAGCAUCUUGAGAGAAAUUUUCCGUAAAUAAUCCGACUGGAAAAAGAGAUCCCCACAUAAUCUAGAUUACAACUCUAUCAAGCAUCCACAAUACAAAUAAACUUGAAAAUAAAACAUCUAUGUCAGUAAUGAAUGACACAUAAAAAGAUUUGAACUCCAAGGGUUCUUGAAGUACCUGACUUGAGGCACCAACAUACAUAUUUUCCUCAAACGUUACAGCAAUCCUCUCGAUUUUACGUAAUCCCUCCGGACCAUCAAAGGGAAUGUGCCUUUUCAUCGUUUCAAUUCUUUGUAUGCAAAACAUUCAAUAAGUCACAUACUAAAAGUAUAGGUAAAUACGCACGAAUGGAACUCGUUACAAAUUUCCAAUACAAAACAGAAUUGGGGUACUCUAGAACAACAAGCAGUAUACACAACACGGUUUAGUGCCACUUUUUAUUCUCUUUCCAGACUUCCUGAACGAGAGUUAAAUAUAUUUCAGCUAAAAAGGAGUAAUAAGGAUAGUCCGUCCAUAAUUUCUAGACGCUUUAUAUCUAACGUACUGCGUCCCGGCUUCAAACCUUAGUAUAUAGUUUGGAUUAGUAAUAUCGCUUGUAAUAAAAACAUACAUCUUUGCGACAAUUCUGUGUCGUGACUCUGACUGUAAUUGGGUCCUCCAAUCAUCACCUGCCUCCAUUGGAGGUUGUCCACCUUGAGGAGGUCUGGUCUGAAUAUUGAUAUUCACCAAAACUGAACAACCAGACACAACCAUUAGACAACAACAACAACAACAACAACAACAACAACAACAACAACAAUAACAACAACAACAAAGCCUUUUCCCACUAAGUGGGGUCGGCUAUAUGAAUCCUAGAACGCCAUUGCGCUCGGUUUUGUGUCAUGUCCUCCGUUAGAUCCAAGUACUCUAAGUCUUUUCUUAGAGUCUCUUCCAAAGUUUUCCUAGAUCUUCCUCUACCCCUUCGGCCCUCUGUCCCGUAGUCACAUCUUCGAACCGGAUCGUCAGUAAGCCUUCUUUGCACAUGUCCAAAUCACCAAAAAACCGAUUUUCUCUCAUCUUUCCUUCAAUUUCGGUUACUUCUACUUUACCUCGGAUAUCUUCAUUCCCAAUCUUAUCAUUUCUCGUGUGCCCACACAGCUCACGAAGCAUCCUCAUCUUCGCUACACCCAUUUUGUGUACGUGUUGAUACUUCACCGCCCAACAUUCUGUGCCAUACAACAUCGCUGGCCUUAUUGCCGUCCUAUAAAAUUUUCCCUUGAGCUUCAGUGGCCUACGACGGUCACACAACAUGCCGGAUGCACUCUUACACUUCAUCCAUCCAGCUUGUAUUCUAUGGUUGAGAUCUCCAUCUAAUUCUCCGUUCUCUUGCAAGAUAGAUCCUAGGUAGCGAAAACGGUCGCUUUUUGUGAUCUUCGCUAGAUUGCUCCGGUCAUUAGUGUGGAUAAGUAUAUAAAUGGAUAGAGAUAGGAAAGCAAACACAAGAUGUACGUGGUUCACCCAGAUUGGUUACGUCCACGGAAUAGAGGAGUUCUCAUUAAUUGUGAAGGGUUUACACAAGUACAUAGGUUCAAGCUCUCCUUUAGUGAGUACAAGUGAAUGAUUUAGUACAAAUGACAUUAGGAAAUAUUGUGGGAGAAUGAUCUCGUAAUCACGAAACUUCUAAGUAUCGGAGUGUGGUAUCGUCUUGACUUGCCUUAUCUGUCUCAUAGGUAGAUGUGGCAUCUUCUCUGGAAGUACUCUUCCUCCAUCCAGGGGUGGUAUCUUUAACUGGUGGAGAUGAACAAGGUAAUGUAUCAAUUUCACUUGAAGCUUACUUGUAGUUUCAAGAUUAGUCAAGCGCGAUACAAACCAUGUAGUAGGAGUCCCCCAAGUCGCCGAGCUAGGGGAUCUGCUGAAAUAGGUGACAGACAAGGUAAGCAAUCAGAGCUCCGGCUGAUUGUUCACAUUCUCCCUAUCUUGCAGGCAGCAUGAAGGAUAAAGAGAAGAAAAAUGAGAAGAGAUGAUAUGAGAUACUUUUGCUUUUGAAGAAGUAACUUUCCACAGGCUUAUUCUUGAACUGAGCUGGAGGGUUUUCUGGUUUCCUCCAGAGUAUAAGGCCGACUGAAGAAUUUGAGGGUCAAAACAAGUCCAUCAAAUCUAGAGUACGUUCGACCCUGCUGAUAUGGGAUACUUUUUCUUUUGACAGAGUAGUGGAUGUAUCGGCACGUGUGCUGUUACGCUUGUCUCCACAUGCUUCCUUGUAUCCUCUCACUUGCCCUAUCUGUUCCUUAGGCAGAUGCGGUAUCUUCCCUGGAAGCAUAAGAUGUUGAAGAUGAGUACUCGAGAGUAAUGCCAGGUAAGUAAUCAGGUAAGGGGUUCCAUGCAGUCAGUUCCUGGCUGGAAGCUUGAUUCCAAGUGCUGACUGAUUGCUCUCUUUCUCCUUGUCUUGCAGGUAAGAACAAGGCCAAAGGAAAAGACAGGGAAAAAGCAUGAUAUGAGAUACUCUUGCUUUUAACCCUGAUGAUAUGAGAUAUUCUUGCUAUAGUAUAGCUUGUUUGCAGAGGUAUUAUCGGGGGGAAAGAAAGCUGAAUAUUUCGAAAGGCUUCGUUGGGAGUGCCCUCUCAGAUAUGAGGAAGGGUUGAGCAUUUUUUGCAGGUCUGCCUGUCCGUUGAGGAUGGAGGUCGACAUAUAUAGGAGUCUCCCUAACAACAAGUAGUAAUGCUAUUCCUUUACCCUGCUUGGUCAUAGCACAGUAGUGGGAGCUGCCAGCUUCACAUGUUUUAACUCUGUCAGAGCACUUUGAAAAAGUGGUCUAUGGUAUCUGGAAAGCUGAUGUUAUGUGUGAAGAUUACAGACAAGCUUUAUCCAAGGAGAUCCGGCUCUUGAAGUUGGGAAAGUGGUGCCUCUUCGGUUUUCGAACAAGCAAUCCUAUCGGGGAUCUGGCUUUCGAGAUUUGGAGAACGAUGCCUCUUCGAUUUUUGAGAAACCAAUCAUGCUGGGGGUCUGGCUCUCGAGAUUCGAAGAGCGGUGUCUCUUCGAUUUUUGAGAAAGUAAUCAUGUUGGGAGUCUGGCUAUCGAGAUUCGGAGGGCGGUGCUUCUUCGAUUUUGGAGCAAGCAAUCUUGUUGGGAGUGUUUUCUCGAAUGUGAGUAAAGGUUGGGCAUGUUUGCUAGUCUACCUUGCCACGAAGCAUAGAGGUUGACACACAGGAACUUUCCAAUUAUCCAGCAAUGGUACUAUUCCUUUACCCUCUCUCUUCGAUUUUUGAGAAAGUAGUCAUGUUGGGAGUCUGGCUCUCGAGAUUCGGAGGACGGUGCCUCCUCGAUUUUGGAGCAAGCAAUCUUAUUGGGAGUGUUUUCUCGAAUGUGAGUAAAGGUUGGGCAUGUUUGCUAUUCUACCUUGCCACGAAGCACAAAGGUUGACACACAGGGACUUUCCAAUUAUCUAGCAGUGGUACUGUUCCUUUACCCUUGUGGGUAAUAAUAUGGUAGCUAGACCUUCAAAAUUUAUGUGUCUAAACUUUGUUAGUGCUGUUUCUUUGCUAUUCUUUUACCCUUCUUGGUCCGAGCGAUGUAGUGGGAGCUGCAAGCUUCACGUGUCUCAACUUUGGCAAAGUUAUCUGUGGUACCCAUGAGCUACUGUUGCGUGUGGGAAGUGGGUGAUUGAACAGUAAGAUUCAUGUGCUUUCUACUUCACCAGAAGUCUUCGACAGAAUGCCCAUAAUUUCCGCAAAGCUGAGUAUGCGUGUGACAGGUGCUGAUAAAGCUGGAAAAGUAGGUGCCUCUUCGAUUUUCGAGAUCGGCUCUCUUGGUCUCUGAGCAGCCUAGCUUUUGAGAAAGCAAAUGCCUCUUCGAUUUCUGAGAUCGGCCUUCGUGGUCUUUUGAGCAGCCCAGCUUUUGAGAAAGCAAAAGCCUCUUCUAUUUCUGAGAUCGACCCUCGUGGUCUCUGAGCAGCCCAUCUUUUGAGAAAGCAAACGCCUCUUCGAUUUCUGAGCAGGCGCCUCUUCGAUUUCUGAAACUCCGUCGAGUGCAGAUUUUUCAUAGGGGCUGGCAUUAAGUUCCAAAGCACACUUGAAUCUCCACCAGUAGAAGCUUCAUUCUUGCACUUCUAAGAUCUUGAUUUGUCCGACCUUUUCUCUCUUCAACACCUUUGAAAAUGUCUGGCCCCUCCGACCGUCGUUUUGGCUUGAACCUUGUUGAAGAGGCAGCCCCGCCUUCUCCAGACAACAUAUGGCGCCCAUCCUUCGUCUCCCCUACUGGUCCUCUUACCGUUGGGGAUUCCGUGAUGAAGAAUGAUAUGACCGCUGCGGUGGUGGCCAGGAACCUUCUCACUCCCAAAGAUAACAGACUACUUUCUAAACGGUCUGAUGAGUUAGCUGUUAAGGAUUCUCUGGCUCUCAGUGUUCAGUGUGCAGGUUCUGUGUCUAAUAUGGCCCAACGCCUAUUUGCUCGAACCCGCCAAGUUGAAUCAUUGGCGGCUGAAGUGAUGAGUCUCAAACAGGAGAUUAUAGAGCUCAAGCAUGAGAAUAAACAGUUGCACCGGCUCACACAUGACUAUGCUACAAACAUGAAGAGGAAGCUUGACCAGAUGAAGGAAUGUGAUGGUCAGGUUUUACUUGAUCAUCAGAGAUUUGUGGGUUUGUUCCAAAGGCAUUUAUUGCCUUCGUCUUUUGGGGCUGUACCGCGUAAUGAAGCUCCAAAUGAUCAACCUCUGAUGCCUCCUCCUUCUAGGGUUCUGUCCAGUACUGAGGCUCUGAAUGAUCCCCCUCCAGUGCCUUCUCUUUCUGGGGCUCUACCGACUGCUGAGACUUCUCCUAAGCAACCUUUGUGAAGGCUCCCUCUUGUUUGUUUAUUUUGACUCAUGUAUAUGUACAUAUUUGUAGCUUAUCAGGGAUAUCAAUAAAUAAGCUUUCCUUCAUUUCAACGUAUUGUGUUAAAUACACCAAAGCCUUCUUCGCUAAGUUAUUUGAAUUUUCUUUUGUUGAAGCUUGUAUGUUGAAGCUUUGUGAGUGGAGCAUGUAGGUUGAGGUAGUGUUCCCUUAAUUUCCCGAGUGAGGAAAACUUCUCGGUUAGAGACUUGGAAAAUCCAAGUCACUGAGUGGGAUCGACUAUAUGAAUCUUAGAAUGCCAUUGUGCUCGGUCCUGUGUCAUGUCCUUCGUUAGAUCCAAGUACUCUAAGUCUUUUCUUAGAGUCUCUUCCAAAGUUUUCCUAGGUCUUCCUCUACCCCUUCGGCCCUGAACCUCUGUCCUAUAGUCGCAUCUUCUAAUCGGAGCGUCAGUAGGCCUUCUUUGCACAUGUCCAAACCACCGUAACCGAUUUUCUCUCAUCUUUCCUUCAAUUUCGGCUACUCCUACUUUACCCUGGAUAUCCUCAUUCCUAAUCUUAUCCUUUCUCGUGUGCCCACACAUCCAACGAAGCAUCCUCAUCUCCACUACACCCAUUUUGUGUACGUGUUGAUGCUUCACCGCCCAAUAUUCUGUGCCAUACAGCAUCGCCGGCCUUAUUGCCGUCCUAUAAAAUUUUCCCUUGAGCUUCAGUGGCAUACGGCGGUCAUACAACACGCCAGAUGCACUCUUCCACUUCAUCCAUCCAACUUGUAUUCUAUGGUUGAGAUCUCCAUCUAAUUCUCCGUUCUUUUGCAAGAUAGAUCCUAGGUAACGAAAACGGUCGCUCUUUGGUAUUUCUUGAUCUCCGAUCCUCACCCCUAACUCGUUUUGGCCUCCAUUUGCACUGAACUUGCACUCCAUAUAUUCUGUCUUUGAUCGGCUUAGGCGAAGACCUUUAGAUUCCAACACUUCUCUCCAAAGGUUAAGCUUUGCAUUUACCCCUUCCUGAGUUUCAUCUAUCAACACUAUAUCGUCUGCGACAAGCAUACACCAAGGAAUAUCAGCUUGAAUAUGUCCUGUUAACUCAUCUAUUACCAACGCAAAAAGGUAAGGACUUAAGGAUGAGCCUUGAUGUAAUCCUACAGUUAUGGGAAAACUUUCGGUUUGUCCUUCAUGAGUUCUUACGGCAGUCUUUGCUCCUUCAUACAUAUCCUUUAUAGCUUGGAUAUAUGCUACUCGUACUCCUUUCUUCUCUAAAAUCCUCCAAAGAAUGUCUCUUGGGACCCUAUCAUACGCUUUUUCCAAAUCUAUAAAGACCAUGUGUAAAUCCUUUUUCCCAUCUCUAUAUCUUUCCAUCAAUCUUCGUAAGAGAUAGAUUGCCUCCAUGGUUGAGCGCCCUGGCAUGAACCCGAAUUGGUUGUCCGAAACCCGUGUCUCUUGCCUUAAUCUAUGCUCAAUGACUCUCUCCCAGAGCUUCAUUGUAUGACUCAUUAGCUUAAUACCCCUAUAGUUCAUGCAAUUUUGUACGUCGCCCUUAUUCUUGUAGAUAGGCACCAAAGUGCUCGUUCGCCACUCAUUUGGCAUCUUCUUCGUUUUCAAAAUCCUAUUGAAAAGUUCAGUGAGCCAUGUUAUACCUGUCUCUCCCAAAACUUUCCACACUUCGAUUGGUAUAUCGUCUGGGCCUAUUGCUUUUCUAUGCUUCAUCUUCUUCAAAGCUACAACCACUUCUUCCUUCCGGAUUCGACGAUAAAAAGAGUAGUUUCUACACUCUUCUGAGUUACUCAACUCCCCUAAAGAAGCACUCCUUUCAUGUCCUUCAUUGAAAAGAUUAUGAAAAUAACUUCUCCAUCUGUCUUUAACCGCGUUCUCUAUAGCAAGAACAUUUCCAUCCUCAUCCUUGAUGCACCUCACUUGGUUUAGGUCCAUUGUCUUCUUUUCCCUUGCUCUAGCUAGUUUAUAGAUAUCCAACUCUCAUUCUUUGGUAUCUAGUCGUUUAUACAUAUCGUCGUAAGCCGCUAACUUAGCUUCUCUCACAGCUUUCUUCACCUCUUGCUUCGCUUUUCUAUACCUUUCACCAUUUUCAUCGGUCCUAUCCUUGUAUAAGGCUUUACAACAUUCCUUCUUAGCCUUCACCUUUGUUUGUACCUCCUCAUUCCACCACCAAGAUUCCUUUUGGUGUGGGGCAAAGCCCUUGGACUCUCCUAAUACCUCUUUUGCUACUUUUCGGAUACAACUAGCCAUGGAAUCCCACAUUUGGCUAGCUUCCCCCUCUCUAUCCCACACACACUGGGUGAUUACUUUCUCUUUGAAAAUGGCUUGUUUUUCUUCUUUUAGAUUCCACCAUCUAGUCCUUGGGCACUUCCAAGUCUUGUUCUUUUGUCUCACUCUUUUGAUAUGUACAUCCAUCACCAACAAGUGAUGUUGAUUAGCCACGCUCUCUCCUGGUAUAACUUUGCAAUCCUUACAAGUUAUACGAUCCCCUUUCCUCAUUAGAAGAAAAUCUAUUUGUGUUUUUGACGACCCACUCUUGUAGGUGAUCACAUGUUCUUCUCUCUUAUUAAAUACUGUGUUGGCUAAGAAGAGAUCAUAUGCCAUUGCAAAAUCCAAGAUAGCUUCCCCAUCCUCGUUUCUCUCCCCAAAACCAUGGCCACCAUGAAAACCUCCAUAGUUGUCUGUCUCCCUGCCCACGUGUCCAUUUAAAUCUUCUCCUAUAAAUAACUUCCCCGUCUGAGCAAUUCCUUGCACCAAGUCUCCAAGGUCUUCCCAAAAUUUCUCAUUCGAACUCGUAUCCAACCCUACUUGAGGUGCGUACGCACUAAUCACAUUGAUAAGUUCUUGUCCUAUUACAAUCUUGAUUGCCAUGAUUAUAUCUCAUACCCUCUUGACAUCUAUAACAUCUUGUGUCAAGGUCUUGUCCACGAUGAUGCCAACACCGUUUCUCGUUCUAUUUGUGCCCGAAUACCAAAGUUUAAACCCUGAGUUUUCUAGAUCCUUUGCCUUACGACCAACCCACUUAGUUUCUUGUAGGCACAUAAUAUUUAUCCUUCUCCUCACCAUAACUUCCACUACUUCCAUAGAUUUUCCCGUUAAGGUUCCUAUAUUCCACAUUCCUAAACGCAUUUUGCUCUCUUGAACUCUACUGUUCUGUCCUAGCUUCUUCACCCUCCCCCGUCUAAUAGGAUCAAAGUACUUCUUUUGUGUGUCCUGUGUAAAGUUGAUAGGAGCAUAUGCUUCCAAACAACUUUGAGUGGAGUCGUUCGAAAAGAAGUUUUUAUGGCCCCCUUGCUCAUUUAACACUGCAUCCAGGUGCCGAUGGAGAUACAGCGACCCUUGCUCACUUAUCACUGUGCUCGGGCCACACAGCGCGCCACUUACGGGUGACGCCCUAGCUUUAGCGCGAUUUCGUUCUAGAUUCAUUUUCAUAAGGAUUCGACGUGAUCAUGGAGUGCCGGCUGUCGACUACCUGACGCCCUCCCCCUCCUCCUUUAUCCGGGCUUGGGACCGGCAAUGUAAGAUAAACUUACAUAGGCGGAGUUAGACACAACCAUUAGAAUUAAAAAAAAAACAAAAUUGAAUUGGAACAAACAUGUCUAAGAAGAUCAAAAAAUGGGAAAUUAUCACGAUUGUUAAGAAAAGAAGAAGUCAACUAUAAAUCUACUUGAGAACUGGAUUAGUUGGGAAUUAAGGAAAUAGUCAAAUAUAAACAUGUUCUUACCUUGAUCCAGAUGAUCGAGAGCGAUUACUUUGAGGCUAAGAGUUGCAGACCAGAUGGAAAGAAAGUUGCGGAUAACAAAGCCAAAGGGGACAAAAAUCGCUGGCUCAACUUUCCAAGUGUGCUUAACCCUUUUCUCGUGAUUACGUAAUUUACAUUUCCGUCCUUUAUUUUCUUUUUUUCUUUCUUUAUUUUUUUUGAAACAAAGUAUGAUAUUCAUUAAGCAAAUCAGAAUUCGUACAAACUGAAGAUAGUGUGCAUAAUGGAUCUCGAUAAUAUCUUUGCCAGGGAUUUAAACCCGGUCGAAGGAAAAUAGUGUCCCGCACAACAAUAAACCUAUCCUCAAAUGAACAAUCAAACUUACAAUCCUUAAACAAAACAUCCUGAAUCAAAUUUGGAGGCUCCUCAAACCAUACUACUUUUUGGGCACUAGCAAUCCCCAAUCGAGCAAGCUGAUGCGCCACCGAAUUCCCUUCCCGUUGGACAUGGCUAAUCAUUGAGUUUGGCCACUCCUGCAGCAGAGACCUCAAAUCAUUAAUUAUGGGGCUGAGAGCAGAGCUAUCAUCCCCUUUCCCUUUCAUUGCAGUCAACACCAAAGAUACAUCUCAUUCGAAUUGAAUCUUCACGUCCGCCAUAUAAACAUCCUUUACCAACAACACCGAUUGUUGAGCUGCAAUGAAUUCGACAUCCAAUGCAUCAGUGGGCCUCAUAAUAGGACCAACAGUAGCAGCAAGGAAAUUCCCCCAAUGAUCACGAAUGACCACCCCAUAACCUCCCCAUUGCUCUCGUUGAUUCCAUGCACCAUCAAAAUUGCACUUUACCCAAGCCAAAAAAGGUCAACCCCACUUCACGUCUCUCCACCGAGGCUUGUUGACCCGGCAUAACCUCAAAAAAUUCUUCCCUCGACACCUCCGGCUCAACCUCCUCAUUCAAGUCAGGAAUAUCAAUGUCCCCAUUAUUUAUGCCACCAUCCAACACCUCUCCACGAACUUCGCUACCUGCCUGGCCCACAACAUCCCUAACCAUAUUUUCUCCAGUGCUCCCUGCUGGUCUUCUGCCGUACCAUUCAUGCUCUCUCAAUCGUCAACAUGCGGGGGCACAGUCAUCGACCAUCCCCUCGAACCAUCCAGGCCAAAACGCUUCCCCUAGGAUCUCCUUUAAUUCUCUCCUAACACAUCAUUCUGAAACCAUCUUCCAUUCGGCUUUGAAAAAUCAUCCUCAUUCUUCUCAGUAAAAUGUUGUAGAAUUUUUUAUGUAUAUUUCAUAUAUAAAACAGUUACAAGUUCAUACAUAAAUAGAAGAAGAAACGGGAAAGAGAGUGGAGAACAAAAGGUAGGGGACAAUGGCAGCUAAGCAAGUAUAAUGAUGACCUCCACUCUCUCUAACUUAACCCACUAACAAGCUUUACAGCCACUAACAAGCUUUACAAUGAUGAGGGAAUAACAAACAGCUAAUACUAGCACUAAGACUAGCUGAAUAAAAGUUGAGCUGUUAUCCAUCAAAGCUAGAUAAAAGCUUACAUUAUUCUUCCAACAUUUAACCCUACUUCCAAUAGCAACCUUAAUCCAGUGCUUAAUAUCCUGUAUUAAGGUUAAAGACUGAUACUUCAAUACUCCCCCUCAAGCUAGAUCGAGAGAUUUUUUGGAUCCAAGCUUGAAGAGAAGACGAUCAAGUUGUGCAGAAGGAAGAGGCUUGGUGAACACAUCGGCAAGUUGAUCACUGGAGCGAACAAAUACAGUUUGUAACAGCUUGGACUGGACUUGGUUGCGGACGAAAUGACAGUCAACCUCGAUAUGCUUUGUGUGUUCAUGGAAGACGGGGUUGGCAACAAUAUGCAUCGCUGCUUGAUUGUCACAGUGAAGGAGAAUUGGCUUGGAGGAGAUGAUUUCAAGAUCACGUAGCAAACUCUUUAGCCAAAUUAGUUCGCAUGCAGUAGAUGCCAUUGCACGGUACUCAGCUUCUGCGCUUGACCGAGCUACAACAGAUUGCUUUUUGCUCUUCCACGCGACGAGGUUACCACCAACAAGAGUGCAGUAACCAGUUGUGGACUUGAGAUCAAGGACGUUGCCUGCCCAAUCAGAGUCUGUGUAUCCUUCAAUGGUGAAGUGUCCGUUGUUUUGCAUGAAAAUCUCGGUAGACAUUGACCUUUUCAAGUGCCGAAGGAUCAUUUUAACUAGUUGCAGAUGAUGAGAUAAGGGAGAAUGCAUGAACUGGCUGACAAAGCUAACACCAUAAGCAAUGUUAGGUCGGGUUAUAGUCAAAUAGAUAAGUUUUCCUACCAACCUUUGAUACUCCGAUGCAUUUUCAAGCUGGAUGCCUGAGGUUUCAUCCUUGAAAUUUGUUGGUAGUGGUGUUUUGGCAGGCUUGCAAUGCAUCAUAUUGGCUUCUUCUAAAAGAUCAAGAACGUACUUUUGUUGAUUUAGAAACAGACCAGUUGGAGAUUGAUCCAUUUCGAUUCCAAGAAAGUAUCGGAGUCUGCCAAGAUCUUUGAUUGAGAAGGUUGAAUGUAAGGUGGCUUUGAGAGCAGUUAUUUCUUAUGGAUUAUCUCCUGUGACAAUAAGAUCAUCAACAUAAACAAGUACCACCAAUCUUCCAUGCGUACCAAUCCUAGUGAACAUUGAAGAAUCUGCAUUGCUUCGUUUAAAAUCGGAUGACAUAAGGACAGAGCUCAGUUUUGAGUACCAAGCUCUUGGAGAUUGCUUGAGACCGUAAAUGGCCUUGUGAAGCUUGCAGACUAUUCCUUGUUCCUUCUUUCGUUCAUGACCAGGUGGUAGGCGCAUGUACACCUCUUCUUCUAACUCCCCAUGUAGGAAAGCGUUUUUUUACAUCUAUUUAAUGUAGAGACCAGUGUGAAUUGAUAGCCAGUGAAAGAAGCACUAUAACUGUGUUCAUCUUUGCCACCGAGGCAAAGGUUUCUUUGUAAUCUACCCCGAAGGUUUGCGUGAAGCCCUUUGCAACUAAUCUUGCUUUAUGCCGCUAUAUGGUUCCAUCUGAAUGAAAUUUCGUCUUGUAAAUCCAUCUUGCCCCAACCACACGUUGAUCUUUUGGCAGAGAAACAAUGCUCCAAGUUUGAUUUUCAUCGAGUGCCUUCAGUUCUUCAAGCAUGGCACGCCUCCAUACAGGAGAUUGGUUUGCCUAUUCGAAUGAUCGAGGCUCAGAGUUUCGAGAUAACACUGUAACAAAGGCCGCAUGAGAUGAGGAGACUUUGCUAUGGUAAACCAUUUGUCCAAUAGGAUAUCUAGGCGUGUAGAUUUCAAAAUCAUUAAGCCUGGCUGGAGGUUGUCUGUUUCGAGAAGGAUUCCUUCGUGGAGGAGGAGGUUGUUCAAGUUGGGGUUCUCUCCUUUCGUGAAGGACUUCUUCAUCAUUUGCUUCCAUAUUUUCAGGAGCUGGCUCUAUCUCAAUAGCUUCAUUGUGCGGUGUUGACAUCCUUGGAUCAUCAAGGAAGAGAGGAGUGGGAAACACUUCAUAUGAGAGCUCCCCCUAAGGUUCAUCAUCAUGCUUCUGAAAGAAGGAGUGUGUCUCAUCAAAACGUACAUCCCUGGAUACAAACACCUUUCUGGUCUUAGAAUCAUAGCAUUUGUAUCCCUUUUGGGAAGAGUAGCCUACGAAUGCAUACUUGAUAGCCCUUGGAUCAAGUUUAUCUCUGUGAAUAGUUUGAAUGUGCAUAUAGCAUACACAUCCAAACACACGGAGAUGACUUAUGUCAAUUUCUCUCCCCUUGAGAAUUUGGUAAAGAGAUUUAAACUUCAAGAUUCUGCUAGAAAGGCGAUUGAUGAUGUAUGCAGAGGUUUGUAUAGCUUAAGACCAGAACUUUGGAAGAUUUGCUUGUAACAUUAGUGAUCGUGUUUUCUCAAGCAAAUCUCGGUUCUUUCUUUUUGAAAUGCCAUUUUGUUGUGGCGUUCUUACACAACUUGUUUGUUGCAAAAUUCCAUGCUCACUUAAGUAAGUUGUCAUGAUUUUGGAAGUGUACUCAGACCCAUUAUCAGCCCUUAAGAUGCCAAUAUUAGAGUUAAAAUGAUUUUGAACUAAGUUAUGAAAAAUUUUGAAACACUGGAAAGCUUCGUGCUUGAAUUUAAGUAAAUACACAAAGGUAGUUCUAGAGAAAUCAUCAAUGAAAGAUAUAUAGAAUCUGUAACCAUCAAAAGACUCUAAGGUUGCAGGUCCCCAAAUGUCGGAAUGGACAAUUUCAAAAGCUUUGGUAGCUCUAGAGAGAGAAUGGGGAAAGGGUAACCUGGUAAACUUAGAUUUGUGACAAACUUCACAAUCUGGGAUCACUUUACAGAAACUAGGAAAAAGAAAAGACAUAACAUGUGAAGAAGGGUGAGCUAAUCUCAUGUGCCACAGCUGCUCCUUGUUUACUGUGUUUAAGUUUACGUAGAAACUCUUUGGAAAACUUGAAAAGAAGUUGACAUAGUACAGUCCAUUGAGGAAGAACCCUUUACCAAUCGUUUCCUUUGAAACUCGAUCCUGGAAAAUCACACAGUGAGUGGAAAAAAUUGCAACACAAUUAAGCAAUUGUGUUAUUCUUCCUACUGACAGCAGUUUGAAAGGAAAAGAAGGGACAUGCAUGACAAGGGAUUCUUUUUUACUCGAGAAGAUUUUGAGUUUCCCUUUGCCUACUAUACGAACUUUGGUGCCAUUAGCUACGGAGACAAAAGAAGGAGUGGAGAAGUUUUGAAAAUCAUUUAGUAAAGAUGCAUCGUUAGUCAUGUGAUCAGAAGCUCCUGAGUCGACUAUCCAAAAAUCACGACUACUACUAAGAUCCAAUGCAGUGGAAAUAGUUGCAACAAUACCUGGCACGUCAUUUUGUGACACUGAGCUUGAUUGUUCGAGGAAGCCAGCAAACUUGCCAAGCAUGGCUGAGAGACUUUCAUGAUUUGUUGUUCCUUGUUUCUGUUGCAAUAAGUUAGCAAAUUCAUUUAUGAGAGUAAUGAGACUAGAGGAAGAGUUUAUCACAUUAUUGGGGACAUUGUCGCAAACAAGGUUUCCUCUAGAAGUGUAGGCAUGCUUCAUUUGGUUUCUUGGUGCUCUUCCAUCAUCGUUGAACUUGGGUUUAAGUUCUGGAUGAAGAAUCCAACACUUUUCUUUUAUGUGUCCAACGCCUGGACGACCUAUCUUCACACAGUGAGAACACUUUAAGUCUGGUUGUUUUCCCUUGUAUGGUCUGGAGAAGGUGAAGGCUCUCGCUUCUGAUGGCCUAAGAUCUGAUUCUCCAACGACCAUGUUUACGUUCAUGACCUUCUUUCUUACUUCUUCGCGUUGAAUAACAUUGCAGACCAUCUGGAAAGUAGGAAGUUCAGGUGUCAUCAAGAGAUGACUUUUAAGGUCUUCAAGUUGCCAAGAUGUUGAACAAGGGAGAGAUUUCCUUGUUGUAAUUCCUAAGGUCUUUCUUCAGCUGGAAGACUCGCGCAACAUUGUUUAAAUCCCCAUACAUGUCUCGUACAGAAUUCCAAAGGUGGUGAGAUGACACUGAAUAAAUGAAAAUCUCAGCCAUCUCUGGUUCCAUAGAGUUUAACAGACAAGACAUGAUAAGUUGAUCUUGGGACACCCAUGCUGCAUAAUCUGGUGAAGUUGUUUCAGGCAUGAUGUCAUCCUUUUGAAUGAACGAGAGCUUUCCACGUCCUCCAAGAGCCAGAGAAAUAGCUCGUGACCAGGGCAAAUAGUUGAAUUCGUUUAGGAGCACAGAGCUCAAAUGUUGAAUUGGGUUGGUAUCCAUGGUUUCGUUUUUUGAAAUUUUCUCUGCUGGUGUUGCCAUAAUGGCUUAACUGGUUUGGAUUUGGUAGGAUUUCGGAAGAACAUAGAGGCAGGUCCAAGAGGGAUCACUGCUCUGAUACCAUGUAGAAUUUUUUAUGUAUAUUUCAUAUAUAAAAUAGUUACAAGUUCAUACAUAAAUAGAAGAAGAAACGGGAAAGAGAUUGGAUAACAAAAGGUAAGGGACAAUGGCAACUAAGCAAGUAUAAUGAUGACCUCCACUCUCUCUAACUGAAGCCACUAACAAGCUUUACAGCCACUAACAAGCUUUACAAUGAUGAGGGAAUAACAAACAGCUAAUACUAGCACUAAGACUAGCUGAAUGCAAGUUGAGCUGUUAUCCAUCAAAGCUAGAUAAAAGCUUGCAUUAUUCUUCCAACAUUUAACCCUACUUCCAAUAGCAACCUUAAUCCAAUGCUUAAUAUCCUGUAUUAGGGUUAAAGACUGAUACUAGGGUUAAAGACUGAUACUUCAAUAAAUGCACACACUGCUUUUCCAUAUGUCCAAUGAUCCUGCAUAUGAAACAUGUCACUGGAAGUUUUUCAUACCUCAGGUCGAUCCCAAUCUCCGUACCUUGAAUUGAAAGCAAGAAACUACGACGUAGUGGCUUCGUAAUAUCUAACUCCACCCGAAUGCAUAAUAUACUUCCAAACAGAUCAUCUUUACGACUCUGAUCAGUCAACACAUGCACCCCGAUCUAGUUUCUAAUGAAUUGACCCAUAUGCCGGGUCAUAUAGGCAAGGGGCAUGCCCUUCACUUGAAUCCAGAACUCCUGCCGUCUUAGCAGCACUCUAGAGGGGUGCGCUAGAUUUUUCGCUACAGCCAACACCAAUAAGGCCCCAUCAUGCAACCAUGGCCCUCCAUUCUGCAUUAUUGAUCUCUCCUGAGCACUAUCAAACCUAAACGAGAACAACCCGUCCUCCAACUCCACUAUCGUAACCUUAGCCUUAGGCCGCCAAAGAUUCAGCAUUUGCUGUUUGAAUCUCUCCUUAUUGAUAACCUUACUUGAAAGGACCCUCCCUAUGAGGAACACCCUAUCUACACGUAAUAACGCAUUAUCCUUGUCAUCUAUCACAACCACCCGUUGCUCCUCUUCCGUAAAAGCCAACCUAUCAGCGAACUUACUCACCAUAUCAUUCAUAAUCUGUUUGACCGCUUGGAACCCUGCCCUGCAAAUCUCACACAACUUAUUCCCCAGCCUUCGAGAGAAUCUACGAAACAUCUACUCAAAGCAAUACACACAAUCGAUCUCGCUCUCCACGCAUCGUCGUGCACAACCACUCCCAGUACAAAACGGCCAGCGCUGUAAUUGAAAUCUGCCGCUCUCCUAGAGAAACCCUAGAAAAAACCUAGGGAUACGCUAGAGAGUAAUUUUUUUUGUAUCAUUUUUUAGUACACUUUUUCCUUCCUCUUUAAUUUUUAUUUUUUAAAUUUUGUCUGUGUAAUGAUGUUUUAUUUAUUUAUUUUAUUUUAUUUUUUUACAUUUUAACAACAAUUAUUCUAUGAAAUUAUUUAAAAAAAAAUUGUAGUCCGACGUAUUAUUCGAUGUACAAAUUAAUCCGACACAAUACCAAAUGUCCGACUAAUUUAGUCAGUACUAUCUGACGACUAUUUAUCCUAUUCGACUGAAAUAAUCAGUACAGUUCGAGCUGCCAAACGAGGCCAUUAUGUUUAAGUGAUCCACAAUUGUCUACUUAUUUAUGCACAAAUUUUCUUUUUAAUUUGUACACAAUUUUGUUUUUGUUUAUUUGAUUCAAAAUGGUAAAUAAACAACGAUGUGUGUUAAACCCCACCCCCCAUAUUUUCAUACUAUUUCUAUUUUUCCCCUAGAACAUAUUUGUUAUCUAUCAAUUUAGUCCCUUAUUCUCUUUUAAUCCUAACCCUUGAUCUAGAAAUGUUAUUGUCCUUAAACUGCCAUGUGGCAGUUCUCAGAACCCUCUUUUCUUCCCUCUUUUCCCGAAACAAUUUUCAAUCUCAGUGCUCUCUCUUUCUUUCGGUUUCUUCUCUCUCUUUCUCCCACUCUCUAAGCUCCGAGAGCUUCUCUCUAGCUUUCACCUCACUUCCCUCACAAAUCAAACCCCAAAAACCAUAUAUUUGGAAUCCUUGAGACCUAACGAACUCAAUGGUACCCUUGCAUGCGCCAUAUGAGCACCGUGGGUUUUUCUGCCAUUGAAGCCGAGAGCUUCAAAGCUCUAAAACUCGAACCCAGGUGAGAUUGUGUUCCUUCUUCAAAUUUCUGGGUUAUGCAUGUUGGUUUUAUGACAAAACUCAAGGGUUUUGAUCUCAGUUUUUCUCUGUGCUAAUAAUCUAGCUCCGACGACGAACUCCGACGAGUUCGAGGUCCAUCUCUUCCCAAAACCUGCUGCAGUGCGUCCAGGUGAGUUCUUAGGUAUAUUUGUGAAGUUUUAGAACCCCUUAUUCAAGCCCUAACUCUUGCCAUCCCUUGUGCAUGCAUGUCCGGUUCCGACGACGAACUCCGACGAGUUCGUGAGUGUGUGUUUGUGCAGUGUGUACGUGGUGCAGGUGUGUGUGUGUGUGUGCGCGAACUGGGUGUGUGUGUGGUACGGUGCAUGCUUUGUGCAUGUAUGUGUGUUGUGGGUGUGAGCGCAUGCUUAUGCAUGCCGUGUGUGUGUGUGUGUGUGUGUGUUUAUAUAUGUAUAUAUAUGCAUGUGUGUGUGCGUUUAUAUAUAUAUAUAUAUACAUAUAUAUAUAUAUAUAUGCAUGUGUGGGUGCAACGCAUGCUAAUGCAUGCUGUGCGUGUGUGUGUGUUUAUAUAUGUAUAUAUAUGCAUGUGUGUGUGCGUUUAUAUAUAUAUAUAUAUAUAUAUAUGCAUGUGUGGGUGCAACGCAUGCUAAUGCAUGCUGUGCGUGUGUGUGUGUGUGUUUAUAUAUGUGUGUAUAUAUAUAUAUAUGUAUGUAUAUGCAUGUGUGUGUGCAGUGCAUGCUUAUGCAUGCCGUGUGUGUGUGUGUAUUUAUAUAUGUAUAUGUAUAUGCAAGUGUGUGUGAGCAGUGCAUGCUUUGCAUGUGUGUGUGUGUUGAUAAGUAUGGGUUGGGCUCAAGCCCAAACCACCUCUUGAUUCUAACCUAUCCAAAUCCAAGGCCCAUUUCCAUUUCCUAGAAUUAUAUUGUUUGGGUAGUUUGAUUAAGUUGUACAUUUUCGUGCUUAGGUGAAGUUGCUAGUGGAGACUUCCUUAAUCAUUUUCCGCACAAUUCUGCUGCAUCGGAGUAUCUGUGAGUGGACCACCUUCAAAAUUGCAUGUUUUAUUUAUAGAAUUGCAUAAUUUAAUAGCAUGCCUUGCAGAAUUAUUGAUUUGAGGAAUACUUUACAAGAAGCAUGAUGAUUUAAUUAUGAUUGAUUAUAUAUAUUUUGAACUAUUUUCAUUAUAUUGUAUUUUCUAUAGAACCCUCAUUCUGGUAGACUAUCUGAUCGAUGACGAUAGGAUGCUAAGAAUGUGUUUCAAAUGACUUUCGAAUACCUAUUCGUAGUAUAGAGGAUCGAUGAAUUUAUGCUACGAAGUUGUAUUUUAGAGAUGAAUUAUGUUUUGUGCGUAACUAGUGAACACUAUACCGCCUGGGGCGAGGAUCUGGUGUUGGCAUUGAGGCCGGGAGAAAUAAUCCCUAGCGAAAGGCCGAGGGACACGGAGAUAGGCAUUGGGCCGGGAGGGAGAUAUCUCUGGCUACGGGCACAGAGACUGAGGUGCAGGCAUUGGGCCGAGAGUAUUAUUAUUCAGUGCACUCACUAGCAGCACAACUUGUGUUAUGCUUCCUGAUACGAUUUCUGAUAUGAUUUUAUGAGAUUGAUUUGCAGAGAGAUAUAUGAAUUGUUUUUAUGGCAUGCUAGAGGUUUUGAGAAACCUAUCACUUAUUAUUUAGUAGUUUUCAUUAUUAACCUAUGGGGGUUAGUAUGUUCAUAGCUGUUUUCGUACUAUGUAUAUAUAUAAAUUUGGUCCACUCACCCUUGUUUUGCGCCCCCAUUCAGGUCUUAGGAACGAGGACUACGAGGCAUCAUACGAGGCAUUCCCCUACCAGUAGCAGUCUAUCUUCCACUUGUGUAAUAUUUGUAAUGAUCUUUCCUUUUGUGAUCUUGGCUUCGAACGUGUUUUGUGCACUCUAGAUAUUUCCCUAAACUUUGUUUGUAACUCCCUUUGGAUUCAGAUGUUUAAUCGUGCGUGUUUCUCUUAAUCAUUUCUCUUAUAUUUCAAUAAAUGACUUUCGUCACCUCAGGUGUCGGCCAGCACGUGCCUAUGUGCAUGAAAAAAUAAUAAUGUGUGGAAAUUAUUUUUCCAAAACUAAAUAUAUUUUAUGAUUGAUAUGUACAAAUACAAUAUUAUAACUAUUUAGAAUUCAGACAUAACAUUAGGCAAUUCAACUUUUCAUGCAGGAUGUGAUAUUGAUUACGAGAAUUCAAUAUAGUGUGUCUUUUUAAGUUCUAACACGAGUUAUCUUCAUUUUCCCAUACUUCCCAUACAAAGGACUCAUCAAAAGCACCCAAAAAAAAAAAAAAAAAAAAAAGUUUUGAGCACAUGUUAAGUUGUGAUUUGUGAUUUGUAUUGACUUUUUACAUGUUAUCAGUGAAUUCGUCUAUCUUUUAAUUAGAUAUAGGUACAAUUUGUAUGGCAAGUAAUUCUACGGAGCACAUAAUUUUCUACCCCAUAUUGACGUAUCAUGUAAUAUGUCAAAAGGUGCAAAUAAUCAACAUAUAACAAAAUAAAUUCACUAAUUAACAUGACAUGUACAUAUCACUUGUCAUACAUCAAUAUAGUACAAAAAUAUAAUCUUCCUAGCAUUUUUGGCUGCUUUGUUUCCAUCCUUUUGCUCCUCAGCUUCCUCUUUCGUGUACGGGUUAUAUAGUGUGGAGGAUUGGACGGGAUUGGCUACUUUUUUAGCUGACUUUACGGAGAGUGAUUCUCCAAGAAGCAGUUGGAUUAUAAUAAAUACUGUAACAGGUUUUCGACAAAAUUGUGUAAAACUGAUUCUUACAAACAAAAACAUUCUCAAACGAGCCACACUUAUUGUAUAAUGGUAUUGAUAUGCAACCACAACCACAGUUGAAUUCGUUAAGCGCUAAGCAGCAUGCCACAAAAAAUGUAAACAUGAUGAAUGGAAGUGUAAGAAAACCCCCUUUUAUUUUUUAAAUUUUACUUAUUUAUUUAUUUAUUUUAAUUCUUUUGCGGAAGAGAGAGAGUUCGAAGCUAUUACAAUAAUUUAUAGGAGAUGAAGUUUCACACCUGGGACCACUGGCGGAUCCAUGAAGGGGCAAAAGGGGUCAGCUGAUCCCUCGAACUUCGAUGAACGUCCAUAGAUACCUUAGGUGCUGACCCUCCGAACUUCGGUGAAUGUCCAUGGAUACCUUGAGUGUUGUCCUUUUGAAAAUUAGAGUUGGCUUCAUAUAUGCCCUCCAACCGACUUCAGGCCUACCAAAACCGGAUGAAUGUCCAUGAAUACCUUGGGUGCUGCCCCUUGCAUACAUUAACAUGUGUGUAGUAUGCAUUUUCAAAUGACUUCAGGCCUACCAAGACUCAAUGAAAUGACGAUAUGCAUGAUAUUUUUGGUAUAAAAAAAUUUGUGCCCUACGCGCACUAUUCUUAUUGACCCCCCUAAUAUUAUUUCCUGGAUCCGCCACUGCCUGGGACGCAUGGGUAGAAACCCAACCCUUUCUACAAGUAUAUUAGACCAUAUGCAAACAGAAAACAAAAUAAUAUGCAUGUCCAGAAUUUUGUGGUGCGAAAGUGCUUUCAGAAACAAACCAAUAUAUAUUUUCAUGCCAAAUUAUUUAGUAGACAGGAUUUGUUCGUUGCGGUCUCUGCUCCUGUGCUCCUCCAUGUCUAAGUUCGGAUCUUAAAAUGAGAUAAGGCAGAGGUUCCAUCUAGGCCUUUGUCACAGAAAUGGGUGUCGUAGUCCCUCACAGUAGUCUCCCUGUACUUCGGAGGGUUGUCUUCUGAUACCAACUCCUUGAUAGGUCCAUAGAGAUUUGUAAAUGGUAGCAAACCUGUGCUAAAGAAGCUGGCAACGGAUAUCCUUGGACCUUCACGGUUCGCCAAUACCCUGUGUUCUAUGCUCUUGAAUCUAUCAUUGAUAUGAGCUGAAAAUCCCAAAAAGAAUUCAACAUAAAAGACCUAAUUAUGAUAAUCGAAGAAUUCAAAGACAUAUUCUAAGAGAACGCUACCAUGCGACCAAAGCUUGUCUCGAGUAUUAGUCAUUAACAAACUAGCUUAGUUUACGAUACUAUUCUCUUAAUUUAAUAGUAGUUUUUACGGAAUAAAAAAAAGGGGGGGAAUUCUAUACGUGUGCUUACUUGUAAAAGAUCUCCAAUGUUCACCACUAAAGCCCCAGGCACGGGGGGCACAUCAAUCCACUUAUUUUGACGAUCAACAACUUGCAGACCACCAAUAUGAUCUUGCAGAACGACCGUAAGGAAGGAAUCAUCGGCGUGCUUGCUUGUGCCCAAAGUUAACUCUGGCUGUGGACAAGCAGGAUAGUAAUGGCCUAAAACCUGUAGCCCCUUACUACACUCUAUGUUAUUCAAGUGGCUUGGCUUUAGCCCAAGGGCCUCCGACAACAAUUCGAACAACAAUUUCCCCAACUCCAUUACUCGCUUUGAAUACUCGAUCAGUACGUCUCUGCAAGUUGAAACCAGGAAAGCACAUUAAACUUGUCAAAAGUAUGGAGUUUAAUGAUCUAAUCCAUCAAGGAAGGAAUCUGCACCAGGUUAACGUCACUUAAACCAGCGAAUUGAGUUGUCAAAUACCUGCAUACUUCUGGCAAGUCUUCUGGCUUAGGAGGAUUUGGAGCCAUGUAACACAGAAAAGUAUCCCUCCAAUUUGCUGCCGGUGAACUAUAAAGAUCAAAGUUGGUAUUGUAACGCAAAGGUUUAGAGUGAUCACGAGUGUAAAACUCUUUCUUGACUCGAGUGUCCUGCUAAAAAAACCCACGUACCCCUUCCUUUAUCCCCUCCAGAACACCUACAGGUAUCCCAUGAUUCGCUAUUUGAAAGAAGCCCCAAGUCUCUGAUGCCUCUCCAACUUUCGCAACAAUCUCAUUGCGACUAGUUGGAUUACCAUGGCCUUCAAGGUCUAUUAGCGGAAUGCUAAACUGGGUGGCUUCUGAAUCAGUGCUUGUAUUGUUGAUGGAGUACUGAUCAUCCAAUUGUGGUGGUUGAUGAAAAAUUCUAGGAACCUCGGCUACCCCGGCAUCAACAAGACCCUUAACGCCUUCCCUUGUCUCAUCAAAAGCUUUCACUUCGCUUUUUCGAUCGUAAUUGGUUGGAACCUCAUUGGUGUGGAGCUACCAUCUUCGCUUGUGACAAAUUGGUAAAGCUUGAAGUUUUAGUGGAUAUGAGGGUAAUACUAGGUAUGGUUCAGACAAUAAUGAGUGGGCAGGAGUUGGAAGAAAUUUAAGCCAGAUAUUGGAAGGACUAGAGAGAGAAGUUGAUCGAUGCCAAAGAUAUUUUGUGGACGCUAAAAGGAUAUAAUGCUGCCAAUUCAUUCUUUUACUUAGAUUGCAUGUAACCCAUACCACAAAAAGAACCCAAUCAACAUUAGAAGGAAAAAAAAAAAACCCCACGCGUAACUAUAACAAGGCAAAAAAGACAACUUAUGGUGAUAUGUCAAAGUAGCACAAGGAAAUCAAGAAUCUCACCAAUGAACUCCAGCCAGAUCAACAUCAUAGUCAGCAAAACAAUCCGCAACUUGGUUACCUUCACAAUAAUGAGUAACUAGAAUAGUCAUUAAGAAAGCAGACGCCAACUAAACCAACAAUUGCAAGGACAUCACUAAAGAUUUGACCGCCCUUGGAUUUGGCUUUUCUCAAUGCGAUCGUUAACCGAAGAAGGAAAGCAUCUCACGUCGGUCAGAUAUUUUUGAUGUCUUGUGUUUAAGAUCUUUUGGAAUGGGAGUUUUAGACUUUGACCAUCAGCUAUGACAUGAUGAAUGUAGAUUCUAGUGAUGAGUGAGAAGUGUCUUGAUCAAGAUGGCUAUAAAGUGUAGUGGAUUUUAUUAUCAAUGUUGCAGUAGGUGAUAUAAGUGUAGUGGAUUUUAUUAUCAAUGUUGCAGUAGGUGAUACAAGUGUAGUGGAUUUUAUUUGAUAGAGGACUGACGUCUAAAUUAACAAUACUACUCGGGAAAGUUAACAUGCAUAAAGUAAAAGCAGAAAAAUAAAAGGGCAACAAACAAAAGUGCAUAAGAAAAUUAAAUUUAAAUUACUUGAUCGGAGUAUUGGAAUGAAUUGAAAUGACAGUUCGAAAAAUUGAAACAAAAAAAUACGAAUGAAAGAUACUGUUCAACCUAGGUUAGAACAUAGUUCUAAAAGAAGCUAGACUUUAGUCAGCGACUAUCUGGGGCUUAGCACCUAGACACCUAUGCAGACUAGGCGGAUUUUAUAAUUUUUAUUAAUUUAAUUAAAUUUAUCAUAACAAAAGCUAGUUACACUUAUGAUGAGCUGUUAUUAUUAACCCCAAUUUAAAAGUUAAUAAGAUUGUAAGCAUAUAAAAUGCCCCGGUCCAACCCAUCCCAACCCAACCCACCCCACACUUUCUUUUUCUCUUCUCAUGUCUUCUGUCGCAUCAAGCCUCUUUCUUAUAUUAUAAGACACCUUGUUUCCAUCAACUAAUUAAAAUAACCAAAUUGUGCGCCUCUCUCUCUACUUUUUGGUAAACACCUCUCUCUCUCUAUUAUUGUAAUCAGUUUCGUUUCCAUCGCGUCAUCUUUGUCUUCAAGAAAGGGCGUUGCUUCUUCUCCUCUCCUCUCUCACAUCAUCAGACCUCUCCCACCACCUCCAAAAUCUACUUAAAACCCCCAACCUUCAACCCAAAAACUCAAAAGAAUUCCAAAAUACCCAACUAUCAAGCAACAUCGGCACGGCCCGUUUGUCAAAAAGCAGUUUAUAAAGCAAUCUGGGGUGGGUUAUUUCAACGAUCAAUCGGAGUUUGUAUGUAUUCCAGAGAUUUCCAGUCUGCUCUCUCUCUUCUCGUCAGAUCGCAGCAAAAUGGAGAACCGCCGAAGCUCCAACGAGGUCCCCUAGACAGCCAUUGCCACCUAGAUAGCGCCUAGGCGGCCAACUAACCCGUACCCGAUUUUAUGAAUGAUUUGGCAUAAAUCCCCGCAGCACUCCACCGCCCAACGCCUAGGCAGCCUCCUAGGGUGUUUUUUAAAACACUGGUUUAGAAUGGAUAGCAAGAACAAUAUAUAGAAUGUAAAAGUGUGGUGAUCUUUGACAAUAACCUACAAGGUUCUGUUUGUAUUGGUGUAGAGAAAUAAUAAGCUUCGUCCAUCAGUAUCUACUAUCUCCUUGGCUUUGUUUACCACUAAUUUAUAUGAAGCGCUUACUUCCCGAUCUGAUUUACCGAAGACUUAAAGAUUCAAAGUUAAUUUCCACUUGAAAGAGUUAGUUGAUCAAAUCCCUAUUUUCGUGCAUGCAUAUCACCAAUCCUAAUUAACUUAGCUGACCUGAUUGGAGCGAAAUGAUUUCCUGCAAAAUUGAAUGUCUGAUUUUGUCCGUGAUUUUGUGGUCAUGUGAAGUCAGGUGCCAACUUGUUACUCACUUACAGACUGGUCCAGGAUCUAUUAGUAUGAACUAAGACCAUCUCCAACCGAAUGAGGGCCAGAUGACUCGUUUUAGCCCUAUAACCAUCCAAAAAAUUAAUAUUUUAAUGAACAAUGAGGAUCAUAUUUCUUAUCAUUUCCAACUGAGGGGCCAGAGGGUCAUAUGCGAAAUAUAGCCCUAUGACAAAAAACCAUCUCCAACCGAGGGGGCCAUAGGGCCAAACAUAAUUUAUUAUUUAAAUUUAAAAAUUACAACAAAUUAAAUUUAAAAACUACAACAACUUAAAUUUAAAGUCUAUAAUCAUCAUAUGCCAUUGUAGGAUGAAAGUCAGAGGUAAACAAUUGUCGUCCGGCCAUAAUUUUCCUCAUUUUCCUAUCAUCCAUCUUUUCAUGUAUUUGUUUGGCCUGUUCUUCAUGCCUACUGUUCCUUCUUCCGUGGCAAUGACAUUUUGCUUCGUCAUUAAUAGCAAAGAGGCUGCCAUUUCCUGUUGAAAUGCGAUAUCAUCCUUUGUCUUGCCCUUUUCCUUCAAUUUUUGGGACUUUUUUCGUCUCAUAGCCCCAAGUAUGAAACCUUCACCCGAAGACGGAUUUUCUACCUUUGUUUCUGGAAUGGUAGGAGAUCCAUCUUCAUUCCCAUCUACAGCUAAGGAUGCAGUUCUGAACACCGGCGUAGGACCUACUCUAUGUUGAGGUGGAUCUUCAAAUAACACUCACCAUUUUACAAAUUUCUCAACAACCGUGAUGCUGAAAGGGUUUCGAGUUGUCCUCCAUAUACAAUUCCUCCGCUUGGCGUAUCUAGAAAAUAUAAUUACAAAAAUUAAAGGAAAUUAAUUUAUGAAAUUAAAUGUAAUAUAAUUAAAUAUUUAAAAUAAAUUGUGAAAACACUUACUUCGUCGUACUAAUUGGCGCCGCAUUAAUGUCUACUUGCGGUCGUUAACAUUGCUUGAUGCCAUUUAUUCAAACUUGGAUGAAGAUGUUUCAUUGAAGAACAACUCUCGUGGUUUUGGAUAUUCGGUGGAGUGGUGCCUUCACAGAAGUCAUAGUAUUUUUUGAACACACGAGUCCAAACACUUUCACUUGUUUGAGAAGUCCCCCUCACACUAUCUUCCGAGAUCCAUCUAUAAGCCCAGCAAAGAGUUUCAUCUUCUUUUCGAGUCCAAGCCCUACCUUUCAUUGCAGAUGUGGCCAUUUGAAAAUUAUUGAAAAUUUUGAAGGAAAGAUUAUUGGAAGAGGUAAGAAAAUAGAAUGUGAAGAAUUGAAAUAGAAUGAAGUGAGAUAGUAUUGAAUGGUGAAAAUUAUGUGAUAAAUGGUGUAGGAAAAGCUUAGGUAUUUAUAGGAAAAAAAAAUUUAAAAAUUUGGCUGAAAAAAAAAAUUCAAAUAUAAUGGUAACUAACGUCAGCUAGCCGUUGGUUUAAAAAUUUUGGCCCAACCUGGGGCUGGCUAGCUGGCUGGGUUGGGCAGCUGGUUGACCCUUUUCUCCUUUUUUGGCCCGUUGGGACCCAAGAGCCCUUUGGCCUGGCCCUCGGUUGGAGACAGUUUUCGUGUCAUUUCAAGCUAUUUUUGGCCAUCUAGCCCUCUGGCCGGAUCGGUUGGAGAUGGCCUAAGUAGAUCGAGGCAUAGAUUACUUUGCAUAUUGAGGGCACGAACUACUUAGGGCACGUUUAUUAAUCAGUAAUCAGAAUAGAGCGAAUUGAAUUUAUGAGGAAUUAGAAUCAGAUUCUUAUAAAAACCGUUUACUAAACUGUUUGGAAUCGCAAUAUGAAAGGUGUUGAUUCCAAACACCCCUAAAUCCGUAUUAAAACUAGUUUAAUUAUUAAACUGCCCUUGUCCUAAAUAAAUUCAUUUAUGGGCUUAGUUAAUAAAUUUUAAUUUCCAGAACAACAUAUACGUAGAUCAGGAAUGUAUAAAAUAAUAACCAAAAGAGUCUAGGUGUAUAUGUGGUUUACUUGAUAGUUAGCCAAUGUGUAAUGAUGUGUAUGAGAUAAGGCUAUCAGACAAAAGCUAAGUACUUACAUAUUUUGUUGCAACCUUUCCAAUUCUGUCGAUACAAAAUACUCAGUCCUCUCUCUCUUUUCUUCUUCCGUUGUUCAUCUCUCUAAAGAUUUCACAUUCAUUUUGCAGUUUCUUAGAUUCAUUUCAGUAGUGUUAAUAUGGUAUCGAGCCUGCGAUCUUCUGUGGGUUUGGAGCUCAAUAACUGAAGAGCUUGUUCAUCUACAAUGUUUCCUGCAAUUUGUGUUGCUCUUUCUUCUAUUUUGGCGACUGUUGCUAUCAUUGCGAUGUAUGCUACUAAAGUGGAAUCAGAAGAAAUGUUAGGUUUCAUGUUCCUAUGAGUUUUUCUUGAAAUAUUGGUUAGAUAAUAUUGUGAAGGCCAAUGCCAUUAUUUGUUAAUUGUAGUUGAUAUUGUGAUCUGGGUUGUCAAAAGGCCGAAGUCGUCAACUCAUUCUGAUUGAAUCUCAAGGCUAAAGCUAGUAGAUUGUGAAGAUUAUCCGAUGGUUAGUAGUCAAAUUUUCUGUCUGAUUGAAGAAGUGAUUCCUUAAAAAUAUGAGUUCUUCUGAAAUUAAAGUUGAGAGAGUGCUAGAAAUGCUAAAAAUAAAACUCAGUGAUAGCAAUUACACAAAGUGGUCUUUUCAGUUCAAAGUUGUGCUAGGAGUAGGAUUCUCUUCCCUUUUAUUCUCAUCCCCUUCCAUACAUUCCUCUCACAUAUUGUUUUUUGUCUUAUUGUUUCCAUAAAAAAAAUCAUUAUAAGAUGUUGACGUGGUUAAACCGUAACCGUUUAAAUAUGAGUGGAGGGAAGGGGAGAGAGAUUAGGAUGGGAGAUAAUCCUAUUCAAAAGGCUAUACGUGGUUUGAUCAUGAUUUGAUGUCUGUCCUCCUAAAUUUGUUCUUAACAUUGAGACUAGUGUAACUAAGGAUGUUAUAAAAGCCUUUCAAGAAUGGCAAACUAUAGAUAUGGUAUUGUUGAGUUUAUUGAUUGCAACUUUAACUGAUGAUUUUUAUGUCAUUCACUUCAAGGUGAUUUGCUACGGAAAAUUUAGAAAAAUAAUUAAAAUUUGUAACCAACAUAAAAUUAUAGCUACUAUUUUAAUUUAUUAUAAUUAUAACAAAAAAAUAAUAUGAAAUGACUAAUAUACCCUUAAAAUGAGGUUCUCAAUUAAAAUGAAAAUGAGGAUAGUCUCCCCUACACCUCCAAGCCCGUCUCCUUCUCGAAAAAUAGAGAUUAAUUAUGCUACCUUUCUUCGGCAUUGUCAUCUUUCUCCUCUUCUUGAUCGGUCAUGUCUACAUCACCAUGCUCUGGCACUUUACCCUCGUGGUCUCUAAGCUCGAGCUUGUCUACGGGUUUGCCGCCCCGAAGAAGAGCUAUGUGCUGCUCAAGGGGAGGGUUGGGAUGGUCUUCGUGCUCGUUUUGGGAACUUGACUAUGUGUGGGGUUAUCGCCGAUGACACGAUAACCCUCGCAUCGUGGCAAGCCAAAACAUUGUUGUUAGCCACAACAUGACAAGCGUCACGAAUUGUCGGCAGAAUGCAUGUCAUGACACGCCAUGCAUUUUGUUGACAAUUCACGAGGCAUGUUAUGCGUGCCACGAUGCGAGGUUUAGCAUGUCAAGACGAAUCAUUACACGCCAUGCAUUUUUCUAACACUUUGUCCAUCUCGGAAUAGUUUUUUUUUUUUUUAAAUUAGGAAAUAUAUGAAGCGUUCUUACUGGUAAUAACCUUUAUAAACAUUCAGCUCAGAUAAUGCACGUGUUCUUACCGGUAAGAAGAUGUGUAAAUAUUCAGAUUAGAUAUUAAACGUGUUCUAAAUGGUAAGAACACGUGCAAAAGUAAUGUAAUUGGAAGAAAAUGACGAAAACAGACUAACCCAAGUGCCAAAGCUCCAGACCAAUGGAGGAGAAAGCCAAGGAAUGGCGGUUGAGUUGUUGAAAUCCACUUGAAAAGUAGGACUCCUGGUGUAUCCAACCAUGCCAUGAGAGCCAGCAAGAAGAAUAUCGCGACGGGGGUUGCCUUCCACAUCAGCCUACACUUCCACAUCAGAAAUUGUAAUUGUCAUAGGGUGUAUUAUUUGACUAAUUCUCUUCGUUGAUCAUGUUUAAGGAGGAAGUAAUUUGGGAGAGAAUUCUUAAGCGAGCGCAGUCCAAUUGCCUUGCUGCUGAAGAUUAGACCAUUAAAGAUGGCCAUUGGUUACUUUGCUGAAGGGAUAUGAGGAUGAGUACAAAUAUUUCAAUGCUUCCUCUUGAUAAAUGAAUACAAUCAAAUAUUUCAAAACUGAAAACCAAAAACAAAAAUAAUGUACAUCGAUGGCCUUAAUAAUCAUUUUCCCUCCUGAUGGCAUCAAGAUCGGCUUGUAGUUUGUCUACGUUUAAGCUUCGCGAGGCCAUGGCUGCUAGCUUCUUUUCAUGUUCACCUACUUCUCGUCGGAUUCUAUCAGUUGUCAAGAUUUUCUCACGAAUCUGUUCGAAGCUCUCGUGGAUGCUAGUGAGAAGCCUAUAAGCCUGCUUCCCAACUGCAUCUUUCUUUGCUUCCCUGCAAAUAAGUACCGUGAUGGACUUGUCGUAACUAAGUAUUUUAAGUCACGGACAGUUUAUGGUAAAUGAAUUUCGUACCUGAACACCAUUUCAUCUACAACAGCAUACGUCCGAUGAAGACGUUCUUGGAUAGAGUUACUCUCUAAAUGAAGCUCCCUGGUGUCUUUUAAGAUCUGCUUUAUGUCAGCUUCUUGUUUGCGACUGUUCUUUGUGAUCUCCUUUCCCCUUUCAAUGUAGGACUUUCUUGAUGCCAGCUUGGGCUGCUUCUCUAGAUCCGUUGACAGUUUAGAAAGUUCCUCCUCCCUACAGAAUCAUAAAUGCGUCACCAAUAAGCAAGCAACCGAAGUUGUGAAAUUGAAUAUUAGUAAGAUAAUGAAACAGACAAUGGGCAAUCUUUGAUCACAAUUUAUAUAUCCCUCCAUCGUGUACCUUUAAUAACAAAAUAUGUUACUUUCUAAAAACUGAAGAUUCCCAAACUUUAUCACGAACCACAGAAGUUUCGAAGACAGCAGGAGCAUAUAGACAAUAUGACCCAGAAAUUGCAUUUAUUUAAUUUCGAAAAACGUACCUUUUUCGAAUUUCAAAUAAGAUGGAUUCUUUUUCCAGUUCAUAAUCUUUCAGCUGACUGAGCUUUUCCUGAGCAUAUGGGUUGUUUGCAUAUACAGACACCUGAAGACUUUCCUUUUUUGCUUCCAAAGGCUUUCUGACUGCUUCCCUGAGAAAAAUAAAAAAUCAUUGGUAACAGAUGAAACAAUACAUACGUAUAUGCUGGCAAAGGUAGUACCAUUUGCAAUAUUUAUAUCUAGCACGUGAAGACAUGAGUCGUUAAAGUUUAGUUUUUAUAAAGGUAUAUAUUAGUCCAAUAUACAACUAACUUAGUCGUCAUGAACAAUUAAAUAAAGAUUUACAUCUCACCACUGUGAUGUCAAUUCCCCAAGGUGAUGCCUUCGAACAUCUACUUGCUCACUAAGUUUCUCAAAGUGAAAUUCAACAGAAUGAUGGACGUCAAAUGCCAUAUCUGCUGCUUCUUUUACCAAUUCCAGCUCUUUUUCAAGUUCUGAAGUUUUUGCUUUAACCUCCUCCAUGAGCAGUUGCUCCUGAUUUUGCACUUUUCAAGUCAAAUGAUUCCCGCUAAAUACAUUAGUUUGUCUGUCCUUGUUGAAUCUUCCUGUGCUAGAGGUGUACACAUCGUUAACACUUAUUUCAGGCACUUGACUCUUCAAUGUGAGUUUGUCCAACUUGACUCGAACUUUGUCACGACUAAGAUCUGGUUCCUCAUCAACAGUUGUUUGGUCCUCCAAAUUGCUUCCAGAGCUACCUUCUUUUUCUUUCCUUUCAUCAUUGUCACCCUCUGGACCAGCUUUUCCGCCAACUUCAGAAGAAUCUGAAAGCCUCUCCACCAAAAACCUUAUCAACUUGUACGAGCCCUCUUCAGAUGGAUACAAGAACUGCCGUAAGCAACACAUAUAGUCUGUUUCUAAGCACAAUUUCAGAACAAUAAGAAUGACAAGAACUACACUCAGAAGCAAAAGAAAACACGCGCACAGAGAGAAAUUUUAAAUCAAAUUAUAAGCAAUCUCAUACAAAUCAAAGAUUCAAUUGAAUACACUGGAAGUUUAUCCGUCACCAUACAAAUAAACCAAGACAGUUUGAAACCGCAUGUUCAAUCUAGAUUUCACACAAUCAAAAUGGUCCCAAAUGAUAGUCUGGCGACUUUGUAGUUUAUAUACACAUCAAAGUGAUUACAAGGUGAAAACAUCCCAAGCGCGAGUCCCUGGUAUACAUAGAUAGUUCAGCGUCACGCAAUUUGUAAUUUUUUCAAGACUCUUAACAGACCAACCCCUCAAAACACUAAAGUAUAGUCAUUAACACAUAAGACGCCAUUUCGAUGAAAACAAAAUCUCCACGGACCUAAGUAUUCAUAAUUUACCGACUAUUAUUACAUCCGACACUCGCAGUUGACAGGUCAGGGGUUUUUUCUCCCUAAAGUUCGAUUCUCGAAUUGUUUCUCACUAACAUUAACGGCCACGAUUAAUGCAGCCUCAGAUGCUUCAAUUGUCGAUUCUAGAGUAUUGAGCGGGAGGUUACACCUAUGGGUUAGGUCUCCACCAAUAGAGGGCAUAGGGGAAGAAGCACUACUCCUAGGAAUCAACACACGAAAACUUUGUUAUAAAUUAUCCCUUUUCCUUAUCAGGAUCGGGACUAACAAGAAUGGUUGGGACAACAAACAUCCAUCUCGUUCGUUUUUCACUAACAUUAACGGCCAGGGACUACACUAAUCAAGCUUAACUUUGAUUUAGUACGAAAAGCUUUCUCCUUGAAACAAAAGGAAACUCAAUUUCAUAGUUAAAUUUAGUAAGAAAAGCUUUCUCCUUGAAACUGAAUUUCCGUUCUCGUAACAUAAAUGAGUUAGUGUAGAAUAUCGCUUGUAUAAGAUGAGCAAGAAACCGGCCAAAAUAUUUGAACCAGCUGGGCGGUUUGAUUUGGUUUUAACACUAAAAAGAGUAAUCUUAGACCGAAUUAAACCAAACCGUAGCUUGCUUCGUCGAAGCAAUUAAGUAAACAGAUAUAUAAACAAUCGCAUUACCAAAUUCGAAACAUUCAUAAACAGGUAACAUUCAAUCUCAAGAUCCAGCUUACAUUUUUACUGCAUUCAAUUCCAACAUUACAGUACAUACAACUGUUAAACACGAAACGUCCCUUUGGUCUUCGAUACUUGAGGGUCACGUCUCAAGAGAGCGAUUUAUGUUACGAUGUUACUUCAUGUAUUUCUGCAGGAAUUUGCGGUGAAAGUCACUCCUGACUGUGUCAUUGAUGAAGCGCUUAGGAGUCUUGGUUUCCCCGCGGGCCUGAUUCUUGAACACCACAUCGUCAUCCCAUCUGAGCCAUAAGAUCCACAAAGACUAGAGCUAUUAGAAAAAAGGGACUGAAUGGAGCCAUUGGAAAAUCCUAACUUGAUCACAGAACAAGCUAGGAGUAAAAACGUGACUAACCUUCUUUUCACACUAAAUGAUGCGGGUGCUGCACCAUUAAGCAAUGGGUUUCCUCGGAGGAGCUCUGCUUCCUUGACUUUAAGCUCUUCCUCCCUCUCUAGUCUUUCCUGUGGAAAGCAUAAAGUACAUUUUUGUUAUAUUCAGCGAUAUCAAAGCAAUUGAUAAUCUUAAAUAUUCUGUCACAUCACUUCGUUGAAAGCUCACCUUCCGUAACUUCUCCUCUGCUUUUUCCUUCUUUAUUUGUUCAAGCUCGGCCAAUAGAGCUUCCAUGUCAUCCUCCUCGUCAUCGUCAUCUUCACCACUAUAAUCAAAGUAAAUGUGCCAGAUAUAGGAGGAAAACACGUAGUAAUAUCAUUACACCGCAAGAAAUGGAUUGAACUAUGCAAGCGAAGAAAACAUUACUAUCGACAAAUGAAAGGCUAGUUAAUAGUCCAUCACAGCUAUUUUUGAUUUGCAGAUAUUGUUACCGUUUCAAAUGGAAACCCAGGAAGCAAAAAGUUCAUAACUAUGCAAACCAACCUCCACCAUGAAUGUUUAUAUUAUCUACUGAGAAAUAUCCAAACUAAACUGUAAGCAGACAAAUCAUGAGUGAUUGUAAACAAUGAAAUUCUGCGCAUUGUUUCCAUGUUGGAAGUAAGUGAAUAAAGCCCAUAGCAACUGUGAAAAGAACUAGAACACAUAAACGUUCAUCUAGUCAAUACAUAAGCAAUUCUUCUAGGUUAAAUUCACAAAACCAUUAGUUAUUAUUAUACAUCCAAGCAUCUCUUGCAUCAAAAUAUUUGAUAGAACUUUAAUAAUUCAACAUCAAAGCUAUGCUGGCAAUUUACCGGAACUAUUUAUAGUUAUACAUUUGGAUUCAAGUAUAUAUGCAAAGAAUACCAACCUUUCAUCAUCACUUUGGGCUUCCACAUCAGAAUCAUCAGCAUCUAUAUUACGUGGCACAAUUUCAGUGUCCCUUCUGCCCCCUAUGAGCAAAAAUAUUUUAUGUAGUUAGUAAAUUGAGCGAUUACUUAUUUAUGAACUUGCUACCUUAAAUAGUAAAAUGUAAGAGCUACAAUAUACACCUUCCAAUAACAGCUGGUUCCCCCUCCUGCGAUCUCUGUCAUCUGCACAAUGCACAUAUCAAUUAGAAAAACUAGUCAACAAGCCCCCAAGUGCUUGUUAAAAAAUGCGAGGAAGAUAUCAUACAACUAUAAGAUUUAUCCUUUGAUGAAUAAUGCUUCCUUUCGCUCUCUUCCAGUUCCUCCCGGAGGUUUUUAUUCUGCAACUCAUCCUGGGUGUCCUGCCCCGGCUUUCUGUUAGACACGCAUACCAAGAAAGGCAAAGUCCAAAAUUAGAAUCCCGGGAAAACGAACUCACAUAUUACCAGAACCAGAAAGAUAAACAGUAUACUGGAAAUUUGGAGGGGAAAAAGAAGUAUAAACAUAUGCAGAGUUGCAUUUGUUAAUCAUGGGUUUUAGAAUUGUACGUGAUGCACUCUAAAAAGUUUACAUCAAAAUCAGUAACAAACAAUGAGAAAGAUCUACCUGGGUUUUAGAGAUGUAUGGGCAGCCAUGUCCCUUGAUGAGUAUUUCUGUGAUGGGCCAAAAAUCCGAGUACCACCUUGUUCAUUGCCACCUUUCGCAGGUGCCCAAGUGGGUCUAGCGGCCGUCGUCAUGUCUUCUAACUGUCUUUACAACACCUGACAACCAAACAAUAAGCACAACAUCCAUCAAUCAUCCACAAGCCUGCAAUGACUACGUAUAUUUGCAAAAUGCUUAUCAUAUACAUCUGACUGCAAAGCACAUCAAAAUACAAUGACCACGUACAUAGACACAAACGCGAAAGAGAGUAUUGAAAUUCAAGUUUAUUUCCUAACAAAUAAAAAACACACAUCAAUUCGACAGUGGUGUUCUUUACCUAGUGGUGGCACAACAAACACGAAGCCCAGGAUGCAGAAAGAUUCUAGCAAAACACCCCAGUUAAAAUCGAACCCAAUUUCAAGUUAAUGCAACCCAAAAUUUCAAUUUCUCUUCGUUUCCAUGCGUUUCUCAGCAACCAAUCAAACAAAUUCAUGAUAUAUUAUAUAAAGUAAACAGAUGAUUAACAAUCCUCUCUUAAUUUCCCCAAUUCUUCGAACAAAAUUUUGAAUUUCUAUCGGGUUUUUCUCAGCAUCCAAACGUAAACCCAAACAAUAUUGGGAUUUGUUUCUAUAAAUCAAUAACUAUAAGUACAAAAACUGGCACGAACAAAAGAUUGAAUACAUGAGUAAAUAACUGAAUUCGAGUUCCUAUUGAUUGGAAAUUAGGGUCUUACCUGGUUCAAAAUUGUUCUUCGAUUGACUCAGACCAGAGAGAAGCUAGCCGCUUCUGAACAAAAGAGAAAGGAAGAAGAGAGAGGAAACGAAGCGUUUUGCAGUUUGUAAACAUAUAAAAUAAAAAUAAAAACUAAUGAAAAUAACUUGAAACCUUGGAUUUGGAUCAUCUCCAAGGCAAUUGAUUAGGAUCCUCCUGACCGGUGUCUGUGGGCAGUUGGAUAUCCAACAGCUACCAACAAGAGACCUUCUAAAAGUUAUAAUAAUUGUAGCUGUUGGAUAAAAAUUCAACGGCCCACCGACACCGAUCAGAGGAUCCAGACCAAUUGCCUCGGAGAGGAUCCAAAUCCUUAAAACUUUAAGUUUUAACAAUAAGAGCAAAAUAAAGGGUAAAGUGAAUAGUACUAGAAUUUGUUGUAAACAUUCCUAGUUUAAGUAUGAUUGUGUAAAUCCUAGAUAAGAUUUGAUUCUAGUUAUCAUUUCCUAUUGCAACUUGUAUUACUUGGAGGAGAAGGAAUAUCUUCUCUCCCUUUACUACUAUAAAUAAAGGCACAAUGUAGGAGGGAUAACAACACACACAUUCCCCUACAAUUCUACAAACACACAUCUCUCUCCUCUCUCUCUCUGCCGCCGGCCCUAGUCCCUCUGUCAGAUAAAAUAGACCACAACACGUUAUCAGCACGCUCCUACCGCUGCGCUUAGGAAUCUGACAUUGGAGAUUUUUUUUCUGCAUCAAACCAGUUCAUCCAUAUCAUCACGCAAUCAGGUUCUUUCCAAACAACGGCUUUUAACUCGAUAUUUUGCAAGCCCUGAUAGCAUGAACAUUCACCAAGAUGCAUGACCCAACUUUACGUUUUACGUAUUUUAGAUUCUACAUAAAUUGUGUAUGCUUCAUCAUCAAAAUUGCUACAAUUAUGUGAAUUUGAUAUUUGUCAUGAAUUGAAUCCUACAUAUGUACAUGCAUUGAAACUAUUAUUUGCAUAUGCAUCAACGUAAAUAUGUGAUUCAUUGAAAUCCACAUGCAUAUAAUUAUAUUUGAAUUGAAACAAAUUUUUGCGAUUUGGGAAUUAGGGUUCUUCGAACCCAUGCACUUGCACCAUGCAAGCCGCAAGCCACCAGGCCCGCAGCCUGCGAUGGCCCAGCUCGGUUUCCUCACCAGGCCUGCAGCCUGCAUCGAUCCUCCGAGCCCAAGAUCACGGCUGGAGCUUCUGCUCCUCGUCCAAACCCCAAACCCGACACCCAGCCAGUGUCGCCACCCAUCCAUCACCAUGCUGCACGGCCUGUCGCCGUGCCUAGCCUACUCAGACGACCUGCAGAUCGUCCACGGUGUCCUAUGGUCUGAGAUUUUCUGAGAUCUCAUCGGAAUUUUUCAUAAAUCCGAUUGAAAUUUUCUAGGGUUUGGUUGAUAUAACGUCGAGAUUUCUCCAAUCUCCGUUCAUAUUUGGUUCCCCAGUUGGACCCCCGUGUUUCCCACGAUCGAUAGCCUCCCAGAACACGGCCACCUGCAGUGGCGUGCUCCGGCAACCGUUCCCAGCAAAAGCUGGGGUGUUCCUGGUUCCAACCCGAGCCCUAGUGGGCUCCAGCCUCUCGGCCCGUGUAACAAAAGAAAAAAAAAACAAUUUUUUUUUGCUGGGCUCGCUUGCAGCGGCCCAGCCCACAAAGAAAACAAUUUGUUUUUUUUAUUUUCCUGGGCUCGCCUGCAGCGGCCCAUACCGUAAAAAAAAGAGAAAUUUUUUUUAGGGCUGCACACAGCAGCCCAUUCCCUUCUCACCCCGUGGGCCUGCAGCCUACACCCGGGGGUCCUCCGCCUAUAUUUUUAGGCCCCGAGAUUUUAUUAUUUAAUUUUUUUAAAUAAUAUGGGUUUUUAUAUUUUCACCCACACUUUAAUUUGGCCCCGAAGACCAAAAAUAAAUUAAUUCACUUAUCAUUAUACAAUAUUUCUGCAUAUAUUCUUUGCAUAUUUGUUUGCAUAUAUAUUUGUGUUUGCCUGCAGGAAUAUAUGAACCUGAAGUUCAUAAUUACUUUGAAACCCGAAGUUUCUUAUACACAUGCCUUGUUAGAAAACCCGAAGUUUUCACUUAAACAUAUCACCCAUGAAAACCCGAAGUUUUUCAUGCCAAAAUUAAACCAAUACAUGUCUAUUAGAACCUGUAUGUUCUACUCCUAUGUGAAUGGAUUGAUUUUUCUCCAUUACACUAACCACAUCUUGUCCAUCUAUUUUUGUGAUAGGAACAUGUCGAACUUGAACAAACUCGACUUCACCGCUUUGGAGGUUUCUGGAAGGAACUACCUCAAGUGGGUUCAAGAUGUGAAGCUCCACCUCACUGCAAAGAACUUGCGUCCUGCUAUUGAAGAAGCAACAGAUAAACCUGUUGGCGAGGCUGAAAAAAAGCCACUGCUAUGAUCUUCAUCCGAAGACAUAUCCAUGACGCUCUACAAACUGAGUACCUUGCUGAGGAGGAUCCACGUGCAUUAUGGGUCGCUUUGGCUGAUCGUUUCGAUCACCAAAAGGACAUAUUCUUGCCUGAAGCAAGACACGACUGGCAGCACUUGCGCUUCCAAGACUUUAAGUCUGUGAAUGAAUAUAAUUCUGAAGUUUGUCGAAUCCGAUCACUUCUCAAGUUUUGCAAUGAAACUUUGACUGAAGAGGAUCUCCUGGAGAAGACCUACUCGACCUUCUCUGCUUCUAAUAUUGUCCUGCAGCAACAAUAUAGAGCUCAGAAGUUCACUAAGUUCUCGGAUUUGAUCUCUGUUUUACUUCUUGCUGAAAAGCAGAACCAGCUGUUGAUGAAGAAUCAUCAAGCUCGACCUACUGGGGCUACUGCUGUGCCUGAAGCACAUUUUAGCACUAAUCAGUACCCAAAACGCCAAAAGAGGCGUGGUAAGGGCGGCCAGAAGCCAUCCCACCAAGGUCAACAGAGCCAAGGCCCAUCCAAGGGAGGAAACAAAGCCCAGAAGCGCCCAAACCUCGCUCCCAAGGCCCCGAACUUCAAGAAUAAGGGCAAAGCACCUGCCACAAUGAAUGAAUGACGAUAUGUGUUAUCGUUGUGGUUCCAAGGACCAUUGGUCCCGUAUUUGCCGUGCUCCCAAGAAGGUUGUGGAUGCAUAUCAUUCUCGUCGUACGAAGUUUGAAUCAAACUUCCUGCAAGUGGACGAACCGGAGACUACAAAGAUGGAGGUUUCUGAUUUUCAGGAGGAUACCACUCCUAUGGAAGAUUAGAAUCUUAGACAUAGACUUAUUUUUCAGUUAAAAUAAGACAAUUGGGGCCGAAUUCCACCUUGUGGCCGAACCCCACCUUGUUUUUGGUUGAUUUUGAACAAUUUUCCUUUAUGUUUUGGAUUAUUAGUUGGCGAUUUAUUUUGGAUAUUAAGUUUUUUCCUUGAAUAAAUGAAAUUAUUUUUUGAAUUGAUACUUGUUUUUAUAAACUUUUAUGCAUAUGACCGAUUCAAAUUAAUUUUUCAUUCUAGGUAUGACUAGUGGGAAAGUUAGUUGUCUGGCAGAUAGUGCAACCACGCAUACUGUUUUGCGUGAACGCAUCUAUUUCACUAACUUCGUACCUAAGAAUGCACCUCUGACAACCCUCUCAGGCCCAUCCAACCUGAUCGAAGGAUACGGUAAGGCACGUAUAAUGUUGUCCAAUGGUACAAUCUUGACCAUUGCUGAGGCACUCUAUUCUCCACGUUCCGGAAGAACGUUACUAAGUUUCAAGGACAUUAGAGAUAACAAUUACCACGCUGAAACCCACGUAGAAAACGGAGUUGAAUUUCUGUGCGUAACUUCCUACGAAUAUGGCCAGAAGCGUAUUCUAGAGAAGAUGAAGCGUAACCCGAGUGGUCUGUAUACUACGACCAUACGCCCCAUAGAAUGCCACUAUGUGGCCGGCCCUACCACAGGGACCGCGCACGAAAUUACACUUUGGCAUGAUCGUUUGGGACAUCCUGGACGAAUAGCGAUGCGCCGUAUCCUCAAAACUUCACACGGGCAUCCACUAACCCGAAGCUUAGGUUCGAUCCAUGAAAUUGCAUGUCAAACAUGUUCUAUGGGAAAGCUUAUUACUAAGCCUUCUUAUGACAAGAUUCGUUCGAAUCCUCCCAUUUUUUCUACAACGGAUUCAGGGGGACAUUUGUGGACCGAUUCAACCUCCCUGCGGACCAUUUAGAUAUUUUAUGGUUUUGGUUGACGCUUCUACACGUUGGUCACACGUGUGCUUGUUGUCCACAAGGAACGCUGCAUUCUCCAAACUGUUGGCUCAGGUUUAUCAAGCUCAGGGCUCACCACCCUGAUUAUCCGAUCAAAUCUAUUCGAUUGGAUAAUGCUGGAGAAUUCACAUCUAAAACUUUUGAUGACUAUUACAUGUCGGUUGGGGUUGAAGUUGAACAUCCUGUACCCCAUGUUCACACCCAGAACGGCCUGGCAGAGGCUUUCAUUAAGCGUUUACAAAUGAUUGCUCGAUCGUUGGUCAUACGUACCAAGCUCCCGAUCGCUGCUUAGGGCCAUGCAAUAUUGCACGCAGCAAAGUUGGUCCGCCUGAGGCCUGUUGCGACACAACCAUUUAGUGUCCUUCAGUUGGUCACCGGAUGCGAACCCGACAUAUCGCAUCUGCGCGUUUUUGGUUGUGCGGUCUAUGUGCCGAUCUCGCCGCCCUUACGUACAAAAAUGGGGCCUCAGCGAAGGAUGGGAAUCUAUGUCAGAUAUGAUUCUCCUUCGAUUAUUCGUUACUUAGAACCUUUGACAGGCGAUCUGUUUACCGCUCGUUUCGCGGAUUGUCACUUCUAUGAGACAGUCUUCCCGUCGUUAGGGGGAGAUAAGAACGUCAACGUUCCUAAUGAACGACGUGAAUUAUCGUGGACGACUCCCACUUUGUCUCAUUUAGAUCCCCGCACCGCUCAGUCUGAAGCUGAAGUGCAGCGCAUAUAGCGCAUAUUAGAUCUCCAGAGCAUAGCUCAGAGCAUGCCAGAUGCUUUCACCGAUCUAGCACGCGUGACAAGAUCACAUAUUCCAGCUGCGAAUACGCCUGCAAAGAUGGAUGUACCAAAUGUACGACGGACUACCCUCCUGGAAGCCCGGGACGCCAAUUCUGGUGAUCCACGUACAUUAGCGGCUAGCCAAUCAUCUGCCCCUACACAAAAGCGUGGCAGACCCCUUGGUUCAAAGGAUUCACACCCCCGGAAGAGGAAAACCACAGCACAAGGUCCUGAAGAGCCUACCAUGAAUCCGACUAUCGCUUACUCAUUUUACCCAACUCAUGAGGAAAUUCUAGAUUAUGGAAGCGUCCUUGAAGAGACGAAUCCUCCUCCCGAGAAUCGUGAGAUUUCGGUCUAUUAUGCUAGCUUAGAUGAUGUGUGGCGUAGAAAUGAGAUGAUUGUCGACGAUGCAUUAGCAUUUGCAGUAGCUACUGAGAUCAUGUUGAGCGAUGACAUUGAACCGCGUUCCGUUGAUGAAUGUCGACGUAGAGCUGAUUGGUCAAACUGGAAACAAGCAAUCCAAGUCGAACUUGAUUCACUUGCGAAACGUAAGGUGUUUGGACCUGUAGUUCCUACUCCUCCACAUGUGAAGCCCGUUGGCUACAAGUGGGUUUUCGUUCGGAAGCGUAAUGAGAAUAACGAAAUUGUGCGUUACAAAGCUCGUCUUGUAGCACAAGGUUUCUCACAACGCCCCGGGAUUGACUAUGACGAAACUUACUCACCCGUUAUGGAUGUGAUUCCUUUUCGAUACCUUAUCAGUUUGGUAGUUUCCGAAAAACUGGAUAUGCAGCUGAUGGACGUAGUAACCGCGUAUCUCUAUGGGGAUCUUGAUACGGAAAUUUAUAUGAAAGUUCCCGAAGGACUUACAUUGACUGGUUCAAAUAUUUCCAAACCCCGGAACACGCUCUCAAUUCGGCUGAGGCGUUCACUAUACGGUUUGAAACAAUCCGGAAGAAUGUGGUAUAACCGUUUAAGUGAGUAUUUGACUAGUCAGGGAUAUGUGAAUAACGAACUAUGCCCUUGUGUGUUCAUUAAGAAGUCACAUUCCGGAUUUGCGAUUGUUGCAGUAUAUGUCGAUGACAUGAAUCUCAUCGGAACUCCUGAAGAGCUCGCGAGAACUACUUCGCACCUGAAGUCAGAAUUUGAGAUGAAAGAUCUAGGUAAGACUCGAUACUGUCUCAGCCUCGAGAUAGAGCAUUGUUCGGAUGGAAUCCUAGUACAUCAAUCGAACUACACCCAUAAGGUGUUGCGCCGUUUUAAUGAGGAUAAAGCGAAGUCUUCGAGUACUCCUAUGGUCGUUCGUACGCUAGAUGCAAAGCGAGAUCCCUUCCGUCCGAAUGAGGAUGAUGAAGAGAUUUUGGAGCCUGAAGUUCCUUAUCUAAGUGCGAUAGGCGCUUUAUUGUACUUAGCUCAAUGCACUAGACCCGACAUCUCCUUCGCUGUUAAUCUUUUGGCAAGAUACAGCAAUGCACCAACACGCAGACAUUGGACUGGCGUGAAAGACAUCUUCCGUUACCUUAAGGGUACUACGGAUUUGGGCUUAUUCUAUCCCUACGAAUCCUCGAGUGAUGCCGCACCCUAUGCUCAUCGGGUUGAUUCUCGCCUUGUUGGUUAUGCCGACGCUGGAUACUUAUCUGAUCCGCACAAGGCGCGUUCUCAAACGGGUUAUGUCUUUACCGUUGGAGGCACCGCAAUAUCUUGGAGGUCAACUAAACAGACCUUAGUUGCCACUUGUCGUCUAACCAUGCUGAAAUUCUCGCCUUACAUGAAGCAACUCGGGAAUGCUUUUGGUUGAGAGCAGUGGUGGGCCAUAUUCGAAGCUCCUGUGAUCUUCAUCCCGCCGUUAAUGCCCCGACGACGAUUUUUGAAGACAACGCAGCUUGCAUCGAACUGCUCAAGAAGGGUUACAUCAAAGGAGACAACACCAAGCAUAUUGCGCCGAAGUUCUUCUUUACACAUCAACAACAAGAGCAUCAGAAGAUUGAAGUCACGCAAAUCCGAUCACAAGACAAUCUGGCCGACCUCUUCACCAAAUCACUACCGAAGGCGACGUUUCAGAAGCUUGUUCAUGGAAUUGGUAUGCGUAAACUUUCUGAGUUGUAACUUUGCUAUUUCUCUGUGGAAUUAUGUCAAACUCAGGGGGAGUAUCUUCUAGAUACUUGCUUGAUCUUAAUGUACUCUUUUUCCCUACGAUUAGGAGCAUUUUUCCCACUGGGUUUUUGCUACCUAACUAGGUUUUAACGAGGCACCCACCUUGGGCUGGUCAUAUCCCUAAUGACGUCCUGUAGAUGUUUCUUUUGACUUUGCAUUUCUCACGCAUUUUUCCUUAGACUAUGGAUUUUGUCCCUACUUGGGUUUUUGCCAUAGCCUUAGGGUUUUUUAGUGAGACUUACUACUUAUGCAAGUUCCUACCUUAUUGAGAAUAAGCGUUGUUCCUUGGAAUCAUUGCCGACGAGUCGACUUCCUCAACUUCUGCAUGAUGCUGAAUCUACCUUGAGUAUUUACCCACUCAAGGGGGAGUGUUGUAAACAUUCCUAGUUUAAGUAUGAUUGUGUAAAUCCUAGAUAAGAUUUGAUUCUAGUUAUCCUUUCCUAUUGCAACUUGUAUUACUUGGAGGAGAAGGAAUAUCUUCUCUCCCUUUACUACUAUAAAUAAAGGCACAAUGUAGGAGGGAUAACAACACACACAUUCCCCUACAAUUCUACAAACACACAUCUCUCUCCUCUCUCUCUCUGCCGCCGGCCCUAGUCCCUCUGUCAGAUAAAAUAGACCACAACAGAAUUGACUUUUUAGUGUAAAAAUAUGAUUUUUUGUUAAAGUAAACACUACAAAAGCUUUCCAUUAAAAUUCUUAAUAACGAAUGGCUGUGCUGCCGGGUUAGGGCCCCCGGCUUGGUUUUAUUCGGGUUGGACCGUACCGGUUUUCUCUAUUUUUAGAAACUUGCUCCAGUGGCCAUUGUCUAAAAGUUGGUGAAGCAAUUUUUAAGUAAGUUCAGCAAAUCAAUUGUAAUGAUAUAAUUGAUUGAAAAAAAAAAUCAAAUUUACAACAAAUUGUAUUAUCACAUUUAUUGUACUGACUGUAUUUCUGAUACUAAAAAAUUUUCUCAAUCAAGUGGAAUUCUAAGUGAAAUUAAGAAUAUGAGAGCCUCAAGUCCGAAUGAAGAGGAUCGAUGAAUCAUGUUACAGUCACAUGCAAUAUUUUUUUAGUAGAAACUCCACACAAAAGUAGAAACCCCAGUCCCCUUUUCUUUUUGCAUUUAUUUUUCUUUUGUGAGCACCAAACCAAGAAGAAAAUAAAGAAGAAGCUAAGACCAUGCCAAACCAAAGAAAAGUAGUUAACUCUUAUGAGGAGUAUUCUACCAGUAUAUAAAAAGACUUGAAAUCAACCGCAUGGACGGUUUAUCAUGAAAUAUGUUGAUUAGUACCUACAUUAUUGAUCUAUUUGUUACAUUUGUAGUAGUGAUCUUCAAAUGAAGAUUAAGAAAUUGAACGAUUCCGAUUACUUUUUGGAUAAUGAUUGCGUUCUCUCCUUGGGAUGAGCUCAUUCCAUCACUUUCAAAUAACGUAUCUUUUCUGUGUAGAUUUCAUAUUCGGAACUGUUCAAUUUCUUCAUCUACAUUAAAAGAUCAUUCUUACAAAAAAAAUCCUCCAAAUUGGAGUUCGUUUAGUCAUGCACGAUGUAUCAUAUACGUCAUAGGUGUAAGUACUAAGUAAUGAAAUUUCUUCAGGUGUUCUUGGUCCUUUGAUCAUACAAGUCUUUUUGUACACUGUUACAAUACUUCGACAUCUUUCAAUUUCUCCGUCGUUCUCCUUCUGCUCUCCCCAGUGAGAAAAAACAAAAAGACUCCGACCUGCAUGAGAUAUGGAGAUCAUGCUCUAAAUCCAAGCAAGAGACUGCAAGGAGGAUUGUUGCGUCGAAAUUCGAUCAUCUCUGCGUAAGUUUUGAUCCCCUACAUAGACUUAUACAACCCUGUCCGAAUGUUCUCUCAUAUUUUCUUCUUUUCACUUACAUACAUAUACAUGUGUGUGUGUGUGUGUGUAUAUAUUUACAUAUAUAUAUAUAUAUAUAUAUAUGAUGUUUAUCAGAAGCAGUGUGAAGAAGUGUUACAUAAACAAAGCACAGUAAAAUUAGUGGUGAGCUUGAAUUCUCGUGUUUGGUUGUAAAAGUUUCCGUGUUUGCUACAUAAAAAGCAGAUGAACUGACCUGAGAUGGCAGCAAAUAAUGGGAGGAGGAAUGAAUAUGAAGCGCUAGCAUCCUCCGUUCAAGGGAGACUUCAGCAGCAAUCUCUGUUGCGAGCUCAGCAUUCUAUAUUUUUCCUAAUGUGUUGCGAAAUCGACAUAGUGUAAGUUCCAGAAUUACUUUCAAUUGGACCAUUACACCGUGGAUUGAACUUACAAACGCUGGAAAGAAUUAAAUCAUGGUACUUGCUUUGCCUGCUGGAGCGCAAUCCAACUCCGAAUACUGGUUUACACCACUUUGUUAAAGCCAUCAAAGACAUAGAACAAAACUGCCACGAUUGCUACGAAGAACAAUUUGAUCUGAGCACAAUCAGGCCAGCUUCCGGUCUGCAUUUGCAUUUUUCUCGUCGUCUUGUUUACGUUUGUAAUAAAUCCAAUUGUUGGCAUGUAUGCAUGCUGUAAGUUUGCAGCAGUUGUGCUUUUCUCAGUGUCUUUGGAUUUAGAUGCAAGAGGUGUUCCAAAUUUUGUUCUCUCCAAAUUUCUUAUCAAACGCUAUACAAUAUAAGCAACUGUCCUCUGCGCGUCGGUUUAUUUGAUGUUUCUAGUUUUGUUCGGUGCACUUUCCAUCAAAAUACGAGUACGAUAGUAGUGAAAACUUUAUACAUCUGAACUGGAAUUGAACCUGAUGAUCCGACCUGUAUUUCUGCAUUGCUUAAAAGUGUAACCACUGCAAAUUCCUCACUGAAUAUUGAGUAAAUGACACAAUGCUUUAUACAAACUUACAAACAGAUCAAUGUCGGAAAACAUUGCAUUCAUUGCGUGGCAUUUUCAAGCCAACGAAAACAUAUAGGCGAUCACAGAUGAUUUACAGUAUUCAAAGUAUAACUAACCUCUGGAGAAGUUAAAAUCUAUCCCAAUAUUAUUUACUUCUGGUAAGUUUAUCCUAUACAUGCUUGCCCACUGACUAUCCAAAAACUGCUUCAAUCAUCAAAGCAAAACAGCGGAAGAAAAUUUUGCAUAACGGUUCUCAUAACACGAUAACUUCCCUUAAGAUAGAUUUGUUUGGGUCUGCAGAAAUAAUCAAACGGCGCUCAAGCAGUUCUCCCAUGUUCCAUACUUUGAGCUGAAACUUCCACCACCUCUCUGCUGCGCAUGCUCCGAAAUAACUGCAUGAGCACAAACAUCCCAAGUCUUUGCUAUCUCCCGAAGUGACAUGGGUUGUGAAAUGCUUCGUAGAGAUGUGCUAAGCCUUGACUUUGCCUUCACAGAAAGAUCUUCAUACUCUUUGCUGUAAAAGUAAAUUAGAGUCAAAUCGUAAGAAAAACAUUUUGAUUAAACACAUGAAAGUAAAAUAAGUUUACAAUCUCAAAACUGAAACGAAAAACAUUAAUCGAUCCUUUGCUUGACUGUUGAGGCAUCUCAUAACUUUUACUUACAAACUAUGAAUUGAACUGGGGAAUAAAGCAUGCGUUUAAUGGGUAUUGUCUUUUUGAAACGAAAUAAGAUUUCACCAGAAUAAAGAAAAAAGAUACAAGCCCCUACCGUAUGGCUAAGAAUUCACAAUCGGAAAUACAACAUCUCUUAGUUUAUGUAACAGCAGCAACAUGUAAGGUCAGAGUCCUCAUUUACUCACCUAACUUUGACUGGAACCUUGUCCAAGAGUAUCGGAGAGGACUCAGGAUAAUUGGUGGGAACAAGUAGUUUUAGUGGCUGAAUUUUUGACUGCACAAUGCACAAUGCACAAUGUUAAAGGCAUGUAAAUAUGAAGUUAAAAUAUUUUGAAGACAGGUAACAAGUCAUUGCAUUAACGUUCGAGAGCCCACCAUAUUCCCAGAAUCAUACUGUGAUUUCAAGUUUGGACUGAGAGCCACAGCUUCAAAAGAGCACUUGAAAAUGGUUCCCUCAUCCCCUUCAGCAGUGGCUGCUGCACUAGGGUCAACAUCUUCAUCAUUGCUAACAACGACUGUGUUGAUAAGCUGCCGAUUUAUUUCUCUUAUUUCUUUCAAAAGAGCAUGAUUAGCCUGCAAGAUAAGCCACAUUAUGUCCAAUGACAAACAUAAGCCUACUGACCAGAAAUUGAAAUACACCAAGAUGGGAAAUUCUUCAAAAAGAAAAACAAGAUUAAGUUAAAGACCAACAAUGUAGGAUAUAUGUUAAGGUUGAUUCGGCAAAUCCUUGAUCGAAUAAUGAAUCUCUUUCUCUUUCUUUUCUCCGUCUCUCUCCCCUCACAGGAAAAAGAAACAUUAUGCCCUCAAAUGCUGUUUUAUUUUUCUUAACCACAAUAACUUCAUUCAACAAUAUUUCUUUUCUUCUCCAAUCCAAAAACAAGGAAACAUCUUGAACAGCCGACUUACAUGGAAACAAAUGCCUCAUCUCAUGAUGCGCCAAAGCCCUCCAGGCACUCAAAAGUGUAUGCAUAGGUGCGCGGAAAAGCAACUAGCUAGCUUAACACUUAACCGCGUUACUAGAAAUUUCAUUUUCUUCAUGCAAGUUACCUAUUUAAUAGGGCCCAAUCACAGCCUUACCACUGCAACAGCAGUCAUUUUUAGAAGUAUAUACCAAACAAAAUAUUAGUACCUCAGUCCUAGGCCUCUUGAUACGAGAUGUUGCAUUUGACACUAGGUCAGAUGUCUCUGAACUGGACAACUGCUUGAAACUAUCAUCCGUACUGUCAGCAGAUGACACAACAUUUAAGGGCACGUCACUAGAAGAGCACCUCAUUCUCUUAGUCCCAUUUCUUCCAUCAGGAGUCAUAACAUUGCUUUCUUGCAGACGACAAUUUGUCAUCGCAGCCAGAUCCUCACCAACUGAAGCUCUAGAUCCAUUACCUGGUGCUGACCCUGGUAUUAUAUCAGUCAUAUUGACUACUGAGAUAAUGUCACUGAUAGCGGAAAUCCAUGCAUCUUGUGUCAUCAAUUUCACCUGAAAAUUAUCCAGAAAUUUUAUGUCACACACUACUGCAGGAAAACUUUGAGGAAAACGAGAGCUUAGUAUUUACUAAAACAUCAUUAUAACCACUCCAAUAAAGUGAGAAGCAAAAAGACAGCUUUACUAACCGCUUUAAUUAAGCACUCAAGAGGCUGCUCUGUAACACUCGAAUUGCUAGAGACAGUUGACAAAGCAUUAACAUGAGGACUAUCUGGUUUGCUAGUUUCAGAAAGUGAAGGAGAGGCUGAUACCCUAGGGGUGCCAAUGGCAACAGACUUGACCAGUGCUCCGACACCAGUUGCUUGUUGAUGUCCAACAUUCUCAGCAUUUGAGAGUGAGGAAGGUUUCUCAGAAUCCCCUGGCAUCGGGGAUGGAGUCCUGGGAGUUGAAGGAGAUGGGAUGACAAUUGGUGAACUUGCAGAAUGACCAGGGAUUCCAGCUUUUGGGCGAGUCACUAGAUUCUGCUGGUCAGCUUGUCGAGAAGAAUGUUGCGAACUUUGAGGAGAUGCAACCUGAGGGAGUUGGGUGGUUGAGGAAGUAGGAACUGGAGAUCCUGCUUUCAACUGCUGAGGGGAAUCUGUGAAGGUAUGUUGAUGAAGAACCACUCUUGGCGUUACAUCCAUCCCCGCUCUCAUCUUCAAGUUUGCAUCAUGGAUUUGAUGAACCUUUGGUGUUUGUUCUUCAUGCACCUGCAGCUGUACCGGAAGCUUCUGCUUUUCUUGCGGCUCUAACUGCUUCUGUAGCUGCUGCUGCAGGGCUUGGUGGUGUGACUGCAACAGCUUCGCUUGCUGUUGUGAUCGCUGCUGAUGCUGCUGCCGUUCCAGCAUCUGCUGCUUCUGCAUCUGUUGCUGCUGAAAUUGUAUGUUGACUAGAUUCUGAUGCAUUUGCUCUUCUUGAUCUUGUCUUAUAUGCUGGUAUUGAAGCAUACCAGAACUCGAAUGAAGGGAAUCAAUUUCCUGUGUUGUAUUAACCCCACUCUGUAAUGACAAGGCAUUCUUGUUCGCUUGUUGGGGACCCCCGAGAACUGACUGUGGAUGCAGCUGAACCAUAGACUGUGUUGACUGAUGAAUGGAAGAUUGUUGAUUCUGUUGAAGACUAGAUAGAUAUGAUUCCACCACAGAAGGUUUGUUAAGAUUUAAUAUGUGCUUAACAGAUUUCUGAGAGGACUGCGACUGAGUUGGUUGCUGUUGCUGCUGUUCUAGUGGAGAUUGCACAAGUUUUGGGAUAUAUCCUUGCUCCUGCCACUCCUGUUGUGGAAAUAUCUGUUGCAUUUGGCUUUGAGAAUUAGAAAUCAUAUCAAGGGUCUGUGAAGUUCCAGACAUAUUUUGCAUGUUUGAAUUUUGUCCAAUUAUUUUUGGAAUAGGAGCCUGGGUUAAACCGGAAGAAGUAGGUACUGCAGAUGAAAAGCCAGCAGAACUUUGAACUCCAGCAGGUGGAAUUUCAUUCUCAAUGUUCUGUGCCAACACUUGUUGGUGUGAUUGAGAUUGAUUUGCUGACAACGGCAUAAAGAGUGAUUGCCCUUGAUUCGGCACUUGGGGUUGCAUACCAAAAGACCCUACUCAAAUAAAACAGAAAGAACACCAAAUAAACAUUUCCCCAUAAAUAAUCAAGUGUCAAACCAAGAUCAUAAACACCAUCACACUCAACAUUUGAUCCGUUGCUUUAAAGGAAUGAAAAUUGUUAACAAAAAAUGUACAUAGCAAGUAGAUUCGAGUCUUGAAUUUACACAAUACAAGCAGAUACACAUAUCAACAAUGAAUCUCAUCUCAGGUAAGAAAUGUCAUGAUCAAGGAAAUGGCAGAACUUCUCUCUCAUUAUGUUGAAUACAAAAAACUAUUCAUCCAUUUCAUAAAGCACGCAUACUGGGAGACAAAAGAGGUAGUUGACAGAGUAACUCAAAUCUAUGGGGGUGCAUGAAAUAGGAGCACAGUUUUCACAGUUGUUUACCUGGAUCACGGGGCCUGUUGCUAUUACUACCAGAGUUCAAUUGCAAAUAUUUGGCCAUUGUAUUCUGCGAAUUGGUCUCCAAUGUGUGCAAAUACAGAUUAAUUUUGCUCAGAUAAUCCAACUGCACAGAAAUCCAGUCCACGGCACGCUAAACUUAGAAUACAUAACAUAUGCAAGUACCCUUACACGUCAUGUACCACGAAGAAUUAAAUUUACGGCCAAAGAGAGGUGCGGAAGUACCUUACUAGUGGCAGAAGUGUAAACCGUUUCCUCAAAGCUUAUAGCAUUUUUCUUGACUUCUUGUAAUGCCGCUUGACCAGAGUCGGGAAGAUGGUUCUUCAACAAUUCAAUUCUUUACAUGUUCAUAACAAAUAACAGUGAGUUCAUGAUAAAUAAUUCAACGCGGCAAGUUAUCUAAAAAACAAAAACACAUACGUCCUGUUGACAACUCUUUGCCUUGCAUUUGGCCAUAGCCGGCUCCUCCAAUCCAUGGAGGGCUCUCCAGCUUGAGUAGUCCUCCGAUUGCUGGUAUCCAUCGAAUGCAAGAAACCCGACCAACUGUCAAACAAAGAAAACACAAGAUUGAGCAACUUUCAAAUGAAACACACUUAAGAGGGCUCAUACAUUGUACAAAAUUCAAUAAAUUUGAAGGAUGAUAGAGUUUCUAAAUAUUAAGGCAUUCUUGUUCCAUAAAAUAUAUCCGCUUAAACUGAUUUUAAACAUGAUUUUGUUUUAGAACUUACAAUUUUCACAUACAAUCGAAAACCCAAUACGAUCUACGCAAUCAGAGGACAAGAAAAAAGAAAUUAACAAACAAUGACAGAACCCUAAUCGAUUAAUUUUCAAAAGAAUAUAAAAUCAACCCCAAAGAAAAACCCUUUUUCUUGAGAAGACUUGAAGAUUGGGCAAGUUCGAUUGAGACCUACCAAAUUUGUAGAAAAUUUGAUAAAAUUAUUCGAUGGAUGAUAUAAUUUCAAAAAAAUUAAUGCAUUUUAUUAUUUUAAUGUCAGAAAAGGUAUCAAUUUUAGAUGGUUUUUAACAUGAUUCCGUCAUGAAAAAUCCCCAAUAUAAAAUCCAUAAAUUCACAGAUGAAAAACAAAAACCCAAACUUUCGAUUCGUAUGCAAUUGAAACAAAAUUACGAUUUACAAGAAUCAGAGGACAUAAAAAUGCACAACAAUGGUGUUUUCGGUUAAAAUUCAAAAGAAAAACAAAAUAUUUGACAAAAAAUAAUAAUUACCGUUUUCUUUGAGAAGAGUUGGAGAUUGAAAAAUGCAGGCAGCUUGAACUGGAGCGAUAUGAAAAUUCAAAGGAAAACUGCAGAAAGGGAGGGAUCCGGAUCAAAGACUCGAAUUCAAAUUGAUGCGUGCGGAACAAGUCUUUUUUUUUCUUCAGAUUUAUUUUGUUUUUUUUUUUUCUCUAUUGGAAAUGCCAAUAUUCUAUCUAUUUAUUAUUGUGAACUUUAACGUAAAACUCCCGGUACUGUUCAAAAACCAUAUUUUUACACUGAAAAGUCAAUCAUGGUACUAUUCACUUUACUCUUUAUUUUGUCAUUAUUGUGUCAAAUGUUAUUAGUGAUAUCAAAAAUGUUAUCAGUGAUAUCUUUUUUUUUUUUUGUCAAACGAUAGAUUUGUUAGAUUAGAUGUUAGAGCCAACAGAGUCCGAACCCACGCCGUGGUGCAAGGACAACAAUCCUCUCCCUCACUGUCUAUUAUUUUGUUAUAUCUCCUAUGUGAAACUCUGCCAAAUGUGAUUGCAUAAGGAGUAUUAGUAUUGAUGGGAAAUUCUAAGGUCUGAUUUCCGGACCAUCUCACCCCUACAUAUCCAGACACAAAAAAUCAUUCCCUACCCCACCUCCCUAAUUUGUCAUGCUAUCCUGACCACUUUUGAUCGCCUUCCCCAACACCACCCGGAUUGGAGGUGUCGUACCCAAGAACCUCUCGUAGCUGAUGUGCUACGAGAGGUGGAUGAGUGCGGGACCCAUUGUGAGACCCACAUUGAUCAAGGUGUCAAAAUGCGUUAAGUGUGUGACAUGCGUCACUAAUGCUAGCACUUCUCAUCACCAAAUAAAGAUAAAACAUGAGUUCGACCACGCCAUUCAUAGAGGUUUUUUUACAAAAACAUAGGACUCCGUGUAUUUUGAUCUCACCCGACUCUGCCAAGCUCAAUUACUCUCUACUUGGAUAUCCCCAUCUUAUAAACAACCAAAGGAAAAUAUUGAUACAGUAUUCUUUACAAACAGAAGGCACAAAGCGGCUUAAGGCCGCACUUUCAACAAAAACCAACAAGGAGUUAAUAAAUCCCUCAAGAUUAUUUCCCACAACAGACUAAGGCAAGUUCCUCCUAUACAUGUCUGCCUAUAGACUAUCCAAAAACUGCUUCAAACAUCACAGCGAAAUAUCAUCGCCGUUAACACAACAAUCCUCGGAAUACCUUUGUUCAAGGAUAAAUACAGGAUCGAUCAAGCAGCGCUCAAGCAGUUCUCCCAUGUCCCGUACUUUGAGCUGAAACUUCCUCCACCGCUCUGCUGCGCAUGCUCAGAAAUAACUGCGUGUGCACAAACAUCCCAAGUCCUUGCUAUCUCCCCAAGGGACAUGGGUUGUGAAAUGCUUCGUAGAGAUAUGCUAAACAUCGAUUUGGCCUUCACAGAAAGAUCUUCAUACUCUUUACUGUAAAAGUAGAACAUUUACAGUCAAAUUUAGGCUUUUAAAUUUAACAUGUGAAACCAAAAUGAGUACAUAAAACUCUUAAGAGACCGAAAAAAUAAUUGAGACAUUCUGUCUUAUCGUCAUGGCACCACAUACUUUUAGUGAGACAAGAUAUAAAUUGAAUUGGGAAACAGAGCAUGCAUCUAAUGAGCUUUUUUUUCAUCGAGAAAAGAUAACAUUUGAAAUAGGAUUUCACCAGAAGGUGGUAAAAGAAAAAGGGCACAAGCCCGUACAGCUGAGAAUGCGCAGUAGGAAAUGCCAGGUCUCUUAGUUUAUGUAACAGCAGCAACAUCUAAAGUCAGAAUCCUUAUUUUCUCACCUGACUUCGACUGGAAACUUGUCCAAGAGUAUUGGAGAGCAGUUGGGGUAAUUUGUGGGAACAAGCAGUCUUAAUGGCUGAAUUGGUGACUGCAAAAUAUUAAAAGCCAAGUAAAUACAAUACAUUUAAUAUUUUGAAGAAAUGUAAAAUAUUCAUGGCAUUAACAUUUGAGAGCCCACCAUUUGUGCUGAAGCAUACUGUGAUUUCAAGCUUGGACUGAGAGCCACAGCAUCAAAAGAGCACUUGACAAGAGUCCCCUCACCCCCUUCAGCAGCGGCUGCACUAGGGUCAACAUCUUCAUCACUGAUAUCAACAACUGUGUCGAUAAGCAGCCGAUUUAUUUCUCUUAUUUCUUCCAGAAGAGCAUGAUUAGCCUGCAAGACAAGCCACACACUUAUGUCCAAGGAAGAAGCAGGAACAGCCCAUUUUUUGUCAGACAUUGAAAAGCUCCGAGAAAGGAAUUCUUUAAAUAAGCAACGUUGAGUCCAGAUCAGCAAUGGACAGACAUAGUGACAUGCACACACCCCAAAAAAAUAAUCGUUCAACAAAAGUUAGCAUCUUGAACAGUUAACUCGCACACAGGCAAAUGCAACUCAGAAUGUACCAAUUGCCAAAGCACUCCAGUCACAUCAAGUGUAUGCAUAGGUGCACAGCAAAACAACUAGCUUUGAAGUCUUGCUGGAAAUAUACAUUUUUAAUGUGAAACUUUAAUUAUUUUAAGUUUGCCCGAAGUUAAAGCAGAUGUAAUUUCUAGUGAGUAUAAAAAAAAUGAUUAAUACCUCAACCCUAGGCCUCUUAAUACGAGAUGUUGCAGUUGACUCCAGGUCAGAUGUCUCUGAAUUGAUCAACUGCUUGAAACUAUCAUUCAUACUGCCAGCUGAAGACACAACAUUUAAGGGCAUGGCACUAGUGUAGCGCCUCAUCUUCCUAGUCCCAUUUGAUCCAUCAUGAGUCAUAACGUUUCUUGCUUGCAGACGACACUUUGUCAUCGCAACCAAAUCCUCACCGACUGCCGCUCUAGAUCCAUUACCUGGGGCAGACCCUGCUAUCCUAUCAAUCAUACUAACAACUGAACCAAUGUCACUAACAGAUGCACUCAAUGCAUGAGGUGACAUCGAUUUCACCUGCAAGUUCAAAAUACAGAAAUUUAAUUUAAGCACAAGUGAGGGAAGGAAAAGACUAACUUAGAUGGUAAGCACUGAAACAUCAUUACAGUACUCAAAAAGAGAAAUAUGUAAUAAGAACCACUUUACUAACCGCCUUAAUCAAGCGUUCAAGAGGCUGCUCGGUAACACUCGACUUGCCAGAAAUAGUUGACAAAGCAUUAACAUGACUAGCAUCUGGUACACUAAAUUCAGCAAGCAAAGGAGAUGCCGAUAUCCCAGGGGUGCCAAUUGCAAGGGACUGGACUGGUGCUCCCACCCCAGCUGUUUGUUGAUGUCCGAUAUUCCCAGCAUUUGGUAGUGAGGAAGGUUUCUCAGAAUCCCCUGGCAUGGGGGAUGGAGCCAUGGGAGUUGAAGGAGAUGGGAUGACAAAAGGUGAACCGGCAGUUUGCAAUGGUGUUCCAGCUUUUGGGUGAGUCAGUAGAUUCUGCUGGUCAACUUGGGGAGAAGAAUGUUGUGAAAUUUGAGGAGAUGCAGCCUGAAGGAGUUGGUUUGAUGAUGGAAUAGGAAAUGGAGAUCCUGAUUUCAACUGCUGAUGCGGAUAAGCACGCUGGCCUGCGGAUAUAUGUUGCUGAAAAACCCCUGGCUUAACACCCAUCCCCUGUCUCAUCUUCAAGUCAUUUGCAUCAUUCAUUUGAUGAAGUUGCGGCAUUUGGUGUUGGUUCGCCUGCAUCUGCGCCGGAAGCUGCUGCUUUGCUUGCUGCAACUGUUGCUGCUGCUGCUGCUGUUGCUGUUGCUGUUGCAGCUGCUUCUGUAUCAGUUGCUGCUGCAUUCGCUGUUGAUACUGUUGCUUCAGUUGAUUCUGAAGCAUUUGCUGUUCCUGCUGUUUUAAUUGCUGGUGUUGAAGCAUACCAGAAUUUGACUGAAGGGAGUUAAUAUUUGGCUGAAGCAUGCUAACCCCGCUCUGUGAUGACAAACCAUUCAUGUUAGCUUGCUGGGGAGCACUGACAGGAGUUUGUUGGAUAGAUCCCACCGGAACUUGCUGCAAAGAGUUCAGUGCAUUUCCCUGUCCUGAAUCCAAAUUUGUACUCGGCUGCAAUGAAUUCAUCAUGUUCUGCUGUGAUGUUGAAAGCCCAGAUAUUGAAGACAUUGAAUUUUGCUGCAAACUUGUCAUAUUGUUCUGCUGCAUUGUUGGCACAGAACCUUGUAAAUUCAUUGUUUGCAACUGCGGGUUCAUUUGAUUUUCAUGAGACUGCACUUGAGGAAUUUGAGACUGUGGCUGCUGCAUGGAGUGCAUAUGAGGUGGGGGGAGCUGCCCUUGUUGCAGAGGAGGACCUUGCUUCCUCGGUCUAUUUGUAUUAAUAAAAUUUACUAUCUGCUUCUCAUAUAAACCCAACUUGUCUUUCAAACCAGGUGAAAUGUUACUCUUGGAAACCUGUAAAAUUGAUAUGAGGCGCUCUAACAUGGUUCUGAACAUUUUUAGCUUCUCAAGCUGCUCUGACUUUGGUUGUUGUGGAAGAGAAUCGUGCUGGCAAACAGAAAGAACAGACGUCAGUAAGCAAAAGAAUGGCAAUAUAAGGAGUAACAACUUUGUUGCGAAAUCUUAUUAGCAUUAUUGGUGAGGUAACAAUCCCAUGUAGAUGGUCUACAUGAGGACAAUAAUUAAAGGGGAGAUCAAGGUAGAAUCUAUCAAAGAGCAGCACCACAAUAACCUAGCAGGGAAACCCUGCUUAUUACUAUAAGUUCAAGCAACAAAUUAUGAGAGAAGAAAAUUUGAAUUGAUUACAUACCUGCUGGAGUUUAGUAGCAAUUUUAUGAUACAUUUCACUUAGUUCGGGUAAGUACUUUUCCUUCAUGACUUUGAUCUGCAAAUGAAAGUUAUAAACACAAAGAUGAUUAGAAAGAACUUUGCUGCAGCUACAUGCUUGCCGACACCAUCAUAACAUCAAUGCCAAUGGAAAUGAGCCUGUGCGUGCAACCAUGAAUUCAGACAGCAUGAAUUCAUGUAUGCUUGUAUCUAAUGAAGCAAGUUUUCAUAAACUUCCAACCGAUGGUAGCUUAACAAAGCUGCCCCACAAGGAGUCUUAACUAGCAUGUAAUUCUUCAAAAUCCCCAUUCAAGGCAAUUUUGGCAUUAGUAUAAUUAUUUUCCAGUAGCUCUAUUCCCACCCCCACGCCAAAUAAUUUGUAAUUUUAUAUUUAGAUGUUGUAUGUGAAAGCCAUCAAAUGGACAAGAAGUCAGGACAUUUUACUUUUUGAUAGACAUCCUCUUGCCAAUCACCCCCAUUUGCAUGUCCAGUCUGAGCUGAGGAAUCUAGAGAAGCUACAAAAUAUAGAGAGAUAUAUGUCAAUGUUUGCACAUAAAAUGAAAUUUGAACACGAGGGUUAAAAAUGAGAAAGAAACAAAAAAAAAAAAAAAAAGCAUUGCAUGCAGAACAUUGAUAUGGAAAAUUAUCCUUCCCAAACAGUUGAAAUGUAUUUUUUGUACAACAAAAUAUAAAUAUCAUUCCAUACAUCAUAAGCAAUCUAAGAACAGACAAGAAGCUUCAUGAGCCAGUGGAACAGGACCAUGCAUGCACUAGAUUGGGGAAAAUACAUCCAUGGGCAGCCAUAUUUAGUAAACACAGUAGUCCACCGAAAGCUCUUUAUCUAUAAACCAAUAGACGCAAAACUGAAGAAUAAAAAGUAAAAACCCAUGUUUUCAAAACCCAAAGGUAUGAAAGGCAAUUCAGGUGCAAUUUGUUCCUACUUUCUGCUUAUGAGGGCAAUUACUUUUUUAUGGGAAGACUUCAAGGUUUCUAUUUCUUUGUUUAAAAGUAAUUGUGGAGUUAUCAAGAAGAAAUGGGUUAACAUUAUGUCACAACAGCAUCUCUAUCACCAUAGCUCAUGAAAAGACAAAGAUACAAAAACUAAAAUCAAGGCAACAGAAGCUUCAGCCUUCACCAGUAAAUCACUCAAAAGAACUCUGAUUGUAAACAUUAAGCACAAGAGGUGAAAGGUAAACUUACAGUAACUAAAGUGGUCCGUAUACCUAAUUUGAGGUGUAGGCACAAAACUCGUAACUAGGCUAUUUAUAUAUAUAUAUAUAUAUAUAUAUAUAUAUAUAUAUAUAUAUAUAUAUAUAUAUAUAUAUAUAUAUAUAUAUAUAUAUAUAUAUUCUCUUAGUCGGGUUUAAUAACUAUUUCCUUAUCCUUGUGGAUUAUUAUUUGCAAUAAUUAUUUCAUUUCCUUGUGGGAUUUUACUUUUAGAUUAUAUAACCACAUCAAUCUCUAUUACUCAACCCUCCCCUGUGGAUAUUCAGAAUACAAGACUAACUUUGAAUUUAUUUUUCUUUCAGUUUGGGAUUUAGCUUUUUAUCUUCCCUCCCCUGUGCUGCAAUAUACAAGACUAACUCUGUUCCUUUUAUAUAAAUCCAAUUACCAAAUAUAAAUCACAAAAUUUUAUGUACACUACCACUACACAUAUCAACCUCUAAAAAGAAAAGCAAGAAAUCAAGAAAGACCAAGGCUUGCUUUAGCACUAUAGUUUAAUGUGACCAGAUAUUUGCAUAGGACUCUGGUUCUCCAUUCCAUGAUGGUUAGAUGCUGAAGUUCUGGAAAAGAACAGAAAUCCUCAUGUUUGACAGAGAGGUAUGAUGCAUCUGUUUAAAAGUGAUGGUGACAACGAACAUGUGGUGGGAAGAUGGGACACACCUACUUGGCAAGAUAGCCAGGCAUAAAAAUUUCUAUUGACUAAGUCCAAUGCACAUCCAUGUUACAUUUUAAUACAAGAAGUCAUAUAUGGCAAAGAUAAAAUUCCAAAAUUAGACUACUUCCAUAGAGAGUCUAGACACCUACAUCUGGCAACCACAACAAAACAAUAUAUUUACCAAGGUCAUCCAAAAAAAAAGUGUGCCCCAUAAAAACAUAUAAUAAAGACCAUUUUCAUAACAAAAUCAAAUUAAUGACAUAAAAAUGACAGUAUUACCUAUAAUACAAUAUGAUAAACAGACCCAAAUCACAUAAUACAAAAGUAAAAUAAGAAUAAAAUAAGAUUCCGUCCAAAAUGUGCACCUAUGAUAAUCCAGAUAUCAUGAAAGCACAUGCAUAAAAUCAGGAAAGUGCAUAAGUGCAAAAAUCGUACUCGAUGAUGUCUCAGCAAGAGGUCUCUGAGAUUGAUAUAACUGCUUUUGCUGAUCCAUUACAUUUUGAGCUUGAAGCAUGGUUCCUGAUAUCUGACCUGAUGCUUGAAGCCUUUGCUGCAUAUCUCGUUGCAGUGGAUUUGACUGCUGUUGCAAACCCAUUUGUUGCAUCUGUGCAGGCUGUGAUUGAAUCUGUGACAUCAUUUGUUGCUGUGAUGCUUGCGGUUGUGACUGCUGUCCUUGAGUCGGUAACAUGUUAGAUGCAUUCGGAUGUUGUUGCUGCUGCACCUGAACCUUGGAUUGUUGCAACAAGUGUACAGAGUGCUGAUUUGGUUGCAUACUAGAAUUACCACUUUGAGUUCCAAGGUGCUGCUGUUGCUGUAAUCCGGUAACAUUACUCUGAGAGCCCAACUGUUGCUGAUGCAUAUUUGAAAGGUUGCUUUGCUGCUGUUGCUGUAACCCAGUAACAUUACUCUGCGGGCCCAAUUGUUGCUGAUGGAUAUUAGAAAGGUUGCUUUGCUGAGCCAUUAACUGCUGCUGCUGCUGUUGUUGUUGCUGUUGCUGCUGCUGCUGCUGUUGAUGUUGCUGUUGCUGUUGUUGCAGGUUUAAAACAUUAUUCUGCUGGUUUAGUAACCUCUGUUGUUGCUGCUGCUGCAUAUCCCCGACAUUAGUUUGUUGUCCAAUCAUCUGAUUCUGGGACAAGUUUGAAGCAGUUGGCUGUUGCACCAUAAGCUGCGGCUGCUGCUGCUGCGGGGUUAAUAUUGGCUGUUGUGCCAUUGGUGUUUGCUGUUGAUGAACAGCUACCUGUUGAGGCUGCUGUUGCUGCCUGAGAACUGGCUGUGAAUGCUGCGGAAGCAUGGGUUGUGAUGACUGUUGCAUAGCAGAUUGUUGAUUCUGCUGGAGAGAUGAUUGCACUGAAGGCUGCAUAACAGACGAUGUUGGCAUAACAGAUUGCUGGGAAGAUUGCAACUGAGUCGGUUGUAAAAGGUUCUGCUGCUGUUGCUGUUGCUGUUGCACAAGUUGUGGCAUAUUUCCCUGCUGAUAUUUUGGCUUCAAAAGCGAAUGUUGCAUCUGUUGAUGGUACAUAUACUGCUGGGAAUUCUGGGAAUUCUGGGAUUGCUGCGGCUGCUGCUGUUGGGGAGCUACCUGUUGCCUUCCUGGCAUUUGCCUUUGAGAAUUAGCAAAGACAUUGGAGGGUACCCCCUGGCCCAUGGAAUUCCCUAAUGAAUUCUGUGAACUUCCAGACAUAUUUUGCAUGUUUGGGUUUUGUCCACCUAUACUUGGGAUAGGAGUCUGGGUUAAACCGGAAGAAGGAGGUAGUGCAGAUGAUAAGCCAGACGAACUUUGAACUCCAGCAGGUGGAAUGUUAUUCUGAAUGCUCUGUGAUAAAAGUGGUUGGCGUCCUUGAGAUUGAUUAGCUGGUAACGGCAUAGAGAGUGAUUGCCCAUGAUUGGGGACUUGGGAUUGCAUACCUUGAUUGGGAACUUGGGGUUGCAUACCAAAAGACCCUAUCCAAGUAAAAUAGCAAGAAUAAACACCACAUAAACAAGCAUCAAAACAAGAAUACAAUAAAUGUCAUUUGUACUCAUCAUUUGACCCAUUAAAUACAAGUGAAUAAAGAUAUCAAGAACGAAUCAUCUCAGUUAAGAAAUGCAGGAAUAAUUAACAAAAAGAAAGAACGUUUCAUUAGUUGUUUUUACCCGGAUCAGGGGGCCUGUUGCUGUUACCCGCAGAGUUAGAUUGUAAAGGAUUGGCCAUUGAAUUCUGAGACUUUGUCUCCAUUGUGAGCAUCUUCAGAGAAAUUUUCCGUAGAUAAUCCGACUACAAAAAUAAAAAAAUCCAUGCUAAAUUUAGAAUACAGUUCUAUCCAAAAUAUGAAGAAAGUUCAAGCAUAGACAACAUAUUUUUAAGAAGUCAUAUAUGUAAUAGAUAGGUAAGUAUUUAAGUACGCAAACAUUUCAUGCACCAUAAGAAAUAAGAACUCUGGUAUUAUGGAAGCACCUGGCUUGUGGCUGCAGUAUAAAUCUUUUCCUCAAACCUUACAGCAAUUUUACUGAGUUCCUGUAAUCCAUCUUGUCCGGAGAAGGGAAGAUGCCUCUUCAACGUAUCCAUUCUAUACAUGCAAUAAAACCAACAUCAGUUACUGACUACCAAAAUGGGGGUAGCGUUCAUAAUAGCAAAGCUGGAUUAGACUACCGCUUGAAACAAAAAAAGUUCAACAAAGAAAAACACUUACAUCUUGUUGACAAUUCUUUGCCUCGAAUCAGCCUGCAGCUGACUCCUCCAAUCGCCGGCAUCCAUGGCAGCCUCUCCAACUUGAGAAGGCCUCCACUUAUUGGUAUCCAUCAAAUCCAAUCAACCCAACAAAACUGCCAAAAACAAAAGUACAGGACUGAGCAACUUCAACGAAAGCCUACGAAAAGGGCACAAAAAAUUCGUACAAGAGCUAGCUAUUCGGACAACGAUACAGUUUACAAUUACGCAGGCAUUUUUUUUGCAUCAGAAAUUGCAUUCAUUCAAGCUGAUUCUAAACACGAUUUAGGCGCCAUGAAAAAUCAGAACUUGCAAUUCAUACAACCGAAAACCAGAUACGAUUUACACAAUCAGAUCACAAAAACACCAACAAUAACGAAUUUUCCACAAAACCCACGAUCGAUCAACAUCUAAAACAAAAAACCCAACAAAAAUUGACCAAAAAGUUACCUCUUUUCUUUCAGAACAGGAGAGUUGAAGAUUUAAAGGUUCAGGUUGCCUGGAGUCAAACAAUGGAGAAAUCGCAGAACAGGGAAAUCGGGGGAUUGGGAAAGGAAGGAGGGUUCUUGCUCAAAAGCUUCAAACUUUGACAAGAUUUAAUGGAUUGAUGCGUUAGUAGUAGGAAGGGAGAGACAACGAAAUAUCCUGUUUUAACCAAUGUCUGAUUUUUUUUUUAGGUUUUUUUUUUUAAAUUUGAAUUUUUUAGGGACAAAAAGACAAUAAAACCAUUGUCCUUAGGAAUUUAUAAGUUGCCACUUACCACUUUAUCCUAAUCCUAGGCUUUCUUGUCAAAUCCCAAUUGGAUAGGAAUAUUUCCAACUGAGUCAAAAGAACAAAGUAGUCUUAUUUAUAACUAGCUUCUUGGUACGCGUUCAAAUGCGCGAAUUAACUUUUAAACGUCAAUUAAUGUAUUAGCAUUUCAUUAGUUUUAUGUCUUAUAUCAUCACUUUGAAACUUAUUUAUUUGUACACUAAAUAAGAAACUGCUAUAUAUAGUUGGUGUAAUAAGUUUGUGUCUUUAGCAUUAUUGAUGUAAAUAGACUGAUUUUCUUAUAUUUUUUUUAUUUUAAAUUUAUUAGUUAUAUAACUUUACACUUUAUUGCUUUUCAAUGAAGACAGAACAAGGAGGAGAUCAAUUAUUCCUCAAUUAAUCUACUUCAUUAUUCCUCAAUUAAUCUGCUUCUUGACCAUUUUGGUAUUAGAUUCCAUAUAGUAAAGCGUCAUGUAACUUUCAUUUUCAUGUGUUAAUAAAUGUAAGAAUCUAAAUGAUUUUGCAUGUGAUUGGCAUGAAAUCCAAAUGUGCUCUUUAGUUCAAUAUAACAACCUCUUGUCCCGCGAGAUUUUGAAACCAUUACCUCCUCCGACGAAAUGGAGAUCAAAAAACCAUUAGUACAAAGGUAGAAUACAACCAAACUCUAGGUAUAGCAAUUUUUGUUCUCUCUAACAAAAGCUAAUACAUGCAGAUGACACUUUACCAUAGUGACGAAAAACAAUUAUGUCUACGCACCCCAACCAACCUCCUCACCCCUAACAAAAGCCAAUACAUUGAUAUCGUCUACCCUUCUAAAGUCAUCACAUUUUUAUUCAGAGAAUGGAGGAGAGAAGCUGAAGUAGCGUAUGAGGCCAUGAGAACAUGGAAAUUCAGACCAAAGGAGCAUAAAAACCAUAUGGAAAAGAUGAUGAUGCAUGUGGAACAAUUGACAAACUUGAUAGAAAAGAUGUGAUGCGCAAACACGACGCCUUUUCAGGUUGGAGGGGGCCUUUGUGGUCUGAGCGAGAGAGAGAGAGAGAGAGAGAGAGAGAGAGCUCCUCUAAUUCAAUCAUAUAAAAGUAAAACUGAUGAUAAAUCAUUCCAAACACACAAAUAACGUUAUAAAAAUGCAGUCUCUUUAAUUAAUUAUUGACAAAUAGCUUGAAAUCUUUCAAAAUGCGGUCCAUUCAUUUUGCGGUUGCGGUUGUGAUUUCUUCGUUUUGUUGAAGCUCGCCAGCCUCUCAACAACGGUGCAAUCCACUUUACAUAUGAGGAGGUGGGGGGAGCUGCCCUUGUUGCAGAGGAGGACCUUGCUUCCUCGGUCUAUUUGUAUUAAUAAAAUUUACUAUCUGCUUCUCAUAUAAACCCAACUUGUCUUUCAAUCCAGGUGAAAUGUUACUCUUGGAAACCUGUAAGAUUGAUAUGAGGCGCUCUAACAUGGUUCUGAACAUUUUUAGCUUCUCAAGCUGCUCUGACUUUGGUUGUUGUGGAAGAGAAUCGUGCUGGCAAACAGAAAGACCAGACAUCAGUAAGCAAAAGAAUGGCAAUAUAAGGAGUAACAACUUUGUUGCGAAAUCUUAUUAGCAUUAUUGGUGAGGUAACAAUCCCAAGUAGACAGUCUACAUGGGUACAAUAAUUAAAAGGGAGAUCAAGGUAGAAUCUAUCAAAGAGCAGCACCACAAUAACCUAGCAGGGAAAGCCCUGCUUAUUGCUAAAAGUUCAAGCAACAAAUUAUGAGAGAAGAAAAAAUUGAAUUGAUUACAUACCUGCUGAAGUUUAGUAGCAAUUUUCUGAUACAUUUCACUUAGUUCGGGUUCGUACCUUUCCUUCAUGACUUUGAUCUGCAAAUGAAAGUUAUAAAUACAAAGAUGAUUAGAAAGAACUUUGCUGCAGCUACAUGCUUGCCGAUACUCAUGAAUUCAGACAGCAUGAAUUCAUGUAUGCUUGUAUCUAAUGAAGCAAGUUUUAAUUAACUCCCAACCGAUGGUAGCUUAACAAAGCUGCCCCACAAGGAAUCUUAACUAGCAUGUAAUUCUUCAAAAUCCCCAUUCAAGGCAAUUUUGGCAUUAGUAUAAUUAUUUUCCAGUAGCUCUAUUCCCACCCCCACGCCAAAUAAUUUGUAUUUUUUAUCUUUAGAUGUUGUAUGUGAAAGCCAUCAAAUGGACAAGAAGUCAGGACAUCUUACUUUUUGAUAGACCUCCUCUUGCCAAUCACCCCCAUUUGCAUAUCCAGUCUGAGCUGAGGAAUCUAGAAAAGCUACAAAAUAUAGAGAGAUAUAUAUGUCAAUGUUUGCACAUAAAAUGAAAUUUGAACACAAGGGUUAAAAAUGAGAAAGAAAAAAAAUAAGCAUUGCAUGCAAAACAUUGAUAUGGAAAAUUAUCCUUCCCAAACAGUUGAGGUGCAAUUUUGCUCCUACUUUCUGCUUAUGACGGUAAUUACUUUUUUAUGGGAAGACAUCAGGUGCAAUUUUGCCCUUGAUUGGGGUCUUGGGGUUGCAUACCUUGAUUGGGGACCUGGGGUUGCAUACCGAAAGACCCUUCUCAAGUAAAUAGCAAGAAUAAACACCAUACAAACAAGCGUCAAAACAAGAAAACAAUAAAUGUCAUUUGUACUCAUCAUUUGAUCCAUUAAAUACGAGCGAAUAAAGAUAUCAAGAACGAAUCAUCUCAGUUAAGAAAUGCGGGAGUAAUUAAGAAAAAGAACGAACAUUUCUCGCAACAGAUCAACCAUCAAGAAGAAAGGUAGCCAAGAGAGAAAAGGGCAGUUUUCAAUAGUUGUUUUUACUGUUACCAGCAGAGUUAGAUUGUAAAGGAUUGCCCAUUGAAUUCUGAGACUUGGUCUCCAGUGUGAGCAUCUUCAGAGAAAUUUUCCGUAGAUAAUCCGACUACAAAAUAAAAAAAUCCAUGCUAAAUUUAGAAUACAGUUCUAUCCAAAAUAUGAAGAAAGUUCAAACAUAUACAACAUUUUUUUAAGAAGUCAUAUAUGUAAUAGAUAGGCAAGUAUUUAAGUACACAAACAUUUCAUGCACCAUAAGAAAUAAGAACUCUGGUAUUAUGGAAGCACCUGGCUUGUGGCUGCAGUAUAAAUCUUUUCCUCAAACCUUACAGCAAUUUUACUGAGUUCCUGUAAUCCAUCUUGUCCGGAGAAGGGAAAAUGCCUCUUCAACGUAUCCAUUCUAUACAGGCAAUAAAAUCAACAUCAGUUACUGACUACCAAUAUGUUCUAAGUUUGAAGUCCUCUCGCCAUAGUUUAGAUUAGAUUACGCUAAAUUAGACUACCGCUUGAAACAAAAAAAAAAAUGGACAAAGAAAAACACUUGCAGAUUGUUGACAAUUCUUUGCCUUGAAUCAGCCUGCAGCUGACUCCUCCAAUCGCCGGCAUCCAUGGCGGCCUCUCCAACUUGAGAAGGCCUCCACUUAUUGGUAUCCAUCAAAUCCAAUCAACCCAACAAAACUGCCAAAAACAAAAGCACAGGACUGAGCAACUUCAACGAAAACCUACGAAAACGGCACAAAAAUUCGUACAAGAGCUAGCUAUUCGAACGACGAUACAGUUUAUAAUUACGCAGGCAGUUUUUUUGCUUCAGAAUUUGCAUUCAUUCAAGCUGAUUCUAAACACGGUUUAGGCGCCAUGAAAAAUCAAAACUUGCAAUUCACAUACAAUCGAAAACCAGAUACGAUUUACACAAUCAGAUCAAAAAAAAAAAAACAUUAACGAAUUUCCCACAAAACCCACGAUCGACCAACAUCUAAAACAAAAAACCCAACAAAAUUUGACCAAAAAGUUACCUCUUUUGUUUCAGAACAGGAGAGUUGAAGAUUGAAAGGUUCAGGUAGCCUGGAGUGAAACAAUGGAGAAAUUGCAGAACUGGGAAAUCGGGGGAUUGGGAAAGGAAGGAGGGUUCUUGCUCAAAAGCUUCAAACUUUGACAAGAUUGAAUGGAUUGAUGCGUCCGAUGUGGUCUUUUUAGUUAAGUAGGAAGGGAGAGACAACAAAUAUCCUAUUUUAACAAAUGUCUGAUUUUUUAGGUUUUUUUUUUUUUUUUAUAGAAAACCUAAUGAAAAGCGUUUGAAAUGUUUUAGUUUUAAUAAAAAAUCAUGUUAUAAGUUUUGUUUAAUGAUUAGUAUAAGACUCAUAUUAAAGUAGUCUAACUAAAAAUUGUCUAACUAUAAUAACUUAUUAUUUGUCGAUUUUACCCUUAACUUUUUUAGGUUGACUUCCAGAUUUUCGUCGUUAAUGAAGUUCAUCGUUGUUUUGCAGACCUUCUUCUUUUUCUUUGAAACAAAAAUAUAGAUCCUCAUGCAAGUUAAUUUAUAUUUUGUAUUAUUUUGUUGAAACGUGAUCGUUGUUAUUAUUCAUAAAGUAUUCGAAAUACUGUUUUUCAAUUUUUCUUCGUUAGUGGAGUUCAUCGUUUGUUUUUCCAGAAAACAAAUUUGAGAUCUGCACGUUAUUCAAUAAUAACGAUGGGUCACUGUUUCUAGACUGUAAAAAUAAACUGUUUCUGGAUUUUAAGUAACACUGUUUCUGAAAUCUAAGUCACUGUUUCUGGAUCUAAAUGAAAUAGACACAUUGUUUCUUAAAUGUAAGCUAGAAAAGAAAUAGUGAAAUUCAUUGUAUUUGGAUUCAAAGAAAAAUAAGCAUCAUGUUUCUUAAAUAUAAUCAACUGAUGCAUGAAAGAAAAGAAACAAUCAAAGGUUAAAAUAUAGACUGUUUUCAAAAAUAGUGUUAUGUUUUGGGUUCUCCAGAAACAUUUUUAUGUUUUGGUUUUUUUUUUUCCUAUUUACAGACGCCUGACAUGUACGUACAUCACCGGGACCGUAGGUCCAUAUUGGAUCUAAUUGGAAUAAAAUACUAACACUAUAAAUUGUUCGUGGUGCUAAUAAGAGAAUGAGGAUGAGGACGUUGACGUUGACGAGGACGAGGAGGAUAAGGGCACGAAAAAGGUAGACAAUAGUUUUGGAUGAUUUUUUAUUAAACUUUGAGCCCUUUUGGUUAAAUAAUAUUUUAGGUUGAUUUUUGGUUAAAUAUUUGUUGGCCCAAAUCCUUUUCAUUAAAGCUCCAUUUGUUUAUUUAUGUUUGAAAUUUGAAUUUUUAGGGACAAAAUGACGAUAAAACCAUUGUCAUUAGGACGUUAUAAGUUGCCACUUACCACUUUAUCCUAAUCCUUCUAGGCUUUCUAGUCAAAUCCCAAUAGGAUAGGAAUAUUUCCGACUGUGUCAAAAGAACAAUGUAGUCUUCUUUAUAACUAGCAUCUCGGUACGCGCUCAAAUGCGCGAAUUGACUUUUAAACACCAAUUAAUGUGUUGGCAUUUCAUUAGUUUUAUGUUUUAUAUCAUCACUUUGAAACUUAUUUAUUUGUACUAAAUAAGAAAUUGCUAUAUAUAGUUGGUGUAAUAAGUUUGUGUCUCUAACAUUAUUGAUGUAAAUAGACUGAUUUUCUUAUAUUAUUUUUAAUUUUAAAUUUAUUAAUUAUAUAACUUUACACUUUAUUGCUUUUCAAAGAAGACAGAACAAGGAGGAGAUCAAUUAUUCCUCAUUUAAUCUACUUCUUGACCUUUUUGGUAUUAAAUUGCAUAUAGUAAGCAUCACGUAACUUUUAUUUUCAUGUGUUAAUAAAUGUAAGAAUCAAAUGAUUUCACAUGUGAGUAAAUACAUGUGGUUGGCAUGAAAUCUUCAAUAAAACCUCUUGUCCCAUGAGAUUUUGAAACCAUUACCUCAUCCGACGAAAUGGAGAUCAAAAAACCAUUAGUACAAAGGUAGAAUACAACCAAACUCUAGGUAUAGCAAUUUUUUUUCUAUCUAACAAAAGCCAAUACAUGCAGAUGACGUUUUAUCAUAAUGACAAAAAGCAAUUAUGUCUAUGCACCCCAACCAACCUCCUCACCCCUAACAAAAGCCAAUACAUGCAGAUGACGUUUUAUCAUAAUGACGAAAAGCAAUUAUGUCUAUCCUCUACCCUUAUAAAGUCAUCACAUUUUUAUUCAGAGAAUGGAGGAGAGAAGCUGAAGUAGUAGCAUAUGAGGCCAUGAGAACAUGGAAAUUCAGACCAAAGAAGCAUAAAAACCAUAUGGCAAAGAUGAUGAUGCAUCUGGAACAAUUGACAAACUCGAUAGAAAAGAUGUGAUGCGCAAACACAACGCCCUUUCAGGUUGGAGGGGCCUCUGUGGUCUGAUACUUGGUCUCCAUUGUGAAGUCACGGCCCAGGAUUAUGGAAGUACCUGGAUUGUGGCUGCAGUAUACUAAUACGAGGGGGAGAGAGACAGAGAGAGACACAGAGAGAGAGAGAGGGACAGCUCCUCUAAUUCAACCAUAUAAAAGUAAAACUGAUGAUAAAUCAUUCCCAUAGUCAUACAAUAAAAGUAAAUAAGCAUUUCUACUGUUCCAAACACACAAACAACGUCAAAAAAAAUGCAGUCUCUUUAAUUAAUUUAUUGGCAAAUAGCUAGAAAUCUUUCAAAAUGCGGUCCAUUCAUUUUGCAGUUGCGCUUGCGGUUUCUUCGUUUUGUUGAACCUCGCCAGCAUCUCUACAAUGGUGCAAUCCACUUUACAAUGCACUGUGCAGUGCCCAUUGCACUUCCCUUUCCACUGCCCUGGCAUUAUCAGCAGAAUCCGCCUAUGUUUGACAAUACUUUUCCGCGUAGUACGUUGCAAAUGAUAUAAAUUAUUCCAGCGUCACAUCCUUCUUGCCCUUGUUUCUUCUUCUAGCAGCAGCAGUGGCGGGAGUAGCAGCACCACAAUGAUGACAACGCCCAGCCUUCCACCUCACAGCAGCAAACAGAUGCACUCAAUGCAUCUGAGCCAAUGUCACUGACAGAUGCACUCAAUGCAUUAGGUGACAUCGAUUUCAGUACUCAAAAAGAGAAAUAUGUAAUAAGAACCACUUUACUAACCGCCUUAAUCAAGCGUUCAAGAGGCUGCUCGGUAACACUCGACUUGCCAAAAAUAAUUGACAAAGCAUUAACAUGAGUAGCAUCUGGUACACUAAAUUCAGCAAGCAAAGGAGAUGCUGAUAUCCCAGCGGUGCCAAAUGCAAGGGACUGGACUGGUGCUCCCACCCCAGCUACUUGUUGAUGUCCGAUAUUCCCAGCAUUUGGUAGUGAGGAAGGUUUCUCAAAAUCCCCUGCCAUGGGGGAUGGAGCCAUGGGAGUUGAAGGAGAUGGCAUGACAACAGGUGAACUGGCAGUUUGCAAUGGUGUUCCAGCUUUCGGGUGAGUCGGUAGAUUCUGCUGGUCAACUUGGGGAGAAGAAUGUUGCGAAAUUUUAGGAGAUGCAGCCUGAAGGAGUUGGUUUGAUGAUGGAAUAGGAAAUGGAGAUCCUGAUUUCAACUGCUGAUGCGGAUAAGCAUGCUGGCCUGUGGAUAUAUGUUGCUGAAAAACCCCUGGCUUAACACCCAUCCCCUGUCUCAUCUUCAAGUCAUUUUCAUCAUUCAUUUGAUGAAGCUGUGGCAUUUGGUGUUGGUUCGCCUCCAUCUGCGCUGGAAGCUGCUGCUUUGCUUGCUGCAACUGUUGCUGCUGUUGCUGUUGCAGGUAUCUGCUGCUUCUGUAUAAAUUGCUGCUGCAUUUGCUGUUGAUUCUGUUGCUUCAGCUGAUUCUGAAACAUUUGCUGUUCUUGCUGUUUCAAUUGCUGGUGUUGAAGCAUACCAGAAUUUGACUGAAGGGAGUUAAUAAUUUGGCUGAAGCAUACUAACCCCACUCUGCGAUGACAAACCAUUCAUGUUAGCUUGAUGGGAAGCACUGACAGGAGUUUGUUGGAUAGAUCCCACUGGAACUUGCUGCAAAGAGUUCAGUGCAUUUCCCUGUCCUGAAUCCAAAUUUGUACUCAGCUGCAAUGAAUUCAUCAUGUUCUGCUGUGCUGUUGAAACCCCAGAUAUCGAACACAUUGAAUUUUGCUCCAAGCUUGUCAUAUUGUUCUGCUGCAUUGUUGGCACAGAACCUUGUAAAUUCAUUGUUUGCAACUGCGGGUUCAUUUGAUUUUCAUGAGACUGCACUUGACGAAUUUGAGACUGCGGCUGCUGCAUAGAGUGCAUAUGAGGUGGGGGGAGCUGCCCUUGUUGCAGAGGACGACCUUGCUUCCUCAGUCUAUUUGCAUUUCUAAAAUUUACCAUCUGCUUCUCAUAUAAACCCAACUUGUCUUUCAAACCAGGUGAAAUGCUACUCUUGGAAAUCUGUAAGACUGAUAUGAGGCGCUCUAACAUGGAUUUGAACAUUUUUAGCUUCUCAAGCUUCUCUGACUUUGGUUGUUGUGGAAGAGCAUCCGUGCUGGCAAACAGAAAGAACAGACGUCAGUAAGCAAAAGAAUGGCAACAUACGGAGUAACAACUUUGUUGCGAAAUCUUAUUAGCAUUAUUGGUGAGGUAACAAUCCCAUGUAGACGGUCUACAUGGGUACAAUAAUUAAUAGGGAGAUCAAGGUAGAAUCUAUCAAAGAGCAGCACCACAAUAACCUUGCAGGGAAAGCCCUGCUUAUUGCUAAAAGUUCAAGCAACAAAUUAUGAGAGAAGAAAAAAUUGAAUUGAUUACAUACCUUCUGAACUUUAGUAGCAAUUACCUGAUACAUUUCACUUAGUUCGGGUAAGUACCCUUCCUUCAUGACUUUG